rnacentral:lncRNA from 1 species
UUUUUUUUUUUUUUUUUUGCUUCGACUCUUCAAGGAACACAAAUUCAGGUCACACCAACAAGUUCAAGAAAAACGGAUGAAAGGUUAUGCAAAUUUCAAGAAGGCCCUGAUUCUUGAUUUAUUGUCCAAGAAUUUUCAAAAGAAGACUUGAUGGUCCAAGAACUUCAAGAAUUUGUUCAAGAAGCUCAAGAACUUCCCCAAAUUACGUUGUGGUGUUUAGGGUUUGCAAGAACAACAACCAAUACUCAAGAAAUAGGCAAAACAGAAUUUCUGCAAUACUCAAAAGAAAAAUUCCAGCAAUACUCUGGCAACUUGGACACUAAAAAAAAUAAUAUAAGGUACGUGACUCCUUUUUUUUUUUUUUUUUUAAACCCUAACAACCCGAACAAAAGUAUAACAGACUCAAGAACAAAAGUUGGACAGAAAACACAAAAAGACAAUACCCAAACAGUUUUUUUUUUACUCGGAUGAACAGUAAUGUGAACAGUACGCUACAGUACGAUGAACAGUAUUUCGGAACAGUAACGAUGAACAGUAAUCGCUACAGUUUUUUUUUUUGACAAAAAGACACAAACUAAUAAGAUAUGAACAACUUCAAUUGAAAGAGAAUUAACCUGAUGCUCUGAUACCAACUGAUAUGGGCAACCCUAGGGGAAGACCCUCCUAGAAACUCCCAACCUUGAAUUAUCAGAGUUCGCGACCUUUCCCCAAUGGCAAAUUGAACUCGAUUUGUUCUCAUGAACUCGAAGACCUCUGACACACAAAGGCAAUCAGCAACCUUAAGCCAAAAAAGAUGGAUGAAGAGACACCACGAUUAGGGAACAAACUAAUCGAUAAAGUCAGAUUUGAAUCCUAAGCAAUGAACUCAAGAAUUCAAGAGUAAGUUCGAUUAAGAACUUGAAAGGAAAAUUCCUCACGAUUUCUGGUUGUAAAAUAUUCUGUCUUUUACUCAUACAAGAGGUGCCUUUUUAUAGGCUAAAACUAGGGCAAAAUCCGGCCCACAUAAACCUGGAAGAAAUUCGGUCCGCAUAAAGAGCUUAAAGAGCCAGCUCUUUAAGGCUUUCCAUGGCAAAUACUACGUGUUGGAUGGUUACUUGUUCUAUCAUGCUUUGUGUCCCUAAGGUUCUAUUCGAGAUUUGCUAGUGAAGGAAUUCAUAGUGGGGGGUUAAUGGGUCAUUUUGGAGUGACUAAGACACUUAAUAUUUUGCAGGAACACUUUUUUUGGCCUCACAUGAAGAAGGAUGUUGAAAAGGAGGUAUCACGAUGCAUACAAUGCCGGAAAGCUAAGUUUAAGGUUAAUCGUAUGGUCUCUACAGACAUUUACCUAUUCCUAGUGAACCUUGGGUAGAUUUGUCUAUGGAUUUUAUACUUAGUUUGUCUAGGACAUGAUUCUGUAUUUGUGGUAGUUGAUAGAUUUCUAAGAUGUCUAUUUUGUGCAUGCACAAAAUUGAUGACGCUUCACAUAUUGCGGACCUAUUCUUUAAAGAGGUAGUUAGGUUGCAUGGAAUACCUCGUAUUAUUGUGUCUAAUAGGGAUGUUAAAUUUCUUACUAUUUUUGGAAGACACUUUUGUCUAAGUUAGGGACUAAUUGUUGUUUUUAACUACUAAUCAUCCUCAAACUGACGCCAAACUAAAGUUGUUAAUUGAACUGCGUCUACCAUGUUGUGUGCUUUAAUUAAGAAGAAUUUAAAAACAUGGGAAGAUUGUUUACUCAUAUUAAGUUUGCUUAUAAUUGUUCUAUACAUUCUAUACUCAGUUUUCACCCUUUGAGGUUAUUUAUGGUUUUAAUCCGCUAAAACCUAUGGAUCUAAUACCUUUACCUUUGAGUGAGCAUGUUAGUCUAGAUGGUAAAAAGAAAGCUGAGAUGGUGUACAAUCUACAUGACAAAGUGCGCUUAAACUUCCUACACUUUACGUAAGUCACUAAGUUGGGGCAUCGAACAUAACAACUUAACAGAAUUCCACUUAUCUUCCCACAUUUAAUGAAAAAGUGAUAUUUUACACUCUUUCUCUAUGGAACGUUCCAAUUACAUGCCAAAAUCUCGUUUCCUAACUAAGAUAAAAUAUCAAUUAAAAUAUUAAUCUCCAAUCUCUUAACUAAGACAUAAGUAUAAUACAAAGGAAAAUACAAUUAACAUAAAAUGUCAAAAUGUUAAUCCGGCGAACACCAUUAGGUAUGCCAUUGUAGCCAACAAAAGUCAGAAUUUCUUGUUUUCAGCUAUCGAUCUCCACACUCCAACUAGGCAUGGCCACGGUUCCAGAACUGCCGGUUCUGGUUCUUCAAAGAGGUAGAACCAGAAUCGUACCAUCUAAGAUGGUUCUGGUUCUGGUUCUAGUUCUGGUUCUGGUUCCUUAUAGUUCUGAUUUCGGUUCCUUCUGGUUUCGUAUGAUUGUAUACAAUUUUAUUUAAUUCAUUAUCCUUACCAAUUUUAAUACAAAUAUAACAAUAUAUUUAAAAUUUCAAAUAAAUGUAAAAGAUUAAAUACAAAAUAAAGAUCAUAUUUUAAUUUUAUUAUUAUUCUACAAAGUACGAAGUAAUAAAUAGAUAGUACAAAUUUUAUGAAAAGUACGUUACAUUGUCAAAUUAAAAAAUACAUUAUACUAUCAAAUGGUAAUCAUUUUAAAUGGAAAAGAAAAUACAUGAUUUUUCAUUGAAAUUGAGAUGAAAUAUCAAAAUAAACAUUAAUUAUUUAAUCUUCUUCAUUGCUUGCGACGGCACUAGAAUUAGUUGUAUAAUUGAAUUCUUCUUCUUCAUUUUUUCAUUUCUUACUGUCUAUAUUCUGCUCUAGUCCAAUCAUCCAUGCAUGCUUGAAUUUCUAGUGAUUCUGGGCUUAAUCUCGACUGUGUCUCACUACUUUCUUAAACUUUCUUAAUUCUGGGCUUAAAUUUAAACUUUCUAAAACCUAUUAAGCACAACUAAUUUUUUCGAAUUAUCUCACUACUUAUAUUAAUUAUUUUUUAACGGUUCUGGAACGGUGGUUCUGAUUCUGGUUCUAUUUGUUUAGAGAACCAGAACCGAAACCUUUAUCCAAGGUUCUACCACGGUUUCUGGAUCCACAGUUUUGGUUCCGGUUCUGGUCCGGUUCCAAACAGUCCGAUUCCUGGUUCCAAAUUGAACCAUGGUCAUGCCUAACUCGAACUCCAAUACUCCUGGGCAAGCUCUGUUAUUUUUUUUAAUGCAAAAUAGGCAAGUUCUAUUAUUGUUUUUCUUUAGAAGAUUAUUAUUAUGUUGUCAAUAUUUAAUUAUUCAUUAUUUAGAAGAUAAUUUUUUUAAAAAAAAAAGUAAAAUCACUUAUACUUUUCUAAUAGCAACAAUAAUGAUGUUUGUAAUGUUUCGAAUUUUGAAUUUAAAUUCAUUAUUUUUUUCAUUUUUCAUUGUUUGUAUUCCUAUGAUUGUUAACCCCAAGCAAAAAUCCUGACUCGUUUAUGGCGACAAUGGACUUUGGUGAGAAUAGUUUGAUAAUGCACGCAAGUGACAGUGGGUUGAUGUUUUAAUAGCAAUAGUCUCUCUUUCAAUAAUUUAUUAACGCGACCCAUCAAAAUGGUACAUAGGUUCAAUUGCCCAGGCUACCUGUGGACCAAAAUUAUCCAUAAUCUUAUUCCGUUACAGCAUGUAAUCUUCAGAUUUUCCAUUUUAGUUUUCAAAAGUUGAGUUUAAUACAGCUGCACCAUUUCAGAAUUGCAUAAUAAAAAAGCACAAUUGUAACUAGUGCAAUCAAAACUCAGAACAUUUCAGAGAAAUGAAGGUAAAUUGAUCUCUUAAUAUUUUUGUUCAGUUGAUCCAAUGUACAAUUUCCAAACAAUUCGGCUGUACACUAUACAUGAUGAUCUUUUUACAAAAAGCAUACUCAGUAUACAAACUACAUGGUCUAUUACAAGUCUCUAGAACUAUAUACACUGUCCAUCCAACUAAGAAGCGAGAAUCGCAAACCUAAAUAUUCUUUUUUUCCUCAAGCACAACCAAAAAAAAAGUUAGCCUUGCAGUCUUUACCAGUUGUAUCACCAUAAACAUGACAUUCCUUGUACAGCAUAUGCUCAAGGAAAAUUUCAGCAAAAAUUACCAAGGUUCAGAGUUGUUGGAGAGGAAACUUGUGCGUUCUGAGGGUCUUGACCAAUCCUCCUCCAUCUUAAUGAGCUUAAGGCGAAUUAUUAGUUUCUCUAGAGCUUCUUCCUCCAGAUCACGGGAGGGAUGGUAUGAUUUCUCCUGUUUGGAAGAUUUCUGAAAUAGGUAAUAGAUUAGUUGACAGAUUCUCCUUUCGUUUUGGCCAUAGGGGGUGGGGUUUAGAAAGUUGCCAUUAAUCAUGCAGCUGACUAAUACGAGAACUGUACCUGUAUAUCCUGAAACAACUUGAAUACUGGAGUGCCAUCUCAUAAAACCCACAGUGGUAAAGGAGAACUCCAUAGUCUCUGAGCUCUAUUGGGUCAGUUUCAAGAAGGAUAAGACGUUCACAUGCUGAAUACAAAGGAAUAGUACUUAGAAGUAAGCAAAAGGUUUAAAUUGGCAUUCUGAUUCCAGAGAAACUUCAAAUUUGAAGCUUAAGAAAUGCUUCUAAGCAGUCAAGGACUUGAUCAUACAAAGAAAGGAGAGAUUUACAUAAGAAAAGGCCACCAUCCUCAUAUAUGAAAUAAAUUCUUAUAGAACUUUCCCAUUUUCCACGUUAGGCAUAACGAUAAUAUUCAUAUGCAUGUGGGAAGGUAGAGGAAAAGAAUCAGGAAUUACAAAGUUUUACUUAUUUAUCUUUUUUUUUUUUAAGUUUUAUCUGUCAUCAAAACUGGUAAUCCAGAAUCUUAUUUGUCUCAUCAUCAAAUGUGCUAAUCUGGUUGUCCAUUAUUCUAGCUUGUUCUUGAAAUUGAAGAGCGUUUCUAUUCACAUUUGUGAAGUCCUGUUGACCACUUAUUCUAAUUUGUUUACCUUCAUCUUCCACUGCAAGAUAUUCCCUCACUUCGUAGUUGAUUUUCUACUCUAUCCACAAGAAUGCAUGUGUUUCAAAAGGUGCAGGAACUAGUUAAGUUUAUUAACUUCGUCAGGGCAAGUAAAAGCUUAGGCCUUUUUUUCUAACAAAGAAAAAAAUAUUUUAAAAAUAUAAAACGCCCCAGAAUGCUGAUAAAAAUAAUAUGGAAACUUCUCUCCAUAUUGAUAACCUAUACAUUCUGUACCUCGAACAAUUGAUUAAAGGAUAAGAUAAAUAAAUGAGAAAAUGUAAAGAUCAUAGAUUCCUUUUGAUGGAAAUAUACAGUAGUAAUCUUCUAUCAAAACAAGGUAGUGAAAACAGUAGGAAACAGGUUCUGGGAUCUGAACCCCUUAUGGGAGCAUCACUAUGAGCAGUGUUCAAUUAAAAAACAUACCUGCUCAAUUAUCAUAGAGCUCUAAACCUUCUAACUGAGAACUCUCAGAUUCCCACUCAAGUUCUUUAGAGGUCCCUAAAGAAUUUGUUUUAACAACCAUUGUGCUUUGAACUCCAUUAACUUUGUAGUAUUUGAUAUGUCACCUAUCCUCUUGACCUAAGAACCAAGACCAGUUUAGAAAGCACUUUAAGAUGAAAGCCAAAGAAGCCUCAUACCAGCAAGUGCACGUCGCAUAUCCCCAAACUGAACACUAGUCCAAACACCUCGCAGUAGCCUAUGCUGAGCAGCCUUUGCUGAUGCAAUCUUUAAUGCACUGAAUCAAACAAAACUAAAGCUUGAGGAUGAGAAGGAAAAUGGAAUUUUGCAGGAUUUCAGUCAAAGUAUGCAAAAUACCAAACCCUUCAACACAAGGAACUCUAAAUUACAUUGGAUGGCAAUGAAGUAGCAGAGGAAAAAAUCGAACCUUUCUUCAACACUGUUGGAUGUAUCGCAAUUAGCAGCUUGAGCUGCCCUGAAGAAAAGGCUCUUAGCAGGAUCAUGUUGAAAAGGCCAAAAUGCAUUUUUUAAGUCUUUCAAAAUCUGCAAGCGAAACAGAACUAAACAACUGACCGCUCAAUGUCCAUAUACAUAAUACAAGAUUAUAUACAGUUUAAAAUUGUAGCAGGGAACAGAUUUUUUCCUCUCCUUUCAGAUGAGUUACAUUUGGACACAUAUAGAUGAAAUAUUGCUUUAUCAGAAGCAAAAGGCCACAAGUUUGUAUACAUGAGAAUGUGAAAUUAAUGUGCGAAUGCCCUUGAGGCCCCCCACAUGAGAAGCGACAAUAGAGAUGCAAAUAGUAUUUCUUUGUCAGAAAGACCACAUUUGCUUUUCCAUGAAAAUCUGAAGUUUAUGUCAGAACUGGUAGGCAACUACGAGCAAGCCAAACCGCCUCCCGGGGAGAAAUGACAAUAAAGGUUCAGAUGCAUAUAAAACAGAAAUUUUGUUGCAUCAUAAAUGUGUUCAAUUUGCAGAUAUCUCAACCAGAAUCAGACUUCCUUAAUUAUGUCUUUAUUCAUAAUUGUUUCCUGGCAGACUUUGAUGAUGCAGCUGAUCAAUGAAUUUGAAACUUGUUAUAAAACUUUACCCAAAAGCAAAAACAGUGGAUUAAGGGUGAAAUCCACACAAAUUACUUUCUUCCAGAGGUAGACCAAUAAAAAAUUAACCUGUUCUUUAGACUUUAUGAAGUCUUAGAGAUGGCACUCUAGCCAGUGAUAGAUGCUAAUGAUUGCAAAAGCAUAUUAUAGAGAAUAAAAAUGCUUGUGGUCCUUGGCAUUUACUAAGAGUGGACAGGACAUUUGUCAGUAGUUCCUAGAUAUUUUGCUUCCUUUAGAAUCAGCGGAGGGUUGGAUGAAGAUCCUAGAGCAGGGGCAAAUCUUGAAUAAUUCUUUUCAGCAUACAAUGGUGACAAGGGACAGAAAAGCCAGAAGUAAUUUUAAGACAAAUGCAUAAUCACUCAGACUUUGAUGCUUCCAGAUGACUGCAUGAUGCAGGAGCAUAUUAGAUAUUAGAUUUUGUUAGUUAUGCUUUGUGCCAACUGUUGAAGUAGUUUUAGAAAGUGUUUAGUGUAGCUGAUGCACAACUACUAGGCAUGUGCCUCAUUUGCCAUAAUUAUCCAUGACUGUUUAGGUCUCUCGCACAAACACUUGACGAAAAGUGGAGGAAAGUGGGGGAGCUAAAUUGGCCAAUAAAACUAAACUCCUGUCACUUUAGGGCAAUAAUAUGUUUGGGGACGUAAUAAGCAUCCAGUCAGGGUACCGCAACCAGCAGUUUAUACCACUAAAUUACCUAAAAUUUUAUCAGCUAUCUUAUUUUUUUUUCUUUUUAAUAUGACAGUAGGGCCAGUUGGUAGGGAGAUCAAGGCUUAUCGGUCUCAGUUCAAAUCAAAUGACCCUGCUUGGGUCACUCUUUAACUUUUCAUACUUCCUAUUCACAGUGACUUGUACCUGUACUUACUAGGCUGUGGGAGAUUCUAUUUCUUCUAUCAUCAUGGUUUUGUUGUCGUUCUGUGGCCUCUGCUUGCUGUAGAUCUUUUACUAACAUGCUGAUUAUAGGCCUUACUCAUUUACAGCAUCAAAGCAGAGGCUUUUUAUUGAUUGUAGUAGAAGUAGGAAUCAAUUCCAGGUUGGGUGACACUGUUUAUUGAUUGUCCCAUGAGCUCUUGGGCUAGGAUACGUAUUUCUUUUAGCUUGAGACAAUUGGUCAUCUUAGAAGGGUUAGCUACGUCCCCUUGGGAACAAUGAAGCAACUAACACCCUAUCUCAUACUCUGUAUAAUGAGAUAGACAUAUUGCGAGAUAAUCUGCAACCUUAACGGCCCCCAUACAGCCAGAAGCUAAUUUCUUUCAAACAUUUUGUUUUGUUUACUUCAUCAAUCCUAGUACUUCGUGCUGCUAGCUAAGAUUCCCUUUUUAUUUUCUGCACCGCUGUAGGAAGUCAUGGUCUGGAACAAAAUUUAUAUAUUAAAGAUACUUAUUAUUCCUUCUAAAUAUCACGUUUAAAGGUUCACUGUUUUUAUCCUUUCAGGCCAUCACACAAGCAUUUUAUCCAUUCAAGUGCAUUUUGCAAUUAUUCAGUUCUAACAGCAUUUAUACUUUUAUGCAUCCUUUGAUUUCCCUUCUACACAUGAAUUAAGAGCUUCAAACUCUUUGCUCCUUCAUGUGCUUAUGGGAGAAACUAGAGUUUCAGAAAAAAUUUAACCGCAUCACCACAGUUUCAGAAUAACAAAAUUUUACAUAAUGCAUAAGAUGUAUUUAAGGAUGAGAUAAAAAUACAGCAUGUUACUUAAGCAAAUUAAAACAGGAGAUGCAGGGGACUAGAUUUGUCAGGGGAAGAUGAAUAAAUUAAAAUUACAUCAUUGGAAAUUUCAUUCUUUUAAAACUUUGACUCCUGUAUGGCAGAACUUUGAAGAAUAACAAUGGUAGAGAAAGGCAUAACUUCAUAUCACAUGAAUUCAAAAGGAUUCAUGAACUCGGGAUAUAAAAAUUCAAGAAUUGAAUUGUACAGCUGAGACUCUUCUAGUUGAGUCAACUUCUGCACAACAUUUUUUAAACAAUUAGAUAGAAAGAGGUUACGAACUAAUAAACUAAAUUUAAGCCAAACAUCUUUUGUGCGCAUUUUGAGGCCCUGGAAAGUUUCGUUAGAUGAAAUUAAAAAGCGAACACAUUUAAAUGCCAGUAUCUCAAAUCAUGUCACCAUCCAGCCUAAAGAAAAGCAUUGAAGCAUCCAGUUUGAUACAAACAGAGUUUUACGAAGUGUGAGAGACAUAUUAUAACAAGUGAAGCAACCAAGCAGCAUACUUAGCAAAACAGUAUGAAGAUGGCACUAGCCCAACUCAUUUGAAGGAAGCCCCUGUUCAAGACAAAUUUAAGUGGGCAGCAGAAGAUGAGUUACCUCCACCAAUAAAGAUUGGGAUGUCAUAAUAUGUAAUUGAUCACCCUCCCUGCUUUUCUGUUUGUGAUAGCCUCUUGGAGAACUAUGAGAAUCGUGAGGGAAGAAAACCUCUACAUCAAAAUUCACCAUACCCCACAAGCGAAGCAUUUUUAGGACCUCUGAAUAUAUAAGUGACAGCAUAGAAGCCGAACCUGAACGAUGAGUCAAAACCUGACCCAAACAAUAAUGAUUAAGCAAAGCAACAUAUGACAUUCUUUAGCUUCGAUCUAAUUACUAAAGAAGGGAAAGACACAUACUGAGUGCAGAUAAAGAGAACGCUGCUCCACUUGACUAUGUUUAGAUCUCUGAAAACCCUGAAAAAGAGAUGAAGACUCUAAAAUUAGCUGCAACUCUAGCUGGCUAAAAGGAAGCACCAAGAAGAUAGCUAUGUAAUCAACAAACGCAAUCUCAAAUAUUAUACUUGCUUUGUAGAAAAGCAGCAUGGAACUCAGUCAUUCAAUAUCAUUGUCUCCUAAAUGCUCCAAUUUCGACAGUAAUGGAAAUAAUUUCAAAACCCAGCCAAAAGAGAAGAAAACGGACUGAUUAUAUUCAUCCUACAAACUUGAGAAAUAUAAUGGGAAUGUGCUCAACAGGUGAAAACUUGGAUAGGACUGACUUUUUUUUUUGUGAUGAUCAGGAAAGAGAGUGGAAAAUCAAACAGCACAAGUUGAGCACAGGAGGUUUCUCCCUAGCAUAACAACCACAAUAAAGGGACAUAAUAAUAGUUCCAUAAGGUUCAGUAAAAUGAAAACCAAUAAGUGCAUUUUUUUUCACAAGUUAAAUGCAAAUUAUCAUAAAAUGAUUAUAAGACUGACAAAACAUAUAGUUGCGACACAUAAAGAAAAUGGAACAUCAUCUGGAGGACUAAUUUUGAGUUACGUAGCUUCUAAACCAGAUUAGACCAAGGUGGUGUUUUCACCUUCAGCUCACAAAAAGUUUGACUGUAAACAUACCAAACCAGCUGUACAAAUUUAAUAUCUUGGUAGUCACUCUGCUACUGCAAAUAAAUCAUGUACGAUGUAUAUUGACAAACCGGUCAACAAUUCUACAGGCACAUAAAACACAUGCACACACACUCCUAUGCAUCUAAACAAACACAAAUGUCAGACACGUACAUAACCACAUAUACAUUUAUUCACAUUUACACAAACACGUCAGUAUGCAUAUCAGAAUGUAGAGGAUAUAUUUCGACAAACUACAAAAUCCAACUCAAAUGUAAUGCAGAGGUAAAGAUGUAACAUGUAGGAAUAUUGAGUUUUUCUUUGGUAUUAUUUGGUUAUUUCGAUGAAAUGGUUAGGCAAAUGAUUUUACAGAUCAUAGCUAAGGGCAUUAUUGCAUCGGCAUGCUCUACUACAAUGCCCAAUUUGGGCACUUUGCUUCUGUUUCAUGAAGGCUUUUAUGGAAUUAUAACUCCAAUUUGAAGUUAAUUCUUGUAAGGUUCACCCCGUAACCCCAUAUUGUAAUUCUGAUAAACUUCAGAAUUAAAAAUAGAACAGAAUGUUGCAAAUAGCCUAAAUGCCAAGCAAUUCAGAGAUAUGAAUUAUCCUAAAAGAAAUUCUCCCCAUAUUUAUAGUUCUCCCAAAUUGGACAAAUCUCCUGCAAUAGAUAGACUGUUCAGACCAAUUACGAAAGGCAUCAUGUCAUUCAAGUAGAAUAUCCAAUUCCAUUACAGAAGAAUAGUUCUCUUUUAGUAGGAUUCACCAAACAAUGCAAUAAGACGAUUUUCAAUGAAUAGAGAUAUGAAUAAGUUUGAUAUAGCAAGUUAAAUAGGCAAACAAAAAGGCCCAAAAGAGUUAUUUUGCAUCUGGAAUCCUAUUUUGGGGUAAAUACUAAAGGCAAGGUGGAAAAGGCAGAUGGCAUCAAUGAAAGGCCUAUUCUAGCAAUUUCAUUGACCUAUAUUCUGCAUAAGACAAAAUUCUGUGUUCUUGCCCCCAAGAAUUUUCCAUGACUAUUUAUACUCCCAAUAGGAGAUUGGAAGAUGUAAAUAUGAGCACAUUUCUCUAAUGUGACUAGAUUAAAUCCAUACUGCACUGCCUUGUCAUUGCAGUUUUGAACCAGAAUGACACACAAUCAGCCUAGCUAAAGAAAACAGAUAAUAUACCAAAUAAACUUACUUUAUCUACGUACAAGUAUCUAUCCAAACACUCAAGAAAUUUCUCAGGCGGGUAUCUGAAGGAAGAGCCAUAGUGCGAGCAGUAGCCCAUAGAAAGGUCAUCCAAUCUGUCAAUAAAAUCAUCAACCGGAAGUGGAACAGAAGAAUGUGAUAUGAGGGAGUCAUCCUCCGCUGCCACAUGAAGAGCUGUCUUCCCCAAAUCAACCACUCUAUUUAUACUAAUGCUAGUUUCUCUUUCCACGUCAGUUAAUUUUUGAAUCUGCUGGCAGAAACCAUUCCUUGCUGCCUGUUGGCAGUUUAUAAUGCAUCAGGUCAACAGAAGUCUAGAGUAACUAUGAAUUGAAAAUAGAAAAUACAAAUAUAAAAAUCACAUGGCAUGUUAAUGGGUCGGAUCCAACACAAACACAACAUAUUUGGGUAGUGUUUGGGUUUAAUUUCUCAAACCUAGAUCCUACCCAAACCCAGAUCUUAUAAGAGAGUUAUGGGUCAGGGUAGGACCUGGUUUGGAUCUCGGUUUUGGGUAUGAAUUAUAGAAAACCAGACCCUACCCAAAUCCAUGUAUAAAUAAUAUAUAUACGCACACAUACAUACAUAUACAUAUACAUACACACACACACACAUAUACAUAUACAUACACACACACACACACAUAAGUAAAUUUCUAACAUAAUCUAAUAUUUUAUGGCCAUUAGACCAAAUACAAUAAGACUUCAUAACUAUUAGGUUAAAGAAUACGCUCUUUGAGUUCAUAAUAUUGCAUUCAACUUCUUGAAUGUUAAUUUUAUUAUUUGAAAACAAAAAUUGAAUGGUAUUUAUUACUUUUUAACUCUAUAUAUUUUCAAAAUAUUUUUACUCUAGUUCUUCACUGUAUUUUUAGAAAAAUACCCAUCAAUACCCAUUGGAAACCUAAACCCAUGAGGGUCCAUGUUUGGUUUACUUUUUCAUAUCCAUAAGGAUCUGGGUUUGGAUCUAGGUGCAGGUCUAGGUAUAACUAAAUUUAAUGGAUCUAGAUCUGAAUCAGAGGGAUCCAAUUCAAACCCUACCCAUUAACAUAGCUAAUCAAAUCAACAUGUACUACAAUAAAAUGGACAUAAAGCAGACAAAAAAGAAAUUGAGAAAAAAUGCCCAAGGUAAAGGAGAUGAAAACUGAAACAAGAAACAUAAACAACUUCCUAACAUCAAAAGUCAACUUUAGGGUUUAUUAUCUCUAUAAUUUUGAUGCAUACUGCUUAAUUCUUUCUACAUUAUUCUCGCACGUCUAGGCAACACGAAAUUGAUAGCUUUGAAGUGGAUUAGACUUUGAUUGUCCCUUUCUUUUAUUUCUUUUAGAAGAAUGAUGUCUAAAUUGCUAAUAACAUAAGUUAACAAGUUUGACUUAGCAUAAUGCAGUUUGCUUUAAGUUGAGUGCACAAUGAAGGGAGAAGAAACAAUCACAUAAUCCUUCUUCCUAUGUCUUAAUUGAACUUAGACAAGGCAUGUAUUUCAUACUUAUUUUACAUAACUACAAAUUUGGCAUGCUAAUAAUCUGUUUGUGACAUCCUCUUCGCACUUUUGAACCCAAAGACGAGAAAAUAAGUCUUCACAGCAACAAUGAGAUUCAUAGGAUGUAAGAGUUGCUCAGCAUGUCAUUCUUAUUGCUCUUAACUUCAAAAACUUUUAAACAACUUUAGCAUUCAACUCGUAUUGUCAUAAAAUUAUGAUAAUACAAUUGUCAACCCACAAUUAGAAAUGUAAAAGCCAUAAUUAUCUACUUGUACUACAGACUUGGACACAAACUUCCCAAGUUCUGCCAAAGAUGAAGUGAAGGAAAAUGACAUAUGACUACUAAGCAACAUCCAAGACAAUUUUCGUCAUGUGAUGUCUCAUACUACACCCUUCAUUCUCCUCUUGGUUCCACAGCGCAAGUUUACAAUGACUAAUGUUAUAGAAUGUGAUUCUCUUAUACAGGAUUUAAUUUUCUAGAACCCGUUUCACAAGGAUUAUCUUCUAGAAAACAGUAUUAGCAAGCUUUGAAUGUAUUCAAUAGAUUAGGUAUAACGCAAGGAAAGCCACAUACUAUUACAAAAUAUUUUACAUAUCUCAUUGGGCAGUCAAACCCACCACAUAGGAGUGUCAAUCAACUCUCAAACUGUGAGCUCAUAAGCCGUUGGUACCACUCUCUCAUAUACAUCAUUUUACGAUCUCUUUGUGAUGGCUGGGUCUUGACUUAGCUGCCGAACUGACCUAAUGAAAUUAUAGACGUGGCCAAAGGGGUUCAAUCUUAUAUUACUCAGGGAGCGCUGUCCAACAAAAAAAUCAUUAGUUUUGAAUCCUUGUAUUCUGUCCGAGUAAGCAACUCAAAAUUCCUAUAGUUGAAUUUCAUCUCUGAGAGAGUAAACUGGCGAAAGGGCUAAGGCAAUGUUUGGUUCUCUACCAGAAUUGCACUUGUUACCUAUUGAAAUGUAGCCUUAUAUGAAUAUGAUACAAUUCCAAUUCCAAUCUAAUCAAAUCCUGGCAGAGAAGCAAAGAAAUCCAUUGUAAUUUUCAAAACCUCACGAGGUAAUAAUAAGAUUUUGAAUGUAAUUUUAAUACAAAAAAAAACAGAUGAUAAUUUGUUCAAUCUUCGAAAUUCCAAAAGAGCUUUAUCAAUUGUAAUAAUUCCAAACCGGCUGGUCGAUUAAAACAAACCAAGAACUACUACGGUAUUUAAAAAAAAAAAAAAAAAAAAAAAAAAGGCACCAAAUUACAACAUCAAAAUUGAUAAAUAGAUGAAUAAAAAGUUCGGUUAUGAAAAAGCCAUUGAAAACAGGAAAUACAUACUCGGGCAUGCGUGGUGUCCAGGCCAGAAGAUUGAAGGGCGUCAUGAAGAACAAAUUUGAGAUCAUUCGCUGGUAACGAAAAUUUACAAUAUGCCGGGCGUCUUCUAGCGCUGCUACUGCAUUGAGAUUUAUUUGGCGAUUUUGAAGACUCGGCAGAAUAUGGCGUUGAUGACAAAAGAUUGAAAGUCCCAGCGAUCCACGAAGAACUACCCAUUCCAGCACCACUCAUCUCUCUCCCCUUGUUUAGCCUGCUGGGAAUGAUAACCCCUUUUAUUUCGGCAUAACAUCAGAAACCUUGAGGUUUCUUCUAAUAUUACUUGGCACCCGUGAGGUUUUGAAAAUAUCAUUUACCUCCCCUAAUAAUUGUAAAUAGACUAUAUUAACCCUAACUUGAUACAUAAUUGACAUAUCAAAUAAAUGGAAGUCAAAGAAUUUAAAAAAAUAAAUAAAAGUCCUUUUCUUCUCUUUAUCCUUUCUCCAACAUUCUCUCUUACUCAUUUUUUGGAUGACUAUGCGAUUUUUUAUUUGUAAAUUAUAGUAAAUUGAAUUUUGUUUAUCUUUUAUUUUUUGUGAUUGUGAUAUAUGGGAUAUGAUUUCGUUAUCUAUUUUGACUUGAUUUUUAUAAUGAUUAGUACAAUUUAAAAGCUUAAGCAUGGAUUGAAAAGAAAUUGGAAAAAAACUAUAAAAUUCAUAAGAAAUCAAUUUUAAGCAUAUAAAGUUAAAUUGGUGCUAGUAUAUUUUUUGUAAGGAUUAAUCUUUCUUACACUGACAGUGUAAAUAUCUUUUUUAUUUUUUAAUUUAUAUUUUUAUGAAUUAUAGCACAUUGUGACGUGGUAGUACUACUAGAAAUUAUUUUUUAAAUGAUGAUUUUCUUGUAGUAAACAAAGUAGUUUAGGAGUGCUUUUAUUUAGCAAGCAAAAUGGUAGUUUAGGAUUUUUUAAUAUUUUGUUACACAAAUAUUAGAACUAAGAGAGGUAAGUGAUAUUUUUAAAAUUUUAGAAGUAAUAGGUGAUAUUAAGAGAAAUCUCACAGGAAGUUUAUGAUAUUAUCCCUUUUUUGAUGGGAGUAUUUUUUUUCCACACAUAUGAUAUGUGUUUUGAAAUUAAGGAAGGAAAACAGAUAAUCCUAUUAAAAAUGUUUAAAUGCACUAAAUGUGACGCCUCACAUCUCCCUAAGGCGGACCAAAGGGUAUCCGCGGACGCCUGCCCAACUCUCGCCAGGACUCAAGCAAUUCCAUUCAAUUUAAAUCCGAACUAAACAUUUCGAAGAGAGAGAAACAUGAAUACAAAUAGUGCGGAAGCGUUCAAGCUUAACAAGUCACUUAACAUGUAACCAUUACAUCGGAAAUCAUAAUACGUCUUAAAUUCAAAAUACACGUCAGGGCCCAAACUUUUACAUUUCAAUUCCAAAAGUACAACUCAAACCAGGGCCUAGUCAAAAUAUAGCAAGAGUCUUAACAAAAGUACAACGAAGGGUUUCUCCAUACUUCUCCAAGAUUCAGUCCUGUUAAGGAAAACAAAACUAUAGGGUGAGCUAAACGCUCGUGAGGCCAAGAACACACAUGCAAGCACUUUGUUCAAAUAGCAAUCCCAAAUUUAAUAAAUAAAACCAUGUCUUUUCAAUAAUCAAUCAUUCGAACAGGAAAAGAAAUCAGAAACAAUUCAAGGAUAUAGUAACUCUCAGGAGCUAAGUUCCACUCGCUCUGCCGAUGUCAUUCGUAUACCUUCCCGCGUUGACCCUCCUGUCAACCGGGUCGGUAUUUCCAUUUCCGUAGAUCACCACUUACUUCCCUCCGUCCACCGUACACCUCAAGGGCCCACAAAUCAUUUAUAAGGCGAUACUCCACGAGUAUGCCAAGCAAGACCUCUCAUUAGGUCGAGCUUAUAAAUCUCAUGGCUCGUCCAAGUUCCCGAACAAGCCCAUUGCCGGCUCGAGUCCAAGGACGGCCUAUGAGUUUGGGCGUCCCCCAUUCAUUUAAAAGUCGAGGAGGUUCACUCCAACGACAUAUGUAAUCAUAACAUAACAUUUCAUUUCAUUCAUUCAUUUAAUACAUUUCAUUCAUUCAAUACAUUUCAAUCAUUCAUUUGAAAUUAGAACGAGUGUGAUAAAGUACACACCCGCCCUUAUUUUCUUAAAUUCCAACAAUUACCACAAAUAAAUAUGUAUCAAGGAUUCACACACUUGACACUCACCGAGCAAUUCAAUAAGAAUUAUUUAUGGGAGUUCAAGUAUCCACAGUAAGAUCCUCUUGAAUGUCUCCUUGUGCGCCUGGCAAUUAAUAGUGGAUAAUCACUCAACAAUCCAAUUAUCAAGGAAGAUUGUACACUAGUACAAUCUAAAGAUUAUUUCACAAAAGGAACCUCAAUUACUCGUAAAUCGAGGUUCAACUUGCCUUUUAUUAUGUACAAUAUUAUUUGAGUUUUUAUCAUGAAAAUCGAGGGCAAAACGUUUGAAUAAUACUAAGAGAAUUAAGAGUUUUGGAAAAACUCCUUUGCCUUGAAAAUUGAGAAAUUUCAGUUUUAUCCUAAAUCUUUGAAAAUUCGAAUCUCUCUCGAUAUAAGCCCAAAACUGGAAAACUUUAUACCGUUGGAAACCUUUUGGAAAGUGCUAAAAGUUCUUAGAAGACACCUUUCCAUGAAUCUAAGUGGAAAGUACUCAAAAAUGAGCUUGAAAUACAGACUCGGCGUACAAGGCAGAAUUAAGUUGGAUUUCGGCCAACUUUGAAAAUUCGGCACGGUUCACACGUUGCAAACCAGCCUCUAAAUUUGUCAAUCAAGUAGAGUUGCAAGUGAGGUUUAUAACAAAACAAGCGGAUCAAGAAUCGGAGUUUCGAGUACCGAGAUAUGGUAGCUCGAAGUUGGGAAAUUCAAGACUGGAGAAGAAUUUCCAGAUUUGAACCUCCAACACUAGAAAUUUAAUUAGGUAUCGAAACGAACUUGGAUUGGUACCAAAAUUGGCAGUACUUUACUCCUAUAUGAAAGGUACCGCCCUAUCAAAUUUCAGGGAAAAAUACCUUCGGAAAGAUAGAUAAUUAGUCAACCAAAGUUCAGGAAAAAUUCUAAGGCAAUCUGCCUUUUGACUUUCAUUUCCCAAUUUCAAAUCGUUUAACCAAGAAAGCUAUCCAACCAUGGUUCAUUGGUGAAAUAAAGGUCUAAGAUACAUCCAUGAUACCUUUGGUAAUGGUUUAGCAUCAAAACUUCAAUUAAUAAAAAUCAUUCCCAAGUUUUGUCCCAAAUCAGUCCAAAUAUUACGUUUUUCCAAAACAGGGCAGUCCUCUUGUUUUAGUCACAACUCAAGUCAAUUUAACUCAGAAUGAGGCAUGGUUUAUGGCGUUAGAAAAUACAUUCAUAGGACUAAAAGUUUACAGAAGAAAAAUUCUGAAAUUUGGCAAGCAACCAGCUAAAAUUGAGCCUCAAGUUGCUGCCUCUACAAACCAUUCCAGCAAAUCCGAGAGACAGGACAGCUAUUUUAAAACGUUUGGUUCGGAUCACUCACAAAGAAUCAGAAUGUGCAUUUUAUCUCAAAUUAAAGCCAGGAAUGUCUAGUUUCAAACGCCACUGACGGCACUUGAUUUCGACACCCGAGGACAGAGUUAUGGCCAAAAUGCUACGCUGGACAGGGUUACCCGAAAAUAAUUUUCCAGCUUGCCUAGUUCACGAAUAAAUUCAUUUGCCCAUCCAAACGUUAAUGUUUUCCAACGAAAAUUUUUACACAUAUAGUAUAACAUAUAAACAUCAGGUUCAUGCCAAUAAAUCACCAAAAAUUGGCCUUAUAGUGGCCGAACAAAACAGGGGCACUUUCGGAAAUUUCUUGUCAUGACCUCAACUUUGAGUUUCCAACAAUAAUACUCCAUAAAUCCAUCAUUUUAACCACUAAACUACCAUUAAAUCCAACAUUAAUCCUCUAAUCAGCAACAACAACCCAAGUGUGGGAAUUCAAGAGCCCACUUUCACAAUUUCCAACUAUAUCAAGCCAUCCAUACACAUGCAAUAACUUAAAGAUGCAUUUCUACCAUCAUAAUCCAAGUUUAAGGUGUAGGAUGAAGUUAUACCUCCUUAGUGCCUUAACCCAGAAAUUUUGGCCCUCAAGAGCUCCAAGAAACCGUGAAAAUGCAGCCCUUUAGUUAGCUAAAUCCACCUCCAAGUAGUUUGCUAGAUGAUCUUCAAGUUUGGUGAAGAUUGGUUGAGGUUUUGGGUUGAUUUGAUGAAGGAAUUUGUGAAGCAAGAGAGUGAGUGAGAGGGGGUGUUGGCCGGCUGCUAGGUGAGAGAAGAUGGAGAGUGAUCAGAUUUCUUUUAGCUUCCAAGAGAAGAUUAAAUGAGUGCGCACAUUCACUCCAAAGUCAACUCUUAUUAGGGCUCGUUUGGCACGUUUUAGGCUCGAUUUUCUCGCGCGUUUGGUUCACUAGUGCACUGAACCUCCAAUGCAUUUAUAUUCAUGUAAGUAUUAUUCACUCUUAAUUGUCCGAAAUAAGGGUCUAAAGUCCCUCAAAUAAAGUCGCGCGUGUGAAAACGCGUACCGUCAAUUUUAACGCAUAACGCGAAACUUCCAAUAAAUUCUUAUAACGAUUGCACUACUAACUAUCACUUGAGUAUUUAUUCAUAAGAUUACCUAUUUUAGGACCAUAGUACAAGUCUCCAAUAUUCCAAGCUUAUUGUGCUCCUACGCGGAUAAAAUCUCCAAGCACUAUUCACUAUUUUUACUAAACGCGCUCCAGGAAAUUAAUUUUUGAAACGAGUCUCUUUAAAAAUAUAACGAAGUUAUAUUACAUGUAUUUAGGUCUAAUAAGACUAGAAAAUAUUCCUUGGGAUAAAAAUCCAAUUAAAUAAUUUAUUAAGCCAUAAAUUAGGCAUAAAAUAAUAGUUUUUACGAGUCCUCACACUAAACACCCUCAACUUUAGCCUCGGUUGUUGAUUGCUCCCUCAAACUCUUUUAUGAGCACUUAACCCCUCAUAUUUUCUUAAUUACAUUUGUAUCUAAUUAUGAUGCCCCAAAACAAAAUCUUAUGAGGGUCUAGAUCAACUACUUGGCAAGGCUAGUGGUUGGUUCUCAUCAAUGGAAUACCUAAUCUAUUUUGAAUUGUACUUAAUACUCAUUUUUUAAAUUUCACUUAUUCCUAGAUUUUUUGAAAAACUAUAAGAAUUUAGCCUGAAAAAGGUGCACUAGUAGAGAUUUAAUUAAUGAAAGAUAGACAUAUAAUUACAAGAAGCUACAUAUAGCUACCAAAUUAGGAUUUGACUUUAAUACAAAUUUUCUCUUUCUUAUUAAGAUGAGUGUAUAAGUGGAGUGGAGGGAGUUUGGGUGUAGACACCAAAUUUUUGGUGUAAUUUCAUUUACUGUUUAUUUUAGUUUGUUUAUUUGUCCUGUUAGUUUUAUUCGAUUUUUAGUUUUUAGUUUAUAGUUUUAUUUUUAUUUUUAAGUUUUUAGCAUAGAAUUUCUUGAAAUGAAAAAUAGAGAGAGAAAAAGGAAAAAUGAUGAAAAAUGCAAAAUGAAAGAAAAAGAAUGAAAAUGGCAAAAAAUAGGUGGAAGUGUGCAUGUGGAACAAGUGUACAAAACAAUCAUGGGACAAGUGUCCCUUUUGUUUAAUUGACAACACAACAUUUUGGUUUGCUUCUUCUGGGUUUAUGAUUUGGGCUUGGAAACUUGAGGCCCUUAAUUUUGUAUGAGCUAGAUUAGUGAAAAUGAUGGGCUAGCCAGAUUGUUUUCCUUGGACUUCCGUUUGGGCCGAAUGAUCUUUAGCCCAAACAAAUAAAUGAAAUAGCCCAAUAGCCUGGUCCAUGAAGAAACCAGAAAACGAUUUUUGUAAAUCAGCCCCUGACUUUCUCUUUAACUAUACUGUGGCCCUGGAUGUCUUCAAUUUCUUUCAAUUCGGUCCUUACUUUAAUUGCAAAUGAGUCCCUGAACUUUAUUUUUCUUUAAUUUUGACCCCAAGACUUUAUUAAUUUUUGCAAUCAAGUCCUUUCUUCUUGUGACUUCUUAAAUGUGGUUUGUUGACAUGAUUUAAUUGAUUCAAAUUCAUGUUUAUUUUUAUCCUUUGUGAUUAUUUGCCAAAUAAAUUGGUGCCUUGACCAUUUCUUUUAUUUUGGAGGAUAAAUAAGUUGAUUUCACUCCAUUAGAGCUUCAUUUCAAGAGAGGUAUAAUUUCUUUUAUCCCUUUUGUCUCUCCUAUGUGAUCCAAUGUGCUAAGUGUGAAUCGCAUGCCUAAUUUGCUUUCAUUACCAUUCUUUAGUUCCAUUAUUUCAUUCCUUCUUGCUUUUAUUAAAUUAUUCUUUUAAAUGGGGUAUGUGUACACCUCUUGGCUUGUAAUAGAUAGGGCUAUGGCGAGCAAUUUGGUCCAUUUUCCCUUUCCCCUUUUGUUUUAGUUAAUGAAUGUAGUAAGUUCAUUAGCUUGGUUGCAUGCCUAUGUGUUACUUGUUACUUGCUUUAUUAGGGCCUUGCAUCUAGUCGAGCCUGCUAAAUGUUACGUGCUACGUGUUUAUGAGUAUUUGGUAUAUCUACUUGCUUUCCAUAGUGUAGAUGAAUGGAAUGGAUGAAUGUACGUCACCACACUAGUCCAACGCUAGUUGUGGCUUCUUUUAUCGUUUCCACUAGUCCAACGCUAGUCGGAAUUCAUAGAAUGGGCUAGUCUAACGCUAGACCCUUAGGGUUUUUCCCUCGUUAGCACAUCAUUUGCUUGUUCACCACAUAUCACGCAUUUUCCUUAGUUUUAUCAUUUGGCAUGAUCCUCGAACCCCUUUUCCUCUCAUUUUAGGUUUUGCAUCCCAUACUAGCUAUAGGGUUCAUUUUGCUUGAGUGUCCCCUUAAAUAUGGGAUAUAGACGAGUGUGGCUUUUUCUAAGCCUUAGCACGCUUGUAUCCUCUCUAUCAAAGGGCAAAUUGAGUCACGAUUUAGGUCUCCCCGUACCCAUUAUGCAUGAAUUCCCUAGGUUCAUGCAUCCACUCUAUCAUUACACUUUCAUUUUUUCCUCCCAUUUGCACACGUACACCUUUUAUCCCUCCAUUUGCACACGUACACCUUUUAUCCCUUCAUUUGCACACGUACACCUUGUAUCCCUUCACUUGCACACGAACACUUUUAUCCUCACUUGCACACAUGCACUUCAUAUUAUCAUUUCACAUACCGCACCUUGCCCACUCACGUGCACAUUUUCACUUACAUAUUAUUGUCUUUUAUUACUUUUUCAAACUCAUGUCCUCACAUUGCAUACAUGCAUUCCAUUCAUUUGCAUCCCACUCGCAUUAUUCGUGACUUCUUCAAAGGAUCGUUAUUGGGCUUCACAAUUAAUGUGAUUGGCACCAUUCAACUUUUGAAGGGAAAUUUCCCCCAAUACCCCUAGGUCUAGGGUUUGCAUUCAUGUAGUGCAUCCAAAUGUAAUAAAUUCUUUGGUUAAAACAAGAAAAUCUUUGAUUAAAUCAACGCAACUAGCCUUGGCUAGGUCGGGGUGCCUUGGAAUUUAUCCUUACCUUCCCCUUUGUCAAAUGUGACUCCCGAACCUUUUUCUUUGGUUUACGUGGACUAGGAGUCGUUUAAAAGGGGUUUCUUACUACUUUUUCCUAAUUUUUUCUUAAAAAAUUCAUUUUUGGGUGACUUGGUACACCCUAACUCUAUACAAAGUGGCGACUCCAUUUUUCAUAUAAAAAACCCUUUUUGAACUAUUUUUCUUGGGUCAAAUCGUCGCAUUUUCAAAAGUCCCAUUUAGACCCAUUUUUUUCUUUUAAAUCACAAAUCCAUUUUUUCAAACCAUUUAUUUAUUUAUUUCAUCAAAAAAUGGGCGCGACAUUGGGAAGAAAAAGAGAAUAACAAGAUAAUAAGGAAGUAGAGAGAGAAGAAAAAUGAAGAAGUCUAUUUCUAUGAUAUUUACUUUUAAGGUUGAUCAUUGUAAGAUCAAUUUUAGAGUUGAUACUUUUUUUAAAAAGAAUAUGAUCUCCAUACUUUAAGAUCCCCAAAAAAAAUCAAUAAUUUUUUGAUAAAAAGUAUAAUAAAUAUAUCAAUAUUUAUAUAAAUAAUCCCAACUAAUUAAUUCAACUACUUACUUUAGGAGAAGAGAUGAGAAAUAGCCAUUCAAGUCUCUUUGCCUUAUUUUGAUGUAUUUGCCAAAUUAAAGUUGUUAUACUGCACUAUAAUCAAUUCUAAUAGAGUAUCUAGUAUACAAGAAUGGGUUAUUUACCUCAAUUUUGUGGUCCUAAGUUGAAAUUAGAGAAAUAUUUUCUUUUUUUAUUUAUUUUCUAGAAGUCAAUUUCUAUAAAAUAGAUUUUUAGAGUCGAGAUUGGAGAGAUCAACUUUUGAUCAUACCCCUCAUAUGAAAUGCAAGAAUGUCCAGAGUGGAAAGGUUGUUCCAUCCGAAAUAUGUUUUUGCUCAGAAUACUAGGAGAAAAUUUAUGGUUCUAAUGUCUAUUACACAAGUCAAAAUGGAAUAUUCAUUCAUUUUCUAAUAUUUGGUAUAAUCAAUAUUUAGAAAUCAGAAUGGAACAUAAUUAUUACAAAUUUAACUUGAUUGCCCUUGAUUUGUUUAUAAGAUAUAACAUGCUUAAUUACUUUUGUUUUAUUUGUUUUACUAUGUUAUUUGUUUAUUCAUGUAUAUUUUUGACAUUGUUUUUCUUUCAGAGUAGUUGAGGAUUGAUAUUAAAAUUUUGCAAUUGUAAAAAAUCAUUCAUUCUAACAUUUUUUAAAUUUUGCAUCCGCUAGCAAUAUGAUUAGCCAUUCAAAUUAAACAUUAGUCCAACACAAGUGAUAAAUUUUUAUUACAUUUUCAUUUUUAUAUGAAAUUCAAAAUUUGCAUAAUUAUUCAAAAGCCAAAGAAUGAUGUAUUUUGAAUAUUUUUUGUUAGUUAAAUGAAAUAUUUAAAUACAACAAAAUUAUGUAUUAUAACAAAUUUCCAUUCAAUUAUUAAUUGGCUCAUAUCCUAAGAUAUAGAUAUAUAAUAAAAAGAUUUAUAAGGAUAAACUUGACAUUUUGCUAUUUGGGGCAGUCUAGGAUAAAUUUGAAAUGAACUUUCUCUAAGACCUUUUUGAUAAUCCAAUUCAACACUUAAAUUUAAUGGAUUUAGAUCUUUUUGUGAUAGGAAAGAUCAUUUCAUUCAAAUAAAUUUGCACUAAUGGCAAAAAAUACAUCAAACAAAUAUGACACAGAUACAUAUAGAUCUGAAAUCACUAGAUAUAACAAAUCUAAGAAAACAAUACAAAUAAAAAUAACAUUGAUACUCCUAUAUAUAUCUUCCAUCCGGAUGAAUCACUGUAACCCAAUAAUCAGUGCAUAUCUACUGACAAUCAGAUCUAAUUAAAACUUUUUCAAUUCCAAACAGAAAUUUAGAUCUAACAAGGGUGAGCCAUCGUUGGUGAUAUCCCGUCAAGAUAUGAUACAGAUAGCAGCACCUUACUCUAACGCACUGGUUGGCAGAUUUGCAGUAGGCGCCCUUCCAUGGAGAUUAUUCGCAAAUUUAUCGUUUCUUUGGGGCUGAGGGGUGAGUGUCGAUAGGCUUAUUAGAUUCCAAGCACAUUCUUUUACGUCCAUCCGUGGAGGAAGAUUACACCAGGCUUUGGUGUCGCAAGUCUUGGUACAUUGGCAAGUUUCAUAUGUCCCUGUCGAAAUGGACAAUCGAUUUUAAACCAGGAGCAGAGUCAUCAAUUGCACCAGUUUGGGUCAAUUUUCCGGGUCUUCCAUUGCCGUUUUUCGAAAAGCAAUUUCUGCUUAAGCUGGGUAACUUACUUGGCCGACCCUUAAAAGUGGAUGAAGCUACGGCUUCACUAAAGCGUCCUUCUGUAGCCCGUAUAUUGUUGGAGGUCGAUGUAUUGCAUUCUCCCAAAUCCAGGAUUUGGAUUGGAGAUGAUCAGUGGGGUUUUUGGCAGAAAAUUGAGUAUGAAGAAUAUCCUUCUUAUUGUGCUUUUUGCUCGUUGAUUGGUCAUACAGAAAAUAUCUGUCAUAAAAAACAUCCGGAAUUGCGGCCUGUGCGCCGUUCUAGACCAUCACCUAAGCCUCACGUCAGACAAGUCUUUCAACCAAAGGGGGUAACUGCUGUUGAUGAAUCUCUUCCUGUUGUGGAUUCUGGGAUUGUAAUAGUCCGAGAGUAAAAGAGCAUGAAAACAGUACUUCUGCAACGGAUGUUUCUACUUCUGUUAUUCCAUCAUCGUCUUCUAACCCUAUUAGAGGUAAUUCUCCUCAAGCUAAUGUACCUGUUCAUGAUCCUGUUCUCCCUAAUACAACUCUGGGGGUUGAUGCAGAUACGCAGAAUGUUAUCUCUGUAGUCACCCUUGUUCUCCCAGAUUCUUCUCUCGAUUAAAGCUUUAUCGGACAAAAUCCCUACCUCCGCCCGGGAUGACAAUCUGUUGCCUAUUCCGUCUGCGUCUUUAGUACCGCACCAUGAGCGGAAUUAUUCUUCUCUCUCUCCUUGACGGUACCACGGUCAUGUUCGAUGGUGCGGUCUAAUUCCGAAGGCCAAUCAGGGGUGCAAGGUCUUUCCUUGGUUGAUUUAAAAAAUUUUCAUGAUCGGCUGCCCAACAGAAUCAUUGCAUCUAAGCUUUGCUGCGAUCCGUUUGUUACUGGAGUAUCUCUGGAUGAUACCGACACUCAUUACUGCAAAUUUGAUCCAAGGCCGCAAGGGUCGUAGUAGACAGGCCAGGAAACGAGAAGGUAUGACUUCAUCUGCUCAUUAUAAUCUUCGGUCUAAUAAUGUUAAAUCCGAUUAAGUUUAUAGUGUGGAACAUUCGUGGUGCUUCGAACAGGAAGUCAUUACGGCAUAUUCAUUUCACUUGUAGAUCAAACAAUAUUCGUUUACUGAUUCUAUUGGAGCCAUUAGCCAAUGUCUCUCAUUUGGAGAAUGUGCAACUGUUCUUGGGUUUGAUUUUGCUCGGUCCUUCGUGCACAACAAAAUUUGGAUAUUCUGGUGUUCAGAUGCUCGAUAUUCUUUUGUAGAAGCCUCGGAUCAAUUAGUUCAUAUAUGCGAAGUGUAACAGAAUUGGUAGGAGAAACGGUUAUGGGAGGCUCUGGAGCAAUUUUCCACGUCUAUUACUCUUCCAUGGAUUGCCGUAGGGGACUACAACGUUAUUUCUUCUGCGGAGGAAAGGAUUGGAGGAUCAGCCCCGAAUAUUCGUGAUUUGGAGAAUUCAACUCUGCUUUAAAUCGGAGUGGUCUAUUUCCAGUUCAGUUCGAUGGGUCUGCUUACACAUGGACAAAUGGUCGCAUGUGGCAGCGACUUGAUCGAGCGGUCGUUAAUAGCGUUUGGCUGUCUGAUAUUGAGAUGACUCGAGUUGCUCAUCUUCAGAGAAGGCGGUCUGACCAUUGUCUGUUGCUGGUCAGGGGAGGAAGUACGGCAACACGACGGUCUUCCUUUCGAUUUCUUAAUGUCUGGCGAGGUCAUUCCAAUUUUCAACAAACAGUAAGGUCUGCUUGGCUCAGCCUGUUUCUGGAGUUGGAAUGCAGAAAUUCUUUAAUAAAUUGCAUGGUUAAAAGAGUUUUAUCUAGAUGGAAUGUGGAUGUAUUUGGGAAUGUCUCUCAAAGGGUCAAAGUGGCAGCGGAUAAUUUAUUGGCAAGGAAAUUUUGUAUAAUCAAAACAGGACACGUUGUCUAGGACGGCAGUUCAUGAGGCAAGGGCAGUUCAUUCUCGGAGCUAGCGUUGGAAUGUGAAUUCUGGAGACAAAAGCAGGCGAUCAAAUGGAUCAAAGAGGGCGACGCUAAUACCUCUUUUUUUCAUGCAGCAGUUAAGCAGAAACGCAGCUCUAAUUUUAUUGCACGAAUUAGGGGCAACGGGGACAGUUGGUUUGAUAGUGUCGAGGAUAUUAAGCUGACGGCGAGUGAUUUUUUCUCCUUUUUGUUCACAGCAGACCGCGCUGUUUGCUCUGGCAGCAGACCAUCACUUGAUCUGCCCAAGCUUACGCAAGAGGAGAACGACAUGCUGCUGAAAUCACCAUCGGUAGAAGAAGUUUAUACGGUAAUAUGUUCGUUGACCCUCAGAGUUCUGCGGGGCCUGAUGGUUUUGGAGGGGGUUUUUAUCAAAGUUGCUGGGAGUGUAUAAGGGACGACUUCAUGGACACGGUGAAGGAUUUUUUCGCUGGUGCCACAAUGCCCCGCAGAUUUUCAAGUACAACGAUCACAUUACUGCCCAAAAAGGAAGGUGCAUGUGAGUGGAAAGAUUUCCGACCAAUAAGCUUAUCUAACGUUAGUUCAAAGAUCAUUUUUAAGAUUUUGUCUACCCGCAUUAAUCAACUCAUUCCUAAGUUGAUUUUAGAGUUCAGACUGGCUUUAUCCCAGGUAGGGGAAUACAAGAUAAUGUUCUGCUAGCUCAGGAAUUAAUUCUAGAUUUGGACAAGAAACUGCGUCACCCUAACGUAAUAUUGAAAUUGGAUAUGGAGAAGGCCUAUGACAGGGUGGACUGGUGGUUUUUAUUAUACAUGCUUCGUGAAUUUGGCUUUAAAGAAAGUGUGGUAGAUCUGAUUUUUCGAUUAAUAUCCAACGUUUGGUUUUCUGUCAUGGUUAAUGGGGAGCUCACGAGCUUUUUCAAGUCGACUAGAGGGUUCGUCAGGGGGAUCCUUUAUCUUCCACUCUUUUUUCUUUUUGUCUCGGAAUUUCUUGGAAGGGGCCUUCAGCAGCUGUUUACUAGCAAUCCAGGAUUUAGAUUUUUGACUAAGGGAGGGCUGGUCCCGUUUCUUGCUUUUGCCAAUGACGUGAUUAUUUUCACGCGGGCAUCGUCUGAAUGUCUGCAGGCUGUGUUGUCCUUUCUACGAGAAUAUCAAACUCUUCCUGGCCAAAAAAUUAAUCUCUCCAAGAGUCGUUUCCUUUGUUCGUCGAAGCUUUCUUCGGAUGUUAUCAACUUAAUUCAGCAAGUAACGGGAUUUCAAGGGCAGUCUUGGCCUGUCAAAUAUUUGGGAGUUCCACUUUCUCUUGGCCGUAGUAAAAGUGUCUUAUUUGAUGGAGUUAUUGCUUCCGUUAGAGCAAAGCUUCAUCAUUGGAGUUCCCGGUUUCUUUUUGCUAGGGGGAAGCUCAUCUUGCUUCGUCAUGUGUUGAAUUCAAUGCCUCUUUACCUCUUGCAAGUUACUAAACCACCUAAGCGGAUUUUUCUUAGAUUGGGCAAGCUAUUUAAUGCAUUCUUGUGGGAUGGCAAGGAUGGUAGACGGAUUCAUUGGUCUUCCUAGGAAAAAUUAUGCUUUCCAGUCGAAGAAGGGGGGUGGGAUUUGAUCACUGUUGGACUUAGAGAAGGCUUUUGCAAUGAAAUUAUGGUGGAGAAUACGUCAAAAGAGCUCUCCUUAGGCCAGAUUUAUGCACCGUAAGUACAUUGGCGAACAGUACCCAUUCUUGUCUGCGGUUGCUGUUGGGUCGGCAACAUGGAAGCGGGUCUGUUCGGUUCGGGCUAUAACUGAAGACAAUAUUCGUUGGCGGCUUGGUGAGGGAUUCAUCGAUUUGUGGCAUGAUCGAUGGCUAUUCGACGAACCUCUUAGCAGACAGUUUGCUGGUGUGCCUCCUCAUUUUUUAGUAGCUGAGUUUUAUACCUCUACGGGGUGGAAUACUGAACGUCUCCUCCAAGUUCUUCCUCGAUCUGUUGUUAAUAUUAUUUCACAAACACUUGUUGAUCCGACCCUUAAGGAUGAAUUGGUUUGGGCUCCUUCAGCGGAUGGUACAUUCACUGUGUCGUCAGCCUGGGAUUUAGUUAGACAGCGGCGUAACCUGUCAUUGGUUUGGCGUGGAAUUUGGUGUCCUUUGCUGCCUUUAAAAAUGUCAUACUUAGUUUGGAGGGUAUUGGCUGAUUUUCUUCCUCUGGACGACAAGCUCCGUUCUAGAGGAAUUUCCAUGGUUUCCAAAUGUGAUUGCUGUGGUAAUGCAGUGGAGUCUUUGAAUCAUAUUUUUUUGCAUGGCAGGUUAGCAAGUGCUAUUUGGCAGCACUUCUUUCUGGCUUGCGGAAUUCCGUGGGGGUCAUUCUCAUGUGUUUCUUCGCUGCUAGUGGUGUGGUUUCAAUCUUCUGGGAAUGGGCGAUUGGAUCAUGUUCGGUGUGUUAUACCAGUUGUAGUGUUAUGGUUUCUGUGGCGUAGUAGAAACGAUGCUCGGUUUGGAAAUAUCCCCCCUGUCUAUUCUAAAGUUAUUUUCGAUAUCAAUGGGUGGUUGGUUGCUACGGGGGCUGCACGCAUGCUGAACAGAUUUCAGUUGGAGGGGGAUACGGAUACGUAUUUUGCACGUUACUUUCAGAUCAAACCAGCUAAAUCCUUAUGUCCAAAGGCUAUAUCAUGGAUGAAGCCUCCUCGAGGGUCAAUCAAACUUAACACUGAUGCAAGUGUGUCAAAUGGUUUGUCUAAAGGCGGUGGAGUGAUACGAGAUUUUGAAGGGAAGAUGCUUGGUGCUUUUUAUAAGGAAUUCGGGGAAUAUGAGGUGGUACUUGUGGAGGGCUUAGCAUUGUUAACUGGUCUACAGUGGUGUGUUGGAACAGGGUUGUCAGAUAUUUUGGUGGAAGUGGAUUCACUAGCGUUGGUACGGUUGGUUACUAGUCAAUCUGUUGGUAAGUGGCCGUUGUGUAGCGUCUUAAGUCAAAUUCGAUUGUUACUAUGCAAGGUGAAGGGGACCAUUACACAUAUUUAUCAUGAGGCGAAUGCCGUGGCAGACAACUUAGCUGCUUUAUCUCUGGAGAGUCCAUAUGUUACUUUCCAAUCUCAUCAGCAACUUCCAAGUAGAGCUCGGUCGUUGAUUAAUUUGGAUGCAAUAGAUUAUCCAUAUAUUCGCAACUUUAAUGUUUAGGAAUAGUACUCCUAGUUCUCUGGCAUGUAUUGAAGGUUGGGACUUUUCCCUCCUUCGUAUUUUUAGCGUUUGCAAUUAAUAAAAGUUGGGGAGUUUUCCCCUUUUGGAAAAAAAAAAAAGAUCUACAAAAUCUAAAAUUUCACAGAGAUAAAAAUCUAAAAAACUCUCAUAAGGAAAAAUCCAGAAGAGAAUAAAACUCUCACUAGAACAAUUUAGGAGAGAAGAAACUCUUACUAGGAGAUCCUAGAAGAGAAGAAUCUCUCAUUAGAAAAUUUAUUCAAAUAAGAGAAACUAAAAACUAUAAAAAGUACAUCCUCCCAUGAGGAAAGACCAGAUUUAGUCUCCCUCUCAUGAGAGAAAUGAAGAAGAUCUUGAUUGGAAGAGUUCUAGAGAAAAAUGAGAGAAAAGAGUUUUUUUUAAUGGAUUCAAAUCUUUACAUGUUUAGAUACGUAUAAUAAUCAAAAAUUGAAUAUUUGAAUUAAUUAACUGGCAUUGAAUUUCCUAGGCAAAACUUGUUCCAAAAAAUAAGUAAUGAGUUAUUUGCAUAUUACUUAAUGUGAUAUACACUCAAAUAUCUCAGAUUUUGUAUUUAACAAUUCAUUAAUUUAAUGGGUUCGGAUUUCAUGUUUUAAAUUUCAAAUUUCAGAUUUCAAAAUUCAAUUUUAUCAAACGUACCUUAAGUUUUCUUGAAGAAUGGAGAUUUAAAGAAAAAGUUGAAGUAAGCAUUCUACGAGGAAAGGGCUCUCGCACUUAAACGAUCAUGCCAAGUAGGGAUGACAGUAAGGUGAGGGAACCCUCCUGCCCUCACUGCGAAACCCAAAACUCCCUUUGUGCCCUGUCCUAUCACCCACCACCCUUACCUCAACCACAUCUCUCGCCUCACUCUGUUGCCUCCGUGGGUGCCCUCACCUGACCUCGAUGCUAUUUUCUUUUUAUAUUUUAUUUUAUUUUAAUAUGUAUAACACUGAUAAUAAAUCUACUAAUCAUUCUUUUGAAUUUUCAGCAAAAAUUUUAACAUGAGAAAGUUUAGAAAUUAUUUUGAUUAUGUGAAUCUGUUUCUCUAUGUUUGAUACUACACAAGAUGUAAAUCAAUUAUGAUUUUUUUUAUAAACUACAUGCCAUAAGAACAAAAAGUAAAUUAACAUAAAGAGAUUAUCAUUUAACCACAAAAAAAUUAACAAGAAGGAUUAUAUCAUUUUAUCAUUAGAAAAUAUCAUAUUAUCAAUUUAAUAUUAUGUGUAUAUAAUUAAUUAUAUUAUGUAUUUUAAAUUAUAUACAUACAUACAUAUAUAUAUAUGUGUGUGUGUAUUUAUGUAUGUAUAUGUAUGUAUGUGUGUAUGUAUAUAAAAUUUAAGUAGGGGGCAGGACAGGGAAUACUCCUAUGCCGUUUAAAAGUGGAGAGAGUUUUCUCUCUCCGCCACUAUCCCACAUUUCCCCCACCCCGCAUUUUCCCACACCACAUAGGCAUCCGUCCUCAUUGCCAUUUUUAAUACCAAACUCAAAAUUGAAUGGAAAAGUUGGAAGGAUAUUUCCCUUUUAGGCCAUUCUUGCAUACCGAACAGUGUAGAGUGUGAGUAUCGACAACCAGAGUAGCUUUAAUACGACCCGCUUCAAAGUUUUAUGAAAGUAAGAGAGAGUUCUUCCUGCAAUAUUGGGAAGAAUAGAAAGGAGCGCAUUGUUUAUAGGGUUGUUUCACUGUGUAGAACAUUCUGAAUCAAUAAUUUAUUAGAUUUAUAUCAGUGAAUGCAAUUUUAACCACUCUUCACACUUCUAUAACCACAAAUUCUUUUCAAGUUCUUUUCUUGCCUUUUUAAGCAAAUUCCAAUUUUAAUAAUGAUCAUUGUCUACAAGAUAUGCCAAAUGGUUGGAUCAAGCUGGACAAAAUUGUACCUAUUGAUGCAAGCUAUAAUUCAAUCUCUAUUAAUCCAUUUUUUCAUUACAAAGAAUCUACUGCUUUCAUAAGUAUUAUAUGAGAUAACUACGAAGGAGGAAGUAAGAAGAGAGUUUGAAAGCAAAGAUAGAAGAAACUCUGUGAGAACCCGUAAAUUUUCUUAUUUUCUAGGGUUUUAUUUUAUUUAAUCGCACGUUUUCUGUAAUUUCUUUAUUAGGAAAAAUUUUCUAAAUCAUUUUUAUGAGUAAAUAGGGUUUUUAAAUCAAUUUUCUAAUAUAAGUGAGUUAAUGAGAUUUUAGAAGUGGAUACCGGGCGUGGGACCCGCUAGUGCCGAAAGUUCGGUAAAAUUUGGCCAGUUAGGUUAAGUUUCAUCUACCGAAAUUAAUUUACUAGGUGUUAAGAGAUAAUUAGAGGUGACUAGAUGGAUUGGUAUGAGAGGGACAAGAGGAUAGCCAUGCAUUAAUGGUGGUGACAAGUGUCACUUGGAGAGUAAUUCUUACCUUUGACCACUAUUCACUACUUUACCAAUUAAAUCAAAAAUUGACUCAAAAAUCACCCAAAUUUCAAGCUUCUUGGCCGGCCAUCUCCAAGGGAAAAGAAAGAAAAACUCUCAACUUUCUUGCUUCUCAUCUUGCACAAUCUCUCAAUUUAACCGAUUAAACUUGAGUUUCCUCAAUAAAAACCCCUAAUCUAGUGGUAGUAAGGUUGGUUGUGAAGUGGUUUGGAAGAUUAAGGUGCUAAGUUGCUUCCUUUCUUGGGUUGGUAAGGUGAGUAGCUAAGGGACCUCUCUUUUCUUUCCAAUAAUGCUUAAUUAGUGACCUUGUGACAGCCCCACUUUCCCCUAAGUCGAACCAAAGGGGUUAGCGGACUGCCUGCCAAACUCUCGCCAGGACUAACGGUGCAGUUCAGAGCGAUCUAUUGCGUUCCGAACUUAUAACGUGCGUAAACAAGGCAAAAGGGCAAAAUAACCCAAAAUAAAAAAAAUGAAAUUCGGAGUCGACCAUGAAUAGUAACCGACCCGUCAGAACGCAAUCAAAUAUCAAACAAACAUUCAUAUCUUGAACGUUAGCAAUUACAAUCCAAAGUGACAUACAAAAUUUCAAAAGUUAAUAUAUACACGGUUUGCCAAAUUGAAAGUGAAAACGACCCUAAAGAUACAUUUAGGGUUUCACUUCAUAUACAAUACAAAAGAGAUAUACAUCUAGUUCAUUCGGCAAUCAUCUAUCAAGAUUCAUUCCAAAAAGAGUCAUAUUCCUGUAAGGAAAACAAAAGGAACGGUGUGAGCUAAUUGCCCAGUGAGAUACUAUCACUUACGCAACCAAGUGCAUAUAAGCAUCAAGCUUUCAAUCAAUAUAAUAAAAAUAAACAAAGGCACACGUCAAAUAUGGUGAGAAAAGGAUACAGAUGGCUCUCAAGAGCCCUUUCCUCGUUUGCAUUUCUUGAUCGGACGUCAUUGACCCUCCGUCAAUGUUCAAAAUAACCAACCGUAGACUCCACUUUACCUCCACUCCUUCCACCUAACAUCCCCUACCGGGCCCGAACUCCAAACACUUGCACUUUGGUAUUACUCGAGUAUACCGGAAUCGAGAGUCUCGCAUACUACAAGAUUCCAUAUAACUUUACCCAAGGUUCAUUAAUUGGCACGACCAAGCCCUCGCCGGCUCGAUUCAAUCAACUACCAAUGGGGUUGAGCUCAUUGAUAACAUUUGUAGUCGUUGGAUACUCGUCCAAUCGACACCAAGUCGAGUACUUUCAUUUCAUGUAACAUUUCAUGUAACAUUCCAAUAACAUGACAACAAUGAUAUAAGGCAUAUAAGUGAGAGUGAUAAAGUACACUUUCACUGCAAUCAAGUCACAUUCAAUUCACUUCAAGCAAUUUACAUUCAAAGCCAUAUAGUAACACACAAGUGAGUAGUACACUCACCAGGGUCAUGCAGAUACCUCCCAAAAGAGAGCUUUAAUCACCAAUAAACCCUAAAAUAAUCCAAGGAAAACAAUUGAAGGUUCCACUUUCAAAAUUGAGUAUACAGAAUGCACAUGUGAGGCUCGACUACCAGUCGUAUGCCUCGCCAAAUUUACUAAAGCAAGGGUGCAAAACAUGAUUUUUGGUAACGAAAAGGUAACAUGAAGACCUAGGCUCAAACAACCCAAAAGCCCUUGCUCAAAACACAAGUAAAUCCAACUAGCCUUCAAGUAAAAUUUCGGCAGCAUAUCCCUUGUGUUUACCUAUUUUCCAGCCAUCAUGGCUUCAUUAUUUCCUCAAAUCAGUCCCAACAUCUUGUACAAAAAUAAUCUCAUUCCCAAAAGCCGUUCACUAGGCUUAAUGGUAUUCAAGUACAAAAUUUAGCUAGGAAAUAACCGAAUAUGAAAGUCAAGCCCUAACUAUUCAAAUGAACACAAUAAGACUCGAUUACAAGUCAUAAACCAAUUCUAUAUACUACCAAAACAGGGUUCCCUAAGCAUACACAAACAUUAAAGGAAACCAGAAAAUUCGGAAAUGCAAUUAGCUUUGGCCUUGAAAAAAAAACAGUUUUUGUCCUCGUUUUGCGGUAAUGGCACCAAUUUCACUACGAUUAUCGGAUGAGGUACAAGACCCACCAUCUCGAAGCUAAAAGACAGGGCUACAACAUCACAGAAGGUCACUCAACCCAGUUUUGAGUGCAAACAGGUCAAAAAUGCAAGAUACUACAUCAAAAACGUAAAACAGAUUCACCAAAACGCAUUCUAGCGGAAACAUCAUAACUCAGACUCUCCAAGUCCAAAUCCAAAAUUCCAAAACCAGCUGAAAGCUAAGGAACAGGGCUACAUUUCAUCAGAAGACCUCAACAACCAAUUCGGAAGCAAUUCCAGCCAAAACAACCAAUUACAGGCCAAUUCUUGCAUUCGGGUAAAACCAGAACAGCAAUAGUAAUUUUGACUUUUCUCACUCUAUGCUACUCCGAUUGACCUGAAAUUUUGUAGGCACCUCUAAAAUGUCAUUCCCUACAACUUUCAUGUUUUAAGCUAAGGCCAAUUCGGCCUCUAACUAGGAGCUAUAAAUUCGGGCAGAAUGUUCCUUCAUGAACCCUAGGUUUUUCAAUUUUCUUCCAAAACAGAAAUUGGUUGCAAUUAAUCACUUUUUCCACCUUCUAGAUGCCUUAAACAUCAUUUCCAAUCAUCAUACAUAGCCACACAAUCAUGCUUAUAUUAAAACAGAAAAAUCCCCAAAAAUAAUAAAACUUCAUCAUUUCAACCACAAAUCAAGAAAUAAUCCAUAAACUUGCAUCUUAUACUCCCACUAAGCAUGAUUUAAGCAUCAAUUAAAGGAGGAGGGUGGUUCUUCACAACUUACCUUAAAAACAAGAGAGAGAGAGCUAUAGGUCCUCCUAGCUUUCCAAAUCACUCCACCAAUCAACUUACUAACACUAAUUGAAGAGGUUUUAUGGAGUAAGUUCAAGUUUCAAUGGUUGGUUUUGAUGAUUUGGAGCAAAAUGGAAGCAAAACUUGAAGAGUUUCUUCCUUUCUUUUUGAGAGAGAGGGCCGGCCAACAAGGGAGAAGAAAUGAAGAAUUUUUGGUUGUUUUUUGAUUUAAUUAGUCAAUUGGUAAGACCAUGAAUAGUGGUCUUAAAGGUAGACCACUCAAAUGGUGACACUUGUCACCUUUUAUUAAAUAUCUACCUAACUUGUCUCUCUCAUAUCAAUCCAAAUUGCAACCUCUACUUAUCUCUUAACACCCAUAAAUUAAUUCCAGUAUCCAAAACUUAACCUAGUUGGCCGAAUUUUUCGAACUUUUCGCACUAGUGGGUCCCACGUCCGGUAUACGCUCUUAAUUUCUCAAAACCUAUUCGAUACUAGAAAAAUCAUCUAAAAAUUAUAUCUGCUCCUUAAAUUCAUCUAGCAAUUUUUUUCUAAUCACGAAAAUGCGGAAAACAAGCCACGGAAAAUAAUAAAACCUAGAAAAUGGAAAAAAAUACGGGUUCUCACACUCUCUCCCCCUUAAAGAAAUUUCGCCCUCGAAAUUUUACCUUCAAAAUUUAAAGUAACCAAUGGCCUGUACCUUCUCCGUCUUCAGAGUCAGAAGAAACAAGAUUCUUCAUUCCAGUCCCUUCUCCACUUGACGGUCCAGGGUCGGUCUUGGUUGGUUGUUGGUUUCUUUCUUUUUACCGCUUUAAUCGGGCAAUGAGCAAUUCGAUGCUCGGCGCUCCCACAACGCAGACAUCUCCUCCCCUUUCUCCAACAAUCAUUCUCAGUGUGAUUGGCCUUUCCGCAAUAGUCACAAGUCAAGUGGGAAGCCAUCUUUUUGCUUUCCGGAGAAGUCUCCCCCUGUCCGGUUUGGCUUCCUUUGAUAAAUCUUUUAUCUACUGCCCCCAAUGUCCAUGGCGGCCAGAAUAACUGGUUCACUUUCUGUACUUUAGAAGGUGCCAUUGCUUCGCUAGGUUCCUCACUCACGCUACCCACUGCACCCCUUUUCCGUAUUUGGAAAGCUUUCACUUGCGCCUUUGCAUUCUCGAUUCGUUGAGCCUUUUCAAGGGCCUCCUCGGAAAUCCUUCGUAUUUCCUUUUUAGCUCUAAGUUCUUGUGCAAGAGCUCAAUUUUCUCUGAAUACUCGUGCUUCCAUCGCCCUUCCCAGUAUGCGACUAGUUUCUUUUGGACUUCUAUCUCGUCUCGAAGAACCGCGAUUUCCUUAUAUAUCUCAACCCAACGUGCCAUUUCACAGAAUUGCUGGACCUCAGAUGGUAGCCUGUCGGCAAAACAAUGGGUCAUAAUAAAGUCUUGAAUACAAGUGGCACUCUUGGUCCAUGUUUGGUUCAGCUAUUGUUUCCUCCCUUUCUUCUCUUGACUCUUGGUCUCGUUUUGUUUCACUGCUAUGACCAUGUCCGCGACUACGUCUCUUUUUUUUUUCCCUCUCUCUUUUCUUUCCAAAAGGGUACUUUAAUGCAUGAAUGCAAUAAAUUGACUAAAAUAACAAAAUCUGUCAUACCAAUUACACAAAUAACAUAUCGCACAUAACACGCCAUAUUAAAAGACGGAUAAUCAAGUACACAAAUACAUAUCAAGUUGGACAGAUAACCACAUAUACAAGCACAUAUACAAGCACAUAUACUAACGUCAGGUGGUAGUAACAUACGGACGAACCAAAAGGAAAAGGUGAAGUCGUCCCAGUAUCAGCCCGUCUGGUCUCUCACGUCACUUACUAUCCAAACUAGAUGUCCAUUGAUCUCUUGUGCUCAUUCUCGUCAGACAAAGCCUGUUCAAGUUUCCGAAAUACAAGGCUGUUUCCAAAAUUCAAGGCUCAAAUACCUAGUAGCUUGCAUCGCCUCAAUUCUGGAGUACUUGGGCACGAGAAUCCGAAAUAAGAUAGUUCACAUCUUGAGCUGGCCAGUCCCAAGAGUAAACCAUCUACAAUCGAAAUUCCUACCCGACAAACCUAUCUAUGGUCCUCAGAUACCAUGAGAGAGAUUUAAGACCUAUAACAUUCACAAUUCAGAGCUUAGGCUCGAACGAGCACUUAUUCCUUCAUAUCUAUUCACCACUCAGUCCAAGCUCACUCCGCGCAGAGACCACGAGAAGCAGGCUCUGAUACCACCUGUGACAGCCCCACUUUCCCCUAAGGCGAACCAAAGGGGUUAGCGGACUGCCUGCCCAGCUCUCGCCAGGACUAACGGUGCAGUUCAGAGCGAUCUAUUGCGUUCCGAAACUUAUAACGCGUGUAAACAAGCAAAAGGGCAAAAUAACCCAAAAUAAAAAAAAUGAAAUUCGGAGUCGACCAUGAAUAGUAACCGACCCGUCAGAACGCAAUCAAAUAUCAAACAAACAUUCAUAUCUUGAACGUUAGCAAUUACAAUCCAAAGUGACAUACAAAAGUUUUCAAAAGUUAAUAUAUACACGGUUUGCCAAAUUGAAAGUGAAAAUGACCCUAAAGAUACAUUUAGGGUUUCACUUCAUAUACAAUACAAAAGAGAUAUACAUCUAGUUCAUUCGGCAAUCAUCUAUCAAGAUUCAUUCCAAAAAGAGUCAUAUUCCUGUAAGGAAAACAAAAGGAACGGUGUGAGCUAAUUGCCCAUGAGAUACUAUCACUUACGCAACCAAGUGCAUAUAAGCAUCAAGCUUUCAAUCAAUAUAAUAAAAAUAAACAAAGGCACACGUCAAAUAUGGUGAGAAAAGGAUACAGAUGGCUCUCAACAGCCCUUUCCUCGUUUGCAUUUCUUGAUCGGACGUCAUUGACCCUCCGUCAAUGUUCAAAAAUAACCAACCGUAGACUCCACUUACCUCCACUCCUUCCACCUAACAUUCCCCUACCGGGCCCGAACUCCAAACACUUGCACUUUGGUAUUACUCGAGUAUACCGGAAUCGAGAGUCUCGCAUACUACAAGAUUCCAUAUAACUUUACCCAAGGUUCAUUAAUUGGCACGACCAAUCCCUCGCCGGCUCGAUUCAAUCAACUACCAAUGGGGUUGAGCUCAUUGAUAACAUUUGUAGUCGUUGGAUACUCGUCCAAUCGACACCAAGUCGAGUACUUUCAUUUCAUGUAACAUUUCAUGUAACAUUCCAAUAACAUGACAACAAUGAUAUAAGGCAUAUAAGUGAGAGUGAUAAAGUACACUUUCACUUCAAUCAAGUCACAUUCAAUUCACUUCAAGCAAUUUACAUUCAAAGCCAUAUAGUAACACACAAGUGAGUAGUACACUCACCAGGGUCAUGCAGAUACCUCCCAAAAGAGAGCUUUAAUCACCAAUAAACCCUAAAAUAAUCCAAGGAAAACAAUUGAAGGUUCCACUUUCAAAAUUGAGUAUACAGAAUGCACAUGUGAGGCUCGACUACCAGUCGUAUGCCUCGCCAAAUAAUUACUAAAGCAAGGGUGCAAAACAUGAUUUUUGGUAACGAAAAGGUAACAUGAAGACCUAGGCUCAAACAACCCAAAAGCCCUUCGUUCAAACACAAGUAAAUCCAACUAGCCUUCAAGUAAAAUUUCGGCAGCAUAUCCCUUGUGUUUACCUAUUUUCCAGCCAUCAUGGCUUCAUUAUUUCCUCAAAUCAGUCCCAACAUCUGUACAAAAAUAAUCUCAUUCCCAAAAGCCGUUCACUAGGCUUAAUGGCAUUCAAGUACAAAAUUUAGCUAGGAAAUAACCGGAUAUGAAAGUCAAGCCCUAAACUAUUCAAAUGAACACAAUAAGACUCGAUUACAAGUCAUAAACCAAUUCUAUAUACUACCAAAACAGGGUUCCCUAAGCAUACACAAACAUUAAAGGAAACCAGAAAAUUCGGAAAUGCAAUUAGCUUUGGCCCUAAAAAAAACAGUUUUUGUCCUCGUUUUGCGGUAAUGGCACCAAUUUCACUACGAUUAUCGGAUGAGGGUGCAAGACCCACCAUUUCGAAGCUAAAAGACAGGGCUACAACAUCACAGAAGGUCACUCAACCCAGUUUUGAGUCAAACAGGUCAAAAAUGCAAGAUACUACAUCAAAAACGUAAAACAGAUUCACCAAAACGCAUUCUAGCGGAAACAUCAUAACUCAGGCUCUCCAAGUCCAAAUCCAGAAAUUCCAAAACCAGUUGAAAGCUAAGAAACAGGGAUACAUUUCAUCAGAAGACCUCAACAACCAAUUCGGAAGCAAUUCCAGCCAAAACAACCAAUUACAGGCGCAAUUCUUGCAUUCGGGUAAAACCAGAACAGCAAUAGUAAUUUCGACUUAUCUCAUUCUACACUACUGAAAUUUUGUAGGCACCUCUAAAAUGUCAUUCCCUACAACUUUCAUGUUUUAAGCUAAGGCCAAUUCGGCCUCUAUCUAGGACCUAAAAAUUCGGACAGAAUGUAGCUUCAUGAACCCUAGGUUUUUCAAUUUUCUUCCAAAACAGAAAUUACUUGCAAUCUUCCACUUUUUCCACCUUCUAGAUGCCUUAUAUACCAUUUCUAAUCAUCAUAGAUAGCCACACAAUCAUGCUUAUAUUAAAACAGAAAAAUCCCCAAAAAUAAUAAAACUUCAUCAUUUCAACCACAAAUCAAGAAAUAAUCCAUAAAUUUGCAUCUCAUACAACCACUAAGCAUGAUUUAAGCAUCAAUUAAAGGAGGAGGGUGGUUCUUCACAACUUACCUUAAAAACAAGAGAGAGAGAGCUAUUGGUCACCUAACUUUCCAAAUCACUCCACCAACAACUUCACUAACACUAAUUGAAGAGGUUUUAUGGAGUAAGUUCAAGUUCAAUGGUUGGUUUUGAUGAUUUGGAGCAAAAUGGAAGCAAAUUGAAGAGUUUCUUCCUUUCUUUUUGAGAGAGAGGCGGCCAACAAGAGAAGAAAUGAAUUUUUGGUUGUUUUUUUUAUUUAAUUAGUCAAUUGGUAAGACCAUGAAUAGUGGUCUUAAGGUAGACCACUCAAAUGGUGACACUUGUCACCUUUUAUUAAAUAUCUACCUAACUUGUCUCUUCAUAUUAAUCCAAAUUGCAACCUCUACUUAUCUCUUAACACCGGUAAAUUAAUUCCAGUAUCCAAAACUUAACCUAUUGGCCGAAUUUUUCCGAACUUUUCGCACUAGUGGGUCCCACAUCCGGUAUACGCUCUUAAUUUCUCAAAACCUAUUCGAUACUAGAAAAAUCAUCUAAAAAUUAUAUCUGCUCCUUAAAUUCAUCUAGCAAUUUUUUUUCUAAUCACGAAAAUGCGGAAAACAAGCCACGGAAAAUAAUAAAACCUAGAAAAUGGUAAAAAAAUACGGGUUCUCACAGACCUAUGUGAGAUGAAGUGAUGAUUUUAGGUGUUGUUUCAUGAUUUUUAGUUGAGUUUGGUGAAUUUUCAUAUUUAUUCAUGAUUUUUCUGUCCUUAUAUGUUUAAUAUUGUUGGGCCAUGGAUGAUAGCUUGGAAUGGUCUAGAAUGAAGCUAUAGUGCGUAAAUUGUGGUUGUUUGCGGAAAAUUUCCGCAUUUGACAGAAAAUUUCAGAAUUAGGGUUUGAAUUUGGGGCUUUUCUAGGGAUUCUAUAUAGCACUUGUAUUGGCUUGGAUGGAAGGGUUUUAUGGCACUAAAAAGGUGUAUUGAAGGGUUUAUAACUUGUAGUGGUAAUGGUGGUUAUGUUUGGAAAAUAUAGGUGAAGGUGUGUAAGUUGGAACUUAGAACAUUAAGGGGGAAAUGCCGUCCAAUUGGAACUUCUUGUGUGUGAUUGGGCUUGGGUUGUUUUAGGGAUAACAAGAGACCUUAGGGUUGCUUAAACCCUUAGUGCCAAGUGUUUCUUCUUAUAUUUGCAAGUUUCCUUGGUUUACAUUAAUGGCUUGUAGCUUUGAUUCAUGACUCGUAAUUGAGUCUCAUUGUACUUAUUUGAAUGUUUUAGGGCAUGACGGUGGUCCGAGACGUUCGUUGGGUGAACAAGUGUGAAAGUUAUCUUUGCUUGCUUGGUGAGUGUACUACUCACUUGAUUGUUACUAUGUGGCUUCGUUAUACUUGAAAUCGAUGAUUUGAUUGCCUAAUUGCAUUGUUGACAUAGAUGGAGGUGAGGGUGUACUUGAUCACUCUCACCUGUUAUAUCUUAUAUGACUGUUUACUGUGUGACUAGAAUGAUACUUGAAUAUACUUGAAUUGGUGUCGUUUGGACGAGUAUCCAACGGCCAUUACUGUGAUCACUGAGCUCAACCCCAUUGGAGGUCGAUUGAAUCGAGCCGGCAAGGGUUUGGUCGUGAAAAUUGACGCGCCAUGGGACUGUUAUGUGGAAUCGUGGAGUAUGAGACUUUCGAUUCCGAUAUACUCGAGUAUUACCAAAUCCAAACUGUUUGGAGUUCGGGCCCGGUUGGGGUAUGUGUGGUGGAAGGAAAGGGAGUAAAAUGGAAUCUACGUUGGGUUACACUUUGAACAUUGACGGAGGGUCAAUGAGAUGUGAUCAACUACGGCAAGCGAGGAAAGGGGCUCUUGAGAGCCGCCCGUAUCCUUUUACCACUUAUGGUGAUAUGUGGCCUUAUUUAGCUUUCUUGUUGGAUAAACUUGGAAUGAAUGAAGUGAUGCUUAAUUGAAUCUCUAUGCUUGAGUAAAAGUACCUCAUUGGGCGAUAGCUCAUCUUAUUCCUUUUGUUUUCCUUAUAGGGAUUUGAACCUUUUGGAAGGCCUUGAUACGUGGUUACCAAGUUGAACUAAAUGUAUAUAUGCUUUUGAGUAGCUUUUCAAUGUACAAACCCUAGUUGGAUAGAUCCGACCUUGCUUUCGAUUUGUAAAAUUGGAAUCGUACAUGUAUAAUGUGUUUGGUGUUUUAUUUGGGCUUGCAGUUAUGUGAUUUCUUGGUUAUAUGCUUUGUUGAUGUUUAAAAGGUUUUUGGGGUAGAUUCGGAUUUCAAACGGCAAAGGAAAAAAAAAUUUGGCGAGAAAGGACAGGGUCGAAUCCGGCCAGAAACUAGCCGGAUUUGCGGCGGAAUUGCCCUGAGGAAAAUUGGAAAUCCGGCCAGUGCUCUCCGGCCGGUAUCCGGCCAGGAAUCCGGCCGGAAAUCCAGCCAGAUUCCGGUCGGAUUCUGACGUGCCAGGCACUAUUCAUGUUCGGCUCCGUUUUUCAUUUUUUUUAUUUUAUGAUUUCGACUCGUUUAAGCGCGCUUGUACGUUCCGGAACGUUUUAGAUCGCAUUGAACUUGUAGACACCAAAUUUUUAGUGUAGUUUUAUUCACUAUUAUUUUUGUUUUUUAUGUUAGUUUUUAUUUUACUUUGAGUCUUUUAUUUUAUUUUUAAGUCAUUUUAGCAUAGAAUUUAUCGGAAAAAAAAACAAGGAAAAAAAACAGAAAAAUGUAGCAAAGGAAUGCUUAUCAUCUGAUUGCACUGUCAAACUAAAACAUUCAAGAAAAAGUGCUAAAGCCCUGACCAUGAAAACAAAUAAGAUACUCAGAACACAACUCACCACACACAAAUCAUACGCAUUCAGUUUCAUAGGAAGAAAAAACACGAAAGCUGACAGCUUUUUGGUUAACCAGUCUUCAGCCACACAAAUUCCGAAACACAACUUUUAGUUCAUAGGUUUUUUUUUUUUUACAAACGAAAAAAUAAAUUCCCGAUAAACAUGAAGCAGGAGUGAAGGAACAAUGAGCAACGAAAACAGUUGUCCUAAGCAAACCCAAGGAGUACACGCUUAGAAUGCUUCAAAAAUCUGAACUUUAAAAGGAAACUGCAAUUUAAAGGGAAAGGAGAGCUCACAAAGCUUUCUUUCAGUAAGGAUUCGUGGGUGAUGGUGGAUUGGGGUGAUUCUAACUCUGGUUCCUCCCGAUUCUCGAAGAACAGCACCAGACCUUCUUCCUCCUCUGGUUUUUCUCCUUUUCCGUUCUUGCUUUCCCACGAAACUCUCUCUCAGUUGUUCCUCCCUUUUCUCUCUCUAUCUUUCAGCCGUCAUCUACCCUCCAAAAACCCCCCUUUUUCAUCCGCCGUUGUUCUCUCUCACUGACUCUUGCAUUCUUAGCCCUCUCUUGUUCCCUCACUCAACCAGCCGUCAAAAACCUCCCCCUCGAAACCUUAGCUUUCCACAGCGUUUUAUAUCCGAAACUCCCUCCUGAAACCUAGCAUCUAAGGCACGGAAAAACUCCAUCUUGUUUUGCAUUUUUUACAGCCUUAGAUUUUCAUGUUUUCUGAUAAACCUUGGAUCGAGCCAAGUGUCUUCUAUUGGGAUCAUCAGACGGAGGAGAAAAUUGAGUAAACAACGGAGCUGAAAAAUUUGCCUUUUUGUAUCUGCGUUUUUGCAGAUGAAAAUGUAGCUUUGAUUGUAUGCUUUUCAGGUGCAUGAGCUCGCUUUUUUUUUUCACUUUUCCCUUCAAAGAAUUAUUUGAAACAAAAUAAUCAAAAUAACAAUUUAAGUAAAAAUCGAAUGAAAUAAACAACAAGAAAUAAAAGAUAAAAAACUAAGAUUUGUUUUUUUUUUUGAGUGAUGAUUUUCCCUUUUCCUUUUUUUUAAUUAAAUAACAAUAAAUUUGAAUCUAAAAUAAAGCAUAUUUUUGUGAAUGAUUUUCUCUCUUUUUUUUCUUCCCUUUUUUCGAUAAAUUCUAUGCUAAAAUGACUUAAAAAUAAAAUAAAAGACUCAAAGUAAAAUAAAAACUAACAUAAAAAACAAAAAUAAUAGUGAAUAAAACUACACUAAAAAUUUGGUGUCUACAGUUUGCCCCUCUUUGUCUGAGUUUUGGAAAAACUUGAGACAAAGAAAUAGACACCAAAUACUCACCUGUGUUAUUUGGCUGCGAACGACUCGAACUAUGGACGCUUUAGAAAUUGGGACUGAUCUCUUUGAUAAAAUUUUAAAAUGGGACUGACCUAACAAGAAAUUAAAAGGGGACUGACCCCAACAAGAAAUUUAAAAGGAGGACUGACUCCAACAGGAAAAUUUAAAGGGGAUUGACCCUAACAGGAAAUUUAAAUCGGGGCUGACCCAAAUAAGAAAUUUAAAUGGGACUGGCCCGAAUAGAAAAUUUAAAUCGGGACUGACCCGAAUAGGAAAUUUAAAUGGGACUAACCCGAAUAAGAAAGGAAGUGCUCACUAGUGGGGCUAACCCAUGUUUAGUGGCAAUGAAACAUGAAAUGCACGCUAGUGGGGCUGACCCAUGUUUAACGGCAAUGAAAAUGAAAUGCACGCUAAUGGGACUGACCCAUGUUUAGCGGCAAAGAAAAUAAAAUGCUCCCUAGUGGGACUGACCCAUGUUUAGUGGCAGUGAAAAUGAAAUGCGCACUAGUGGGACUAACUCAUGUUUAGUGGCAAUGAAAAUGAAAUGCACACUAGUGGGACUGACCCAUGUUUAGCGGCAAUGAAAAUGAAAUGCACGCUAGUAGGACUGACCUAUGUUUAGUGAAACUGACCCAACGGCUAGUAGCAGUGUAAAUGAAAUGCACGCUAGUGGGACUGACCCAUGUUUAGCGGCCAUGAAAAAAAUGCACACUAAUGGGACUAACCCAUGUUUAGUGGCAAAGAAAACAUGAAAUGCACGCUAGUGGACUGACCAUGUUUAACGGUAAUGAAAAUGAAAUGCACGCUAGUGGGACUAACCCAUGUUUAGCGGCAAAGAAAACAUGAAAUCCACGCUAGUGGGACUGAUCCAUGUUUAACGGUAAUGAAAAUGAAAUGCACGCUAGUGGGACUGACCCAUGUUUAGUGGCAAUGAAAAUGAAAUGAACGCUAGUGGGACUGACCCAUGUUUAGCGACAAUGAAAUGCAAUGCUGGUAUGUAUGCAAAAACUGUAUAAGACUUACCUGAAAAAUUAUCCAAAAAUUUGUCCUAGUGUGACGUGUCGUCAUUUUAUUCGAAAUUUUCCUGAACCUAUCUUCACUAGGUCAGUGGGGUAACACCCAAGCCUGUCUUGAGAGUCGGUCAGUGGAUUAAACCCAAUCCUGCCAAGGUUGGCGGAUAGAACCCAGUCCCAACGAGGUAUGAACGGUCAGCGGGAUAAAAUCCGGUCCUGCCGAGGUUGGCGGGAUAAAACCCGGUCCCAACGAGAUAUGAACGGUCAGCGGGAUAAAAUCCGGUCCUGCGAGGUUGGCAACCCGGUCCCAACGUGAUAUAAGCUGUCAGCGGGAUAAAACCCGGUCCUGCGAGGUUGGCGGGAUAGAACCCGGUCCUAACGUGAUAUAAGCGGUCAGCAGGAUAAAACUCGGUCCUGCUGAGGUUUGCGGGAUAGAACCCGGUCCAACAAGGUAUGAACGGUCAGCGGGAUAAAAACCCGGUCCUGCCGAGAUUGGCGGGAUAAAACCCGGUCCCAAUGUGAUAUAAGCGUCAACGGGAUAAAACCCGGUCCUGCCGAGAUUGGCGGGAUAAAAUCGGUCCCAAUGUGAUAUAAGCGGUCAGCGGGAUAAAAUCCGGUUCUGCCGAGGUUGGCGGGAUGAAACUCGGUCCCAACAUUCAUUGGUCAGUGGGAUAAAACCCGGUCCUGCCGUUCAUUUAAUCAAAAAUUAAAUGUGAUUGUCAAGAUGGGGAUAGGAGGGUGCGUGGCAGACGUUAAAAUUUCGCCAAAAAAGAAAUUUAAUUUAAUUUUCCAAGAAACAAAAAUUUAAACUUGAUUUGAUUGAUUUUUUUGUUUUUUUUAUUGAUGAUGAUGAUUUUUUUUGAAUUUUUGAUAUUCGGAAGAAUCUUUUCAAAAAAAAUGAUUUGCCCCAAUUUCCAUUAUUGUGUUACCGAUCUUUCGAUCUGCUUUAUGGUAUUAUUGUUUUCCUCAAAACUUUGAUUCAGUCCCUUUUCUCAGCUCAAAUCAUGAAUAUUCAAUUCUUGGACGACAUCUUACAGUUCAAAACUUGCCCCAGUUUCGUUAUUUGAAACGAGCAUGGACCUGCAAAAGAAAUAAACAAAUAAUGCCACCACCAUCCAAUCAAUUCCUCCUUCAAGAAAUGUGUAAACAUGAGUACUUUGAUGUUUUCCCCUUGAUACUUCGAAAACUCAACUUUGCUCUGUGAUCUGAUCAAACUCCAUUGACUUCCAAUGCUAAUAAGGCCCUUGUAUCCAGGGAUUUUCAAUAAAUCAGGGGGAUUGCCAUCUGAUGAACCCAAAGAGAUAAAUAAGACCAUGAAACUCAUGAAAGAAUAUUCUAUUUACACAACAAAUGAUGAAAAUUUCUGUAACAUGAAAACAAUCAUUUAUUUUUAUUGAAAGAAAAUUAAUUUUGAAAAAAUGAAUCUAUAAAUUCGGUAAUUUACGCUUGAGAAACCAAAGUAUUCCGACUUCAAACAAAAUGCCACGCUUGACCCUUUAGAUAUCAUUCGCCCGGAGUUCGAUGUUGGCCACAGAAAAACCACAAUGCGAGGAGGAAUCUCAAAUGAACCGAAUCACCAGUUUUCUAAUUCCAACCUCACUUUUUCUCAUGAAACUCUACCUUAGCGCCCUUUCAGGUUUUCACUAAGGCUACUCCUACCUUUUUUUUUUCAUUUUUCAUUCUUUUUGCUUUUCUUUCUUUCUUUUUUUUUUUCUCUUUUUUCUUUUUUCCUUUUCUUUUCAAAGGUGCCCUUUUCAGAUUUUCACCUGAUGAACAAAUCUUGCCAAUAGCCUUUAUCAACUCAAAAAAUGUGUUUUAAGAAAUAAUGGCAUCAGUGCGACAACCCCUUCCCUUACAAAAUGAGUGAAGACGUAUUGACAUCAUUUGCCAUGUGAUUUAGAAAAUUUGCUUAAAAGAGGUGAUGCCAAGAACGGAAGCCAGGACUUUUGGUUUUUGUAAUGGGGUCUAGUGAGGUGUUAAGAAAAGGUUAAGGCUUGAAGGCAGAUUUCUGAAAGUGGUUUAAAUGACCUGAAAUCGCAUUAUUGCACCAUCCCUAUUUUAGGGUUAAACCAAAACUUGCCCCAGUCUAUUUUCAACUGAGAUUCUUUGUCCUUUCAUUUUCCUUCCUUUCUUCUGCCAUUCCAUUCAUCUUUUGAAAUAUUCACAAUUUGCCCCAGUUUAUUUUUUAACUAAGGUUUUCUUUUAUUCAUUUCCUUUUCUUUCGGCUUUCUUUCGAAUAUUGAAUUUGCCCAGUAUGGGAUUUUUCUUUUCUUUUUCAAAACUACAUUUGUCCUAGUGUGGGGUUUGCGAUCUUCAGGGAUUGCCAAAUGAAGUAAUUUAUUCUGAAGGCUCAAAAGGGAUGACUAAGGAUAAAAUGUCUCAAUGGGAAAGGAAGAAGGCCUGACUUUCAUUCCAUUCUUUGCAUUAACCCUUGAAAGGAAACUUUCAUUUAUCAGAUGAAGAAUUUCUUUCACACAUAUCUGAAUUGAUCGGUUGAGAGAAAAUUUGUUCACUCCACUUCUGCGAGAACUAGUACUUUGCCAUGCAACACCUUCUUGAUAAUAAAAGAACCUUGCCCAUUCGCGGUGAACUCUUCUUUUGGCUUUAUCUCAUACCGACAAAAGCUACCUCAAUGCUUUAUUUCUUUGGGCCAUUCUCUUUUGAUAGCACUGACAAAGACAAAUGGCAUUCAGAUGCUCCUUAUCAAGUGACCACUGAAAUCGUGAUCCCACUUCAGCUUGAGUUUCUCUUUAUACCAUUUGUGUUCCUUUGAAACAUUCUCUGAUGUCUCUUCACUAUUCCCCUCAUUUUGAAAUCCAAAUUCACAUUCAUGAAAUAUCAAAUUUUGGAACAGUGAUAUCCAAAGGGUCAGAGGAUUUUAUUCUUGGCCAAUCUGAACCAAUACUCUUACCUUAUACUCAAGCCUCUGUUACUUCACAAGUUAUGAAUCCACCUGAAGAAGCCUUUACCUAUCCCACUCACGGCCCACCACCUACUUAUGCACCUAACAUCCAAAUUAACCCUUCUCAUGCCCAAAUUCCCCAAAGUUAUCCGCCAAUUGCUAUGAGCAUGCCAUUCAAACCUCAGGGACCCCAUUAUUACUCUCUACGCUGAGCCAUUUACUCUAGAUACCGCCGCCCAAGGAAAAGCUAAAGUUGGGGAAUCAUUCGCGCCAGUGGAUAAAAACUUGCUAAAGAGAUUGGAUCGGUUUGAAGAGUUCAUAAGAAAAAAUCAAGGUUUGAACAAGUAAGGAGGUUUGGACCACAACGAGCUAUGCUGGUUUUUUAGUUUGAAUGUUUUAGUUUGACGGUGCAAUCAGAUGAUAAGCAUUCCUUUGCUGCAUUUUUCUGUUUUUUUUCCUUGUUUUUUUUUUUUGACCCGGAUCCUCUCUGUGGAAACCAUUAAAGCUAGACAAACAUGCUUGGGUUUUUUUUUUUAAAUUGAUGAAUUGAGGAUCAUGUGAGUUUGGGCUGAUGAAAUAAUAGAUUUGGUUUGAGUUUUUGUAUGGACAUAAUUGCAUGGAAUGAGUUGCAAAAUUGGCAGCGGUAAUCUGAUUUAAUGGCCCUCUUUGCUCUAGAUUUCCUUGGUUUGCAUGGUUAGUUUUUGUGUGUGAUGAAGGUUUUAUGCAAGCUAAUGAAUGUUGGGCUUCAUAGCAGCGUUUAAAGUCUUUGCAAAAUUUCCUGUAGUUGCUAAUAAGCACAAAGUUGUAAAACCCAGAAACCAGCAAAUAAGAAAGUAAAGCUUCGACCAUGCUGCGUUUUUUGAUGUUGAAUGAUUAUGGCUAUGGAUUGCUAAGUCCUAUCUGCGUUUUGUUGAAAAUGGUAAGACAAGACAUGUGAAAUUUGACUAGAUUUAGGUUCCUUAGCUAAGCUUGCUUGAGGUCUUCGUUGCAUCUUCGUUGCUGCAUUUUCUUUUCUCAUGAUUCACUGGUUUGUUCAAUAGACUGUGUCUUCUAGUUGAGGUUGUGGAUCUUUGUUAACAUUUUGAACGAUUUUGCUGGGAUUUUUGAAUGGGUCUUGAUAGAUUGUUUUACCUUUUGUGGUGAUAAGUUGGCAAAUGUUUGGCUAGUUCAAUGGAAUAAUGUGGCUAACUAAAGAAGACAGCAAACUUUGUUGCAGAAAAUUUCUUCGUAACCUUGCAUGAAGAUUGCAUGAAAAACAAAAGGAAAAAUUGCCUUUUAACCCCUUAAUUUGUGUUUAAUUCUACUAUGGACCAGAAAAUUGGAAAAAUCAAUCAAAGUGGCCCCUUUAACUUCUUUAAUUGUUUCAAUUGGGUCCUGGUUUGUUUCAAUUUGAUGAAUAUGAGUUGUUUAGUUUAUUGAAUGCUUUGAGUGAUUCAAUUUCAUGUUUAUUUCCAUUUCUUGUGAUUAUUUUGUUAAUUAAAGUGAUGCCUUGACUUUUUCUUUGUUUUUGGAGGGUAAAUAAGUAAUUUCAUUUCAUUAGGACAUCCACUCAAAGGAGGUACACUCUAUCCCUUAUUUUGACUUCAUUUGGUCUUACGUGCUCUUAUGUGACUUUAUGUGUUUAAUUGCAUGCCUAUUGAAAGUGUUUUAUAUUUAUUUUUAUUAUUAUUUUACUUACUUAUUGGCUUUAUUUUUGUAUAUUUAUUUUAGUUCAAUUUUGAUCAUUUGAAAGGCACUUGAAUGCCAAAUUUGUAAUAGUUAGGUAUUUAUUUUAAUUAUUUACUCAUUUCCCCUUUUAGAUUGUAGUAGGGCCCCCCAAUGUAAUAGUUAGGGCUUGUUUGCUUUAUUUGCUUGGUAUGUUUUGCAUGCUUAUGUGUUAUGUGUUAUCCGCUUUCUUAGAGUUUUGCAUCUAGAAAUUAAUUUUUAUGUGUUAUGUGCUAUACAUGAUUUAUAUGUUUUCAUGCUUUUAUAGGCCUUACAUGAUUUAUUUGAUUGUAAUAAAUGCAUGGUGUCACCACACUAGUCCAACGCUAGUUGUGGCUCAUUGUUCCGAUUUUUCACUAGUCCAAUGCUAGUAGGAAUUAUAAAUAUGGGCUAGUCCAACGCUAGACCCUUAGGGAUCUCCUACGCUAGAUCAUGUUUGUAUGACUACAUUACAUUCUCAUGCAUAUUUUUCACUUUUUAGGGUCUUUUAUCAUGACAUCCUCCUUAUACGUAUAUCCCUUCCCCAUAUUUUCCCUUAUAUGUAUAUUCCUUACCCUUUGUAUGGAAACAUAACAUUAGACUUGCAUUUCAUUUAAGAAAUAGAAUUAGGGUAGUGCAUUUGCUUGAUUAGAUAGGGAAAUACCCCUUGAGUAUGGGAUAUGAAUGAGUUUGGCUUUCUAACCUUAGCACGCUCGUAUUCCCUCUAUAAAAGGGAAAACUGAAGUCACGAACAUUAGAUCCCCGUACCCGUUAUGAUGCCUUCCUUUAGGGGCGUGUAUAUUUGUAUAAUUAUGAUUAUUUUCCUUUUCUUAGAAUCUCAUAUUUUUGCAUUAUUCGUGACCUCUUCGAAGAGUCUUUAUUGGGCAUUACAAUUAAUGUGAUUGGUACCAAGUGAACUUUGAAGAGAAAUUUCGAUUCCCCCGAUACCUCCUAAGGUCUAUGGUUUGCAUUCAUAUAGUACAUCCAAAUGUGAUAAAUCUUUAGGUUAAAUUAAGAAAAUCUUUGACUAAAUCGCGCAACUAACAUUGGUUAGGUUGAAAGGGUGCCUUGGAUUCUUAUCCUUGCCUUCCCUUUCUUCAAAUGUGACUCCCGAAUCUUUUUCUCUGAUUUUCGUAGAUUUGGAGUCAUUUAAAAAGGGUUUUUCUACUUUUUCUUUAAAAAUUCAUUUUUAGGUGACUUGGUACACCUUAACUCGAUAUCAAGUGGGGACUCCGAUUUUUCAUUUAAACCCUUUUUAAACUAUUAUUUUGGGUCAAAAUCGUCGUAUUUCAAGUCCCAUUUAGACCCAUGUUCUUCAUUUUCUUUAUAAAUCAAAAAAUUUAUUUUCCAAUCAAAAAAUUGAAUCAAAAGCCAUUUUUCUAAACUCGUCAUUUAUUUUUUUUUCUUUAUUUUCAAAAAUAGGGUGCGACAGAACUGUCCCGUUAGUCCUGGCGAGAGUUGGGCAGGCAGUCCGCUAACUCCUUUGGUUCGCCUUAGGGGAGGUGGGACUGUCACAAACUCACAAAUAGGUCUAGUUUAAAGGAAGUAACAAACCAAAGUUGAUUUCUUAAAAAAUCAAUUUUAAAGUUAAUUUUAUAAAAGUUGAUUUCCAUGCUUAUGUAAAACCAACAAAAAGGACAAUUUUUCUUUUAUUUUUUAAAAAUCAAGUAUUUUGGUAAACGGAUUGAGUUUAGCAUGCCUCUUUGGAUGUUCAUUAUUCUACAUAUAAAGUAAGAAUAUAUUCAAAAUAUCUCUUUAUCUAUACCAAUGUGCAAGUUGGAGGAUGUUUGAAAUUUUUUGGUAAUACUAUCCUCACAGAAGGUAUUAAUGACUUUAAUGUUCUUUCAUACAUGAAUGUCUUUUUAAAUAUUGUUUAAUCUACUUAUGUAAUUUUGACAUUGAGCUUUUAAAUUAGAAAUAUAACUUUUAUUGAAGUAAUCUUUCUUAAUUUAAUUGAGCAAUCAAAUUCUGAAACCAAAGGUGCUUGGGAGAAAUUUUUUUUAUACACAUGAAUGGAAGGAAAUCUUUUGGAUGAUUAAUGGAUUAAUCUUGUACACACUGACAAUGUAUACACUGUCAUGAUUGGAUAAAUGUCACAUAUGCUAAAUUUGAAUUUUAACUCUAAAUUUCACUUAUGUGACAUUUAUCUAAUCAUGAUAGUGUAUACACUCUCAGUAUAUAUAAGAUUUACUCAUGAUUAAUAUGUAAAUUCUAUCCUAUCUUAGUGCCUAAGUUUCCUGAUGGAAGUUUUCCUACAUUUCCUAUUUUCGAUUGAUUGAUCCUAGCAAAUGAUAAAUGUAAGUUAAAAGCACAUGGCAUCUAGAAGUUAGGAAGGCUAGAGGCAUAUGGGAGAAUGUCAAUAAAUUUAUGAGGUAGGGCACUUCCAUCAACUACUUUAUCAUAUAACAUAUUAGGAGUUAAGACAAUGUUAUCACUCUAGACUUGAAUGUCAUCCCAACAUUAUUGAGAGCAUUGGUGCAAGGCAAGUGAUAUUGUCAGGGUAAUUAUCUUCCUGCCAUAGCGCAUUUUACUCAAAUGCUAAGGUUACCCUCAAUCAAUCAACUUUAUAUAUAUUUAUUGAUUUUCCUAUGAUUCAUUAUGCAUUAAUUACUUCUCUUUUCUCUUUCCAAUUAAGUAUUUUCUAUUAGGGUCUCUCACUUUUCUUCUUAUUAUUCUCAUCUCUCUCUUUCUCACUCACACACUAAUAUAUCUAUUAAUUUAUAAUUAAAUAAUGCAAUUUUUAACUUAAUCAAUUCUAAAGUUUUAUUUAUGCAUUUAUUUAUUUUUUGCAAAUAGAACUUCGUUUAACUCCAACAAAUUUCAAUUUAAAAUAAUUAUUAUUAUGAUAUCAUUGUAACUCAAUACUUAGCAUGAAAUUCUUUUGACAUGCAACAUGCAUUUUUCCUUGGAGUUCUACUAGUUUAUCAUGCCUUUAAGCAACUAAAACUAUUGAAACUUAACCAUCUUUUCCUCUUUUAUACUUGUCAUAUAAGUCUUGACUUUUAUCUGUUAUCAAAUAUCAAGUUUAACUUAUAUUACGUUAUAUAUCUCAUGAAUGUUGAAGAGAAAGUAAGGCUAUUUUUUGGGAUUAUUUUCAUUUUCAAUUAUUAUUUAUUUUGACUUAAAUUACAUUGUAUUUGAAAAAAGAAUCUUUUCAGUAAAAUUAUAAAAAUUAAAAAACUAUAAGAGCAUGUAGAAUUAGUAUACGAGAAAUUAUUAAAUUCAAAACCAAUUUAGUAAAUCAUGAAAAUAAUUGAUGAAUUAAUGUGUGUGUGUGUGUGUGUGAGAGAGAGAGAGAGACAGAGAGAGAGAGAGAGAUGUGAGUGAGUGAGUGAGUAGGAAAAAACUUUAAGUGGAGAGAAGAGAAGAGAAGUAAUUAGUACUUAAUGGAUCUAAAAAUAAUCAAGAAGAAUACAUGGAAUUGAUUGAUUGAGAGUAAAGUUAGCAUUUAAGAAAAGUUUGCUUUGACACAAACAUUAUUGCCCUCGAAAUAGCGCUACCAUUAGUGUAAUAGCGAUUUUGAGAUACUAUUUUAGGAAGAAAAUUUUGAGUAAAAUAUAAUUUAAAAUAUAAAAUGAAAUUACAUUAAUGUUAAUUUCUAAAAGGACAUACAAAUUAAACAAGGGAACCAAACUAGAAAAAUUCGGCAAAUACCUUUAUAAUUUGAAUGUAGUUGCGAUAAUAAGGUUAACUAAGCACUACAUAGUGUAGGUCAUGCAUUUGGUUGGCAAUGCUGCUUUAAGAAUCACGCUGGUCACUAGGCAAUCAGAUCUUUUUGAUUCUCGAAGAUGAGGGUCAAAGAUCUCUUGUUCUUAUUAUAUAGAUCCUGAUUGGAUCCGUAUAUGUUUGUUAAAGAGAAUAAUCUUCUCCUUUGAGAAUAAUAAAAAAAUAGAAAGUGUUCAAUUGGAACAUGAAAAUGUGACUAAAAUGGUCCUAGUUAUUGUACUUUUCGGGACGGAGUGGAAGAAGGGAGGGGAUUCUUGAAUACGGAAAGGGAUCCAAUGAACUCAAAUGAAUUGAACGAGGAGGUGAAAAUCUCACGUACGGUUCUGUGAGUGGGAGUAAGGGUAGCUUAUUUGUCAACUUUUUCACUAUCACCCCCAAAAAACCAAACUCUGCCUUACUUAAAGUUGCCAGAGUAUGAUUAACCUCUAGAUUUGAAAUCACUGCUUAUAUACCUGGUAUUGGCCAUAUUUUACAAGAAUAUUCUAUAGUUUUAGUAAGAGGGGGAAGCAUUAAAGAUCUACCCGGUGUGAGAUAUCACAUUGUUUGAGGAACCCUAGAUGCUGUCGGAGUAAAGGAUCGUCAACAACAGCAUUCUAGUGCGUUGUAGAUUCUUAUCCAAGACUUAUAUCAUUUGAUGAUGCUAUGUGAAUCGCUGGAAACAUGUGAAGUUUUUUUGGACUUGGCGAGUUUAUUUGGGAUUUUACGGAAGCAAAAGACAAAAGGGCCUUUUUUUAUAAAAUUUUAUCAAUUAUUUGAUAAUUGUUAGUACCAAUCUUAGUAUUUUGAUUACUCAUAGUAUUGAUUUUGACCCAGGAUUCAAUAUCGACCCUUUUUCUAAGAAAAAUUAGUGAAAAAUUAGCUUUUUAUAAUUACAUCGUAAAUAAUCCAGCGAAAGGGAGAUUAUUCAGGGCAGGUUCCAUGGAUAACGGGGAUGGAAUAGCGAUUAGAUGGUUGGGACGGGAAAUUUUUGUACAUUGUAUGCCUGCUUUUUUUUGAAAUAUUUCCAGUCGUUUGGGUAGAUGGCGAUGGAAUUGUUAGAACUGAUGUUCAUUUUAGAAGGGCAAAAUCAAAGUAUAGUGUUGAACAAGUAGGUGUAACCGUUGAGUUCUACAGGUUAAUAAAAUGAAUCACACUUUUACCGCUAAACUAUACCCCCUGCAAUGGAGUUAUUGCAUACAACUAAACUUUUUGUUGAAUAGGGAAAUUGGACAUAUUCAAGAUAGGGUCAUCAAAAAACCGACAUAAAAAAACCAUCACAAUUAGAGUUUUGACCCUUUUUUUUUAAUUCUGCAAUAGUCCUUUCUUGUUCUUGCUUGAAUAUUUUUUAUUUAAUUUUCUAUAAUAAUAUAUAGUUUGAUUUUUAAAUCAGAUAAAUCAUCAUUAUUUAUCUAUAAAUUUGUUCAACGAGUUGGUUCAUUGAAAUAAAAUUAUUCCUAUGAGCUCCCUCACAAGAAUUCUUUAAAACAGAAAACUAAAAGCAAAAGGGGGAUAUUUCAAUCGAUCUAAUUGAUAUUUUUCCAAUCGCGGAUAAACAAAGCAACCUUUCGUCAUUAAUCUUCGAAGGUAAAGGUGAAUUUCAUAUGAAUUUUCCUGGUAAGGUUCUUCGCUUUGCAUCGAAUUAAACCACAUGCUCCACCACUUGUGCGGGCCCCCAUCAAUUCUUUUGAGUUUCAUUCUUGCGAACGUACUCCCUAGGCAGGAUACUUAACGCGUUAGCUACAGCACUGCACGAGUCGAUAUGCACAGCGCCUAGUAUCCAUCGUUUACGAUUAGGACUACUAUGGUAUCUAAUCCCAUUCACUCCCCUAGCUUUCGUCUCUUAGUGUCAAUGUUAGCCCAGCAGAGUGCUUUCGGCAUUGGUGUUCUUUCCGAUCUCUACGCAUUUCACCGCUCCACUAGAAAUUCCCUUUGCCCCUACUGUACUCCAUCUUGGUAGUUUCCACUACCUAUCCAGGGUUGAGCCCUGGGAUUUGACGACGGAUUUAAAAACCACUUAUAGACGCUUUACGCCCAAUCAUUCCAGAUAACACUUGCAUCCUCUGUCUUACCGUGACUGCUGGCACAAAGUUAGCCGAUACUUAUUCCCUAAAUACAGUCAUUGAUUCUUCUUCAGGAAAAGAAGUUCACAACCCGUGGGCCUUCUAUCUCCACGCGGCAUUGCUCCGUCAGGCUUUCGCCUAACAGCAUGACACUUGUAUUGCUCUCCCACAGGCCACAACCUCGUUUUCAUGGUUUAGGCUGCUCUCAUUUCGUUCGUUGCUACUACAAGAAUCACUUUUACUUUCUUUUCCUCAGGCUACUAAGAUAUUUCAGUUUGCCAAGUUGUCUCUUGACUGCCUAUGGAUUCAGCUAGGGUGUAAAUGAGCCGAACUCGAGUCGAGACUUGGUUAAUCGAGCCGAGCUCGAGUUAAUUUUGUGAAACUCGAACUCGAGCUCGAGCUUGAUGAGCUCAAAAUAUCAAGCUCGAGCUCGAGCUCGACUCAAAUUCAAGUCGAGUUCGAGCUCGAGCUCGAACUUAAAAAAUAAAAAAAUAAUUAUUAUUAUUUUAUUUUUAAAAAAUAAAAAAUAAUUAUUUAUUUUUAAAAAUGAAUAAAAUAAUAAGUUUUUUAACAAAUAAUAAAAUAUUAGGGAUAUAUAUAUGUAAUUUUAUUAUUAAAAUAAAAAAUAAAAAAUAUAUAUAUAAUUGAGCUCGCGAGCCGCUCGCGAACCAACGAGUGUAAUGUUUUUGAGCUCGAGCUCGAGAUCGACUUAAUUAGCUCGAGCUCGACUCGAGUUCAAUAUUGACGAGCUCGAAUCGAGCUCGUAUUUGAGCCGCUCGCGAGCCGAUCACGAGUCGCUCGAUUCGCGAAACACCCCUAGAUUCAGCAACGGUUCGAAAGGUUGCCCUGUUUGGGAAUCUCUAGAUCUAUGGUUAUUUUCAACUCUCUGAAGCAUUUCAUCAAUUACUACGCCCUUUCUCGUCUCUGUGUGCCUAGGUAUCCAUCAUAAGCCUCUCUUCGUUUGAACCUCGUCCUUCACUUUUAUUUUGUACGCCAUCCUACGAUGCUGCUAAAUGGAUGGAUCUUAUCGGCGCUUGACCCUGAGAUAUGGAUCAUCCAAGGCACAUUAGCAUGGUAUACUCCUAUUCGAACUUGGGUUUGAAACCAAACCUCUUCUUGGGAGGAUAGAUGGGGCGAUUCGAAUGAGAUCUAAUGUAGAUCCAACUUUCGAUUCACUUAUGAGAUCCGAGCGGUUUAGGGGACCAACAUGGUUCCUCUCUUCUCGAGAAUCCAUACAUCCCUAUGAUCGAAGUUUUAUACUCUAUAAUAUAGGCCUUUUCCACACAAGUAAUGGAGAACAUACGAAAGCUUUGGAAUAUUAUUUUUGAGCCCUAGAGCGAAACCCAUUCUUAUCACAAGCUUUUAAUGAUAUGGCUGUCAUCUGUCAUUACAUGCGACUAUCUCCACUAUAGAACGAAAAAAGAAAAUCUACUAAUAAAAUAAAUACUAGAAAAACUAGGCUUUCUACAUAUGUAUCGUCUAAAACAAUGAUUUUUAUCAGCAGUAGCAAAGAAACUUCAUAGAAGACGAGAAAUAUGAAGAAAUAUAUAAUAUGUCUAGUUACUUUUUCUAUGGAUAAAAAAGGAUCUAAUUGAUAUAGGAAACACCGUAAAGAUCAAUUAGCCUGUAACGACCCCACUUCUCCCAAGGGCGAACCCAAGGGUAUCGGCGGGCCGCCUGCCUAGCUCGCGCCAGGACUCAAAACUUAAAGUUCGAAAGAGCACUAAAUACAAUAUAUACAAUCCCAAAAGAGUUAUAAAUACAUUCUCCAAAAGUAUCGAGUCAAACCACCAAAACAAAAACAAACAUCCUAACUGUUCAACUAUUACAAGCCAAUCUAACUAUACUAGUAUACGAGCCAAAAGUCCCCGCGUCGGCCCCUGCUAAGGAAAACAAAAGGAAUGGGGUAAGCUAUAUGCUUAGUAAGUAAACAGGGGCGAAAGCAUAAAUUUCACGUAACAGUUACACAAUAAGAGUAAAGCAAAAGCAGAAAAGUAACAUCACAUAAUAAGGAUACAGGUGGCUCCAAAGCCAACUCAUGUGCCAUGCGUGAUCUCCUGCCGACACUCCGUCGAUUGCAAAUAAUAGUCCGUAGAACUUCACUUGUACACCCACCGACACCUUAUCACCCUCACUGGCCAGUCACCUCACAAACUUGCCCGGGCGAACGAAAUCACAAACUUGAGCUUGAGUCACAAGCUCGGGUCACAAACUUGGUCACCUUCUCGGUGAACCGGAUUCACAAAAUUGGUUCAUAACAUGAACCUACAAACUUGGUGACCUCAGACUAAGUUGGACUGCCUUCGACCAAGCCCUAACCGGCUCGAAUAGUCCAACCAGGUCAAGAGUUCGCCCCAAACUCACAAACUUCACAAAAUUAUUCAAAAUCACAAACUUUGCAAACUUCACAAACUUUAUUCGAAAGUCGCCCCGAGCCACAAGCUCAAGGGUUUUGGUUCCAAAAGGUUCAUAUACAUAUGUCAAGUACAAUUAUACAUUCAAAUUAGGGUUUAGGUCGAGUGCGAUAAAGUACACCCUCGCCUAAGUGCCCUUUUCACAUAUCUCAACCACAUAGCAAAGAAAACACACCAAACCGGCCUGAAUACUUACUCAAAAUACCAAAAGUAGUUCGGAAGCAAAAUCGCUUCGCGCGUUCACUAGUAGUGGGCCCCACCGGCUCCGCCUAGCUCACCGCUGUCUGAAAUAGAAGAUUUUAUCACAAACGGCCACUAACAUGCCCAAAACAAGCAAAACGGCAAAACAACACGCGCGCACGUAAAUAUGACAGACGGAAACGGAAACGGCAGAUUUGACACUCGUUUCUAGUUUACUCAUAAAUUGAGCUACGAAUAUCGGAUUAAGGCGUAUGAGACGCCAUAUCGAAGCUUAAAGGAUGAACAACAACUGUUAUGAAGACAUCCAGAACUGAAACUAGAGGCUUUAGUCCCAAAUGAACCAAACACAAUCACUUACGAAGUCUGGCCAAUGCACAAAUGGUCAGUUUUGAGUGCUAACUGUUUUCUAUGCUACACACGGUCAAAAGAGCUGAAAAUUGGUAGUUAGAUAGUUCAUUCCAAAUGGAACAACUUUCAUGAAGGUCGGCAAUCCAAAUUCGGAACGGAAAUUGGUCAUCAGGACCAAAACAGAUUUCUGGUCAUUUUCACGGGCAGGCCUUGUUUGCUCGGCUAUAUCUCAGGUUUUAUAAAUCCGAUUCAUGAAAUUCCAAGGGUGUUAGAAAGCCCUGAUAUAGGGCUAUAAGUUUGGUGUUUUGGUCGGAAGCCCAAACAGCUUGUAACUCAGCCAAAUGUGAAGCCAAAGUUCCAGCCAUAAACUUUCCAAAAACGUACCAGAAUCACAAACCGUAUUUGACCUCAAUAUGCGGUAAUGGCACCAAAUUCACUACGGUUAUCGGAUGGGGGUGUAAGACCCACCGUUUCGAAGCUAUGAAACAGGGAUACAACAAUGUAGAAGGUCACUCAAUCCGGUUCCUAGCUUAACUAGGUCGAAAAUGCCAAAUACUAUACCAGAAUUACCAAAACAGGUUUGCAAAUCACACAAAACUGUAAUUACUAUAACAUAGUCUAUACAUGUCCAAAUGCCGAAAUUCCAAAGGCAUAUGUUAGCUAAGACAUCCUGAUACAUUUCAUCAGAAGACACCAACUUCAAAAUCCAAACCAAAACCAGUCAAAAUGGCCAAUUACUAUCGCAGUUUUCGCAUUCUGUCCAAAGCAGAACAGCUACAGUAAUUUCGUCAUAACUUAUUCUACAUUAAUCUAAAUGACCUGAAAUUUUGCAGGCAUCUCAAUCACAUCAAUACCUACAACUUUCAUGUUUUGAGAAAAGUCAAAUUCGGCCUCUAACCCUAUGAUCCAAAACCAGACAGAAUUGGGGAUUUAAGAACCCUAGCUUUGCAAUUUUCACACCAAAUCCAAAAUUGGUUGCAUUUAUCCACAUUUCACAUCCACUAGAGCCAUUAUAGUCCAUUGCCAAUCAUCACAAACAACCACACCAUCAUAAUCCAAUUAAACCAGAAAAAUCAUCAUAAAAUGGAAAACUUCACCAAAUCAAUUCAAACCAAGCUAAAAACCAGAAAUUUCAGCACUCUUAUCACUAAUAAGCACAACAUAAGCAUCAUUAGGUGUAGUAGGAUGUUUCAAGCUUCACUUACCAAAAACCAAGAGAGAGGAAGAUGUUGGACACCUUAAGUCUUCAAACAAACUUCAAUAGACCACUCACAAGCACCCAAAGGAUAGAUUUUAUGGAGUAGAAUCUAAGUUAUGUGGUUGGUUUUGGAAGAUUGAGUGAAAUGGAAGCUUGAAAGUUGAAGAAUUUCUUUCUUCUUGAGCUUGAGAGGUUCGGCCAUCAAGAGGUGAAAAUGGUGAUUUUUUUGUGAAUUUUUGGAGAUAUUAACUAAUUUUGGUCAAAAGUCAAAAAUGUGAAUAGUAAACCAUAAAGUCCAACCAAUCAUAUUGUGACACUUGUCACACUCAUUAAUGCAUUCUUAUCUUUCUUUUUCCCUCUCACAUCAAUCACUUCUCACUCUCUACUUAUCUCUUAACACCCGAUAAAUUUUACACAGUAUCCGGAAUUUAACCUAAUUGGCCGAAUUUUUCCGAACUUUUCGCACUAGUGGGUCCCACGUCCGAAAUACGUUCUUAAUUUCUCAAAAACUAACUAAUACUAGAAAAAUCAUCUAAAAACUAUAUUUACUCAUAAAAAUUAUCUGGGGAAUUUUCUAAUAAAGAAAAUGUAGAAAAAAACACGGGUUUUCAAUCUUAACCGGAACUUAGGGUUUAAAUCUUAAUUCCUACUUAGGGUUUUCGAAAUACUCCCAAAACCAAACGUUACCGCCAAAUUAAUGAAUAUAUCAACGUAGUACGAACUGGGGCCUCACAAUCUCCCCUCCUUAAAAGAAUUUCGUCCUCGAAAUUCCAACUUGCACUAAUCAGAUCAAAUAAUCCUCAAAAGCAGUCAAGUACACAACAGGCAAUGCCUCAAAAGUUCAACCACUCGAGUAGUAGCCGGUCUACAACCACACAAGUACGAAUAAGUUCAAAAGCCGGGUUCAAACAAAUAAGUUCAAAAGAUUAUACUCAAAUAUACAUAUUUUUACAAAGUCACACUAAAAAUAUACAAGUUAUCCGACAUCCGGUUGGUACAAAAUCCAUUAUUUACGUGAGCACUACGGCUCCAAAAAUGUAGUCAAUCACCGGGUAACAAAAGAAACCAGGCAUGCUGGUUAUAACAAAAUAAACAUGUCAGAUAUAACAAAAUAAACAUAUCAGAUAGUCAAAAGGAAAUCCCAUCAACGGCCCUACGCGCCUCCCCUACGGAACCUACCUAAUCCACUAGCACCGCCCCGGCGGCCCUAGGGUGCAAACCUAAAGAAUAGGUCCAAAUAGCUAACUUCAAUAUUAAGUAAGAACCAAAUCGAUUCACACUGGGACUGGCCAUCUCCAAGUGCAAUCAACUCAAUCCCCACUUUGCCUUAUGGAAAAAUUACAAAAGUCAAUAUCAAAAUCUUAGCAUUAAAUAUUUACCUUAAUAGCCAAGUAUCCCACAGUCCGGCAUCCUAAACUUCAAGCCUAGGAUACACUACAGAAAUCUGAAGCCUAAGCUCUGAUACCAACUGUAACGACCCCACUUCUCCCAAGGGCGAACCCAAGGGUAUCGGCGGGCCGCCUGCCUAGCUCGCGCCAGGACUCAAAACUUAAAGUUCGAAAGAGCACUAAAUACAAUAUAUACAACCCCAAAAGAGUUAUAAUUACAUUCUCCAAAAGUAUCGAGUCAAACCACCAAAACAAAAACAAACAUCCUAACUGUUCAACUAUUACAAGCCAAUCUAACUAUACUAGUAUACGAGCCAAAAGUCCCCGCGUCGGCCCCUGUUAAGGAAAACAAAAGGAAUGGGGUAAGCUAUAUGCUUAGUAAGUAAACAGGGGCGAAAGCAUAAAUUUCACGUAACAGUUACACAAUAAGAGUAAAGCAAAAGCAGAAAAGUAACAUCACAUGAUAAGGAUACAGGUGGCUCCAAAGCCAACUCAUGUGCCAUGCGUGAUCUCCUGCCGACACUCCGUCGACUGCAAAUAAUAGUCCGUAGAACUUCACUUGUACACCCACCGACACCUUAUCACCCUCACUGGCCAGUCACCUCACAAACUUGCCCGGGCGAACGAAAUCACAAACUUGAGCUUGAGUCACAAGCUCGGGUCACAAAUUUGGUCACCUUCUCGGUGAACCGGAUUCACAAAAUUAGUUCAUAAAAUGAACCUACAAACUUGGUGACCUCAGACUAAGUUGGACUGCCUUCGACCAAGCCCUAACCGGCUCGAAUAGUCCAACCAGGUCAAGAGUUCGCCCCAAACUCACAAACUUCACAAAAUUAUUCAAAAUCACAAACUUUGCAAACUUCACAAACUUUAUUCGAAAGUCGCCCCGAGCCACAAGCUCAAGGGUUUUGGUUCCAAAAGGUUCAUAUACAUAUGUCAAGUACAAUUAUACAUUCAAAUUAGGGUUUAGGUCGAGUGCGAUAAAGUACACCCUCGCCUAAGUGCCCUUUUCACAUAUCUCAACCACAUAGCAAAGAAAACACACCAAACCGGCCUGAAUACUUACUCAAAAUACCAAAAGUAGUUCGGAAGCAAAAUCGCUUCGCGCGUUCACUAGUAGUGGGCCCCACCGGCUCCGCCUAGCUCACCGCUGUCUGAAAUAGAAGAUUUUAUCACAAACGGCCACUAACAUGCCCAAAACAAGCAAAACGGCAAAACAACACGCGCGCACGUAAAUAUGACAGACGGAAACGGAAACGGCAGAUUUGACACUCGUUUCUAGUUUACUCAUAAAUUGAGCUACGAAUAUCGGAUUAAGGCGUAUGAGACGCCAUAUCGAAGCUUAAAGGAUGAACAACAACUGUUAUGAAGACAUCCAGAACUGAAACUAGAGGCUUUAGUCCCAAAUGAACCAAACACAAUCACUUACGAAGUCUGGCCAAUGCACAAAUGGUCAGUUUUGAGUGCUAACUGUUUUCUAUGCUACACACGGUCAAAAGAGCUGAAAAUUGGCAGUUAGAUAGUUCAUUCCAAAUGGAACAACUUUCAUGAAGGUCGGCAAUCCAAAUUCGGAACGGAAAUUGGUCAUCAGGACCAAAACAGAUUUCUGGUCAUUUUCACGGGCAGGCCUUGUUUGCUCGGCUAUAUCUCAGGUUUUAUAAAUCCGAUUCAUGAAAUUCCAAGGGCGUUAGAAAGCCCUGAUAUAGGGCUAUAAGUUUGGUGUUUUGGUCGGAAGCCCAAACAGCUUGUAACUCAGCCAAAUGUGAAGCCAAAGUUCCAGCCAUAAACUUUCCAAAAACGUACCAGAAUCACAAACCGUAUUUGACCUCAAUAUGCGGUAAUGGCACCAAAUUCACUACGGUUAUCGGAUGGGGGUGUAAGACCCACCGUUUCGAAGCUAUGAAACAGGGAUACAACAAUGUAGAAGGUCACUCAAUCCGGUUCCUAGCUUAACUAGGUCGAAAAUGCCAAAUACUAUACCAGAAUUACCAAAACAGGUUUGCAAAUCACACAAAACUGUAAUUACUAUAACAUAGUCUAUACAUGUCCAAAUGCCGAAAUUCCAAAGGCAUAUGUUAGCUAAGACAUCCUGAUACAUUUCAUCAGAAGACACCAACUUCAAAAUCCAAACCAAAACCAGUCAAAAUGGCCAAUUACUAUCGCAGUUUUCGCAUUCUGUCCAAAGCAGAACAGCUACAGUAAUUUCAUCAUAACUUAUUCUACAUUAAUCUAAAUGACCUGAAAUUUUGCAGGCAUCUCAAUCACAUCAAUACCUACAACUUUCAUGUUUUGAGAAAAGUCAAAUUCGGCCUCUAACCCUAUGAUCCAAAACCAGACAGAAUUGGGGAUUUAAGAACCCUAGCUUUGCAAUUUUCACACCAAAUCCAAAAUUGGUUGCAUUUAUCCACAUUUCACAUCCACUAGAGCCAUUAUAGUCCAUUGCCAAUCAUCACAAACAACCACACCAUCAUAAUCCAAUUAAACCAGAAAAAUCAUCAUAAAAUGGAAAACUUCACCAAAUCAAUUCAAACCAAGCUAAAAACCAGAAAUUUCAGCACUCUUAUCACUAAUAAGCACAACAUAAGCAUCAUUAGGUGUAGUAGGAUGUUUCAAGCUUCACUUACCAAAAACCAAGAGAGAGGAAGAUGUUGGACACCUUAAGUCUUCAAACAAACUUCAAUAGACCACUCACAAGCACCCAAAGGAUAGAUUUUAUGGAGUAGAAUCUAAGUUAUGUGGUUGGUUUUGGAAGAUUGAGUGAAAUGGAAGCUUGAAAGUUGAAGAAUUUCUUUCUUCUUGAGCUUGAGAGGUUCGGCCAUCAAGAGGUGAAAAUGGUGAUUUUUUUGUGAAUUUUUGGAGAUAUUAACUAAUUUUGGUCAAAAGUCAAAAAUGUGAAUAGUAAACCAUAAAGUCCAACCAAUCAUAUUGUGACACUUGUCACACUCAUUAAUGCAUUCUUAUCUUUCUUUUUCCCUCUCACAUCAAUCACUUCUCACUCUCUACUUAUCUGUUAACACCCGAUAAAUUUUACACAGUAUCCGGAAUUUAACCUAAUUGGCCGAAUUUUUCCGAACUUUUCGCACUAGUGGGUCCCACGUCCGAAAUACGUUCUUAAUUUCUCAAAAACUAACUAAUACUAGAAAAAUCAUCUAAAAACUAUAUUUACUCAUAAAAAUUAUCUGGGGAAUUUUCUAAUAAAGAAAAUGUAGAAAAAAACACGGGUUUUCAAUCUUAACCGGAACUUAGGGUUUAAAUCUUAAUUCCUACUUAGGGUUUUCGAAAUACUCCCAAAACCAAACGUUACCGCCAAAUUAAUGAAUAUAUCAACGUAGUACGAACUGGGGCCUCACAGUUUCCAUUUUUCUCUAAGAUUUUGAUUUUUGACCAUGAAUAUGUAUAAUUUGGCUUUGGAGGUCUUCAUAAGAAAUGUUGGUAUAUGUCUUAGUUUCGUAACGCCAUAAGAUUUGUUUCAAUCAGAUAAGUGUAGCUGUCGCGCCUCAUUUUUUGAUAAAUAAAUAAAUGGUUUAAAAAUGUAUUUUUUGAUUCAAUUUGUGAUUGGAAAAUGAAUUGUGAUUUAAAAGAAAAAUGGGUCUAAAUGGGGGGGUUUGAGAAUGCGACGAUUUGACCCAAAAUUAUAGUUUAAAAAGGGUUUUUGAAAUAAAAAAAUCGGAGUCGCCACUUGGUAAUGAGUUAAGGUGUACCAAGUCACCUAAAAAUGAAUUUUAAAGAAAAAAUAUGAAAAAGUAGUAAGAAACCCCUUUUAAACGACUCCUAGUCCACGAAAACCAACGAAAAAGGUUCGGGAGUCACAUUUGACGAAGGGGAAGGCAAGGAUAAAAUCCAAGGCACCCCUUUGACCUAGCCAAGGCUAGUUGCGUGAUUUAAUCAAAGAUUUUCUUGUUUUAACCAAAGAAUUUAUUACAUUUGGAUGUACUACAUGAAUGCAAACCCUAGACCUAGGGGGACAUGGGGGAAAUUUCUCUUCAAAGGUUGAGUGGUGCCAAUCACAUUAAUUGUGAAGCCCAAUAAUAACCCUUUGGAGAGGUCACACAUAAUCCUAAAUGAAAAAAAAAUGAGUGAAAUGAAUGCAUGCCAUGUGAAAAUGUGAGUUUGUGUGAAGUGAAAAAAAUGAUAAAAACAAGAGUGUGUAAGUGGAAGUGUGCAAAUGUAUUUACAAGGUAAGGUGAGUAAAGAAUGAUGAUGUGAAAAUAACGUAAAGUGCAUGUGUGCGAGUGAUAUGGUGCAUGUGUGCACAUGUAAGGAAAGUGUACGUGUGCCAAGUGAGAAAGUAAGAAUGUUUGUGUGCAAAUAGAUGAAAAUAGGGUAUGAUAGUAGUAAAUAAGUGUAAUGUGCGAGACAUGUCAUUUGAAUUUAAAAAGGUAUAAGUAGUGAAAAAUGUGGAUAAAAAGGUGAGGAAAUGGUAUGAGAAUAUAUGAACCUAGAGGAAUGCAUCAAGUUGGGUACGGGGACUCCUAACUUUGUGACUUUAAUUUUCCCUUUGAUUAGAAAGGAGAACUAGCGUGCUAAGGCUCUUUUGGAGCCACACUCGCUCGUUUCCCUUAUCGAAAGGAGACUCGUCAAGCAAAUGUCCCUAUAACUAGUAUGAAUAUGCAAAACCUAAAAUGAAAGGGAAAGGAUCGGAGGAACAUGCUAAAUGCUAGAAAACUAAGAAAAAUGCAUGAAAUAAAAUGAAACAUGCACGUAUGGACUCACGAGAGAAAUCCCUAAGGGUCUAGCGUUGGACUAGCCCAUUCUAUGAAUUCCUACUAGCGUUGGACUAGUGGAAACGUACAUUCAUCCAUCACAUUCAUUCAUGGCUAUGGAAAGCAAGUAGACAUGCAAAUCACCUAUAAACACGUAGCACAUAACACUUAACAUGCUCGACUAGAUGCAAGAGCCUAAUAAAGCAAAUUAACACAUAGCAACAAAAGCAAACAACCAAACUAAUAAACCUAUUACAUUUGCUAGCUAGGCACACGUCUUCAAUAGGUCUUCAUCAAAUGCUCCUCCAAGCCCUAUCUAUUACAAGCCAAGAGGUGUACACAUACCCCAUAAAUAAAAGAAUGACUUAAUAAAAGUAAAAGUAAAUGAAAUAAAGGAAUUAAAGAAAGGUAAAGAAAGCAAAUUAGACAUGCAAUUCUCACUUAGCACGUUGGAUCACAUAAGAGAGGCAAAAAGGAUAAAAGAAGUUAUACCUCCCUUGAAUUGGGGUCCCAAUUGAGUGAAACCACUUAUUUGCCCUCCAAAAUAAUAAAAGAGUCAAGGCAUCACUUUAAUCAAGAAAUAAUCACAAAAAGAUAAAAGUAAACAUGAAAUUGAAUCAAUUAAAUCAUGUAGACAACCCACAUUUAAGAGGUCAAAAGAAGAAAGGAUUUGAUUGCAAAAAUUAACAAAGCUUUGGGGUCAAAAUUUGAAGAAAAAUAAAGUUCAGGGGUCUAUUUGCAAUUAAGUUAGGGACCCAAUUGAAAGAAGUUGAAAAUGUCCAGGGCCGCAGUACAGUUAAAGAGAAAUUCAGGGACUGAUGUGCAAAAUCAUUUUUUGGUUUCUUAAUGGACCAAACCAUUGGGCCAUUUCCUCUAUUUGUUUGGGCCCAAGCUUCCCAAAUCCAAACGAAAGUCCCAACAAAACAAGCAGGCCAGCCUACUUUAGAUCCAAGCAAAGCCCCACUAAAAUAUAUGGCCUUUGCCCCUCAAGCCCAUGUAUAAAGACCCAAAAAAAAAGUCAUCAAUCCAUUUAUCAAAUCCAACCAAAAGAGUGGACUUUAGCAUACCUAGCCCGGAUCAUAAACCCAAAAUAAAUAGAACGAAGCCCAUUAUCAAAAAUCCAAACAAAACAUCCCUCUAAUCCAAAAUAUCAACAAAUUAGCAACUCAACUAAAAUUAUUAAACCCCAAUUAUGAUCUAAAACUAACGUUGAUCUACAAGAACAAACUAAUUAAGAUAUAAAAAGAUGAUUAAAACCCAUAAAUAAAAAAACUCAAUUGAAAGAAUUAUGAAAGGUUCAAUUCGAGGGGGGUUCCAAUGUAGCAAAAACCAGGGACUUAAUUGAAAGAAUUAUGAAAGGUUUGGGGCGAAUUAUUGAGUUCUGAAAAUUCUGGAGGUGAAUUACAAAACAAAAUAAAAAUGGAGGGACUGAAAUUGCAGUUUUACACCAAAAGGUCUUCUCCCCCAACGGAUCAGACGUCAAUCUACCAUUUCUAUCUUUCUUUGUAGAGGAAGAACGUUCGAAGAUUCAAAUUCCAACUCACACGAAUCUCAUCUCAUUCAAAUUCAUGCCAUUAAAUCAAGUUCGUGCAAAAGGAAAUCUAAGAAAACGAAAUUCUUCUAACUCUACUUUUUCAUAAAAAAAACAAUUAUUCGGACAAGCAUGGACUUCACUGACCAUUUGUUUUCCCCACCCGCAAAUGCAGAUAAACUACCUUCCAAUUAAAUUUUCAAACAAGCAUUUCAUCGAACAGGAAAUAGGCAUUAAAAUUUCACCAGAUUUUUUGCUCGAAUUGAAGUAUAACUAGCCCAAAAAUUUGUCAGCAAACCAAGGAUUUCAAUUCCAAUCAUUAUGUAUAACAUACAUACUCCAAAUUCACAAAUAGUCGACAGGAAAUUGCUACAAACCAAGGCAUGGAAAAAAAACAGGUUCCGGGAGCUUGAGGAAGGAAUGAAAUUUGAAAGAAAAGGGACAACUUACCGUAUCCAGAAUGGCGUCCCUUUCUCUUCGUCUCCUUCAUUCUGGAAUCGGCCAUGGAGAUUUCGUUGCCUUCAUUGGGGUCCAACCAGACCUUGCCUAGUGUUUUCUUGGUGACAUUUGCAGGCGGUGGUGAUGCAUUGACGGUGAGGUGGUAGUAGAAGCCUCUGCUGCUUCGACGGCUGCGGUGGCAGAGGUGGCAGCGUGGCGGAGCACUAGAAAGCGUCUGGCGGGCAGCAAUCAUCUGCUGCUGCUGGACCAUGAAGUUGAUAAUGGUAUGAUCGGCAGCAGCCGACAGCGAUGGCUUCGUUGACCUGAGCAUCGCAGGGUUUGGGUUGGGGUGAUCGGCGGCUAGCGAUGAGGAAGCGGUCGGCGACGGUAAUUGUAAGUCGUCCAAGAACGAUUUUCAGCCGCUGUCUCUUUUAUUUCUUGAUUUUUCAGCCGACCUCCUUCCAUACUUCUUUUUUCAGAUUUCCUUUCUCUGUUUUUUCUUAAUUCUUCCCUUUUCCUUCAUUUCUUCGGAGCUUUCUGUCCCCCCCCCGAAACCCUUUUUUCACUCUUUUUGUUAUCUUUUUGUUCUCUCCAGCUCCUAGCCCAGCCGAAGCCUUACUCUUUUCCAUUCGCUUUUCCAGAUUUUCCGUUAGCCUUUUCGUAGCUCCCACUCCAGUUGUUCCCCCUGAUCCUGCUCUCCUCCUUUUCUUUUCAUCCGACCCCCUAAAACCUCUCCUCUCGGCUCUCUUUUCUUCUUCCUCUGUUUUUUCUGUUUUUUUGUUCUCAAUGCCCGAUAGCUCCUCUUUCGGUCUCUCUCUUUUCCUUCUGCCGCCCUCACUCUAGCUCCCUGAUUUCUCUCUUGUCUGUCUAACCCCCAAAACCUCUCCUUUCAGCCGCCCCCUACCCUCUAUCUCGGUUCCUCUCCCCCCUGUUUUCUUGCCCUUGUCCUUUUUUUCUUGUUUUUUCUUUUUCUUUCCAAAAUUCUCUAUCCUACAAGUGUCUUCUCCCCUUGCCACCCAAGUGAUGUGUUGUUAGCAAAUAAGAAGGGACACUUGUCCCACAUGCAAGUUUCCACUUGUCAAGUUUCUUUUUUUUCUUCUUUUUUUUUCUGCAAUUUAGUAUAAGGACCAAAAUAAACUAGAAUAAAAUAAAGUAAAAGACCUAAAAAUAAAUAAACUAAAAAAACCUAAAAAUUGAACACAUAAAUCUAAACUUAAAUCAAUUAAAUAAACAGAGUUGAAAAAUAAAAAAUUUGGUGUCUACAGUAGCCUCAAUUAUGAUUAAAAUGCCAAAAGGUAAUAGGAACUUGUUGUUUUUAGAAUUUCCUUUGCUUGACUUGAUAUGUGUGAUCUAGGGUUUGGACUUGAGUAAGGCAAUGAUAUAUGAUGGAUGAGGUUCAUAAGCAUUGUGAGGACUCGCAAAUUCCUUGUAUUUUUCCUCAAAAAUUUCCUUUUAUUUGAAAAUUAGUAUUUAUCAAAGGCCACUACCCAAAUAUUUCACAUUAAGUGUAGAUAAACCUAGAAAAUAGGGUUUUACGCUUCGGUUUCAAGUUUGGAGCGAAAUUAGGGUUUUCGCGAUUUUCCGCCGAAUGAAUUUUCGGUACAGAGUAAGAAUUAAUUUGGGGAUUAAAAGUGACUUUUAAGUGAGAAAUAAUAUGUGACUAGUGGCAAUGAUAUAAGGUUAGUGAAUGGGAAGUAAAAACCCUAGUACGUGAGUUUUUAAGAAAAACGGCGCGAACCGGCGGGUCUCGCGCACUACCGAUUGAACGCACUGCUUAACCACCAUUUUUCCUUACCAAAAAAAUUUAUUGAACUUGAGCAAAAUAUCUUCUCUCUUGGCAACAAGCUUGACCGAAUGUGAGGCUAGGAAAUAACAAGAGAAAGAGAAAAGAAAGAAAGGUGGUGGUGGCGACACUUGUCGCCACCUUAAGGCUUCUUGACCCAAGACAAUUAUCAUCCAUUUAAGCACCAAAAUUCAGCAUUUUACCCCUUAUUUCUGCUGCUGCUGGCCGAGAGAGAGAAGAGGGAAAACACCAAAGGAAAACAUUUCAUUUCAUCUUCAAUCCAACAACUUAGGAAGAAAUCAAACAAAAUAAACCGAUUAAACUUGUUCUUGAGUGACUAGUUAGUGAGUUGUGGUGAGUUUUUGAAGGAGAAAGCUUGGGCUACUCUUAGUGACCUCUAGUCAAGGUAAGAGAGCUUAUCUCUCCAAGUUUUACUUUCAAUCUUGUGAAAUUAAGUUUUACUUCCAGAGUGGGACCUUGUCUUUAACAUCUCUUUUAGCUCGCUAGCUGAUCAGCUAGUGGACAUGGUGAUUAGCUCUUCUGCUGGUUCGUUUUUCUUCUCUGCAAUCUAUGCCCGCUGCACCAGAGUUGCUAGACAUCCACUCUGGGGGGCCAUGGAGAAUUUGGCCGCGUCAAGACUGGGGCCCUGGAUGGUGGCUGGGGAUUUUAAUAUCAUUGCGGAGGCCUCAGAGCGGCUUGGGGGCGCACCACCGAAUGCAAGAAACAUGGAGGAGUUUAAUCACACUCUGUUUAAGUGUGAUCUUACCUCGGUGGAAUUCGACGGCCCUCAAUACACUUGGACAAACGGGAGGGUGUGGCAGCGCUUAGAUCGGGCGUUGGUUAACAGGGAGUGGGCUGAACAGUUUGCAGUUUCCCGAGUGGUACAUUUGGCGCGGGGGCGGUCUGACCAUGCUCCCCUACUAAUCCAAUGUGGGUCAGGAAGGAAAGGGACAUCAUCAUUCAGGUUCCUCAAUGUGUGGCCUCGACAUAAUUCCUUUCUUGGGAUUGUUCAGGAAGCAUGGGGAAGGGGAGGCCCUUCGCAUACGAUGUCAGGGUUCUAUAGAAAGUUGUUAGGGGUGCGGGACAAGCUGAGGGUAUGGAAUAAGGAAGUUUUUGGACAUAUUGGAAACCGGGUGGCGGACUUAGAAAAGGAAAUGCGGACCGCGGAAUUGCAGUAUGACACGGAGAGGACAGUGGCGUCAAAGAUUGCUUAUCAUGAGGCGCGGGCGACGUAUAUGCAUCAAUUGGCCGUUGAGUGUGGCUUUUGGCGUCAAAAAUCGAGGAUCAAAUGGAUUCAGGAGGGGGACGCGAAUACGACUUUCUUCCAUGCGGUGGUUCGGCAACGGAGGGCCUCAAAUUACAUCUCUAGGAUUCGGGGUCCGACAGGGCAAUGGCUUACUCAGGUUGAGGACAUCAAGAGUUCGGCAGUAUCUUUCUUCGAGUCUUUGUUCAGUUCAGAUAGGGGUACUGAUCGGCAUCCCGUGCUGCCUUUUGACCUCCCACAGGUGACUUUAGGGGAUAAUGAGAAGCUACUGGCACUGCCAACAUUAAUUGAAGUGCGCGAUGUGGUAUUCUCGAUAUGUCCAGAUAGUGCUGCUGGGCCAGACGGCUUUGGAUCAGGUUUCUAUCAGGCAUGUUGGGAGAUAAUUAAGGAGGACUUGGUGGCUGCAGUACAGGAUUAUUUUAAAGGGGGAUGGCUACCAAAAGGGGUGACAAGUACGUCAAUCGUGUUAAUACCGAAACUUCAGGGGGCUUCUCAGUGGCAGGACUUUCGGCCCAUCAGCCUAUGUAACGUUAGCUCCAAGAUUAUUUCUAAGCUAGUGUCCAAUAGGUUGAAUCAGCUCCUUCCCCGCCUGAUCUCUCCUUGGCAGUCGGGCUUUGUGCCGGGGCGCCAAAUAAUGGAUAAUAUCCUUGUGACGCAGGAGCAUGCAAAGGAUUUGGACCGUCGGUUGGAGGCUCCGAACCUCAUGUUAAAACUGGAUAUGGAAAAAGCAUAUGACAGAGUUGAGUGGUCCUUUCUCCUAUUCAUGCUUAGAUCGUUUGGCUUCCAGGAGCCAGUGGUGGAUUUACUAUUUCGUUUGGUCGCAAAUAACUGGUUUUCUGUGCUUGUAAAUGGGGAGCCGGCUGGAUUUUUCAAAUCGACGAGGGGGGUCAGACAGGGGGAUCCAAUCUCCCCGGGGCUCUUUGUAUUAGUUACAGAGUAUUUUGGCAAGGGCCUCUACUCCUUGUUUCGGCAAGGUCGACACAGGUUUUUUCAGGCAGGAGGAAUGCGGGUACCAUAUCUGGCGUUCGCUGAUGAUGUCAUUAUUUUCACCAGGCUUUCACGGGAGACUUUACAAGCGAUUAGUGCCUUCUUCAAGCAGUACCAGCAAUACUCUGGACAGAAGAUCAAUGUGUCGAAGAGUGGUUUUGUGUGCUCGUCUGGGGUGUCGGCGGCACAAGUGGAGUUGGUGACUCGUAUACUGGGGUUCCAGCGGCAAUUUUUCCCGCUGGUCUAUCUUGGUGUCCCCAUUUCCCGGGGUCGGAGUUCCAUUGUUGAUUUCGAUGGGAUUAUCGCAAAGGUGAGGGCGCGGGUCUACCACUGGAGUGCGAGGUUGUUAUCUAUGGGGGGGAAAUUAAUUCUUACAAAGCACGUCUUGAGUUCGAUGCCUCUAUACCUUUUACAAGUGCUUAAGCCCCCCAAGGCAGUCUUAGUGGCCUUGGGUCGAAUUUUCAACUCCUUCUUAUGGGAUAAAUCCCACGACGCUAAACGUACGCACUGGGCGUCCUGGGAGAGGUUGUGCUUUCCCACAGAGGAGGGUGGAUUGGGGGUCAGGUUGUUGGAAGAUAUGGUCAAAGCUUUCUCUUAUAAGCUGUGGUGGAGAUUACGCCAAAGGGAUUCCAUAUGGUCGGACUUCAUGUAUUCUAAGUACAUUGGGGACCGACAUCCGUUGCAGGCGGAGGUGGCUCGCCCGUCGGGGACAUGGAAACGGCUAAUCGGCAUACGCGAGUUGGUGGAGGUACAGAUCACAUGGAGUCUGGGACCAGGAAUGGUAGAUUUCUGGUUGGACACUUGGUGUGAGCUGGGCCCCUUAUAUGCAUUGGUUCCAACAGAUGGAGACAGGCCGCACUUUUUGGUGGCUGAGUUUUUGGGGCGGGAAGGAUGGAAUAGGGACCGACUACUUCGCUGGCUCCCGGGUAAUUUGGUGGAUGUCAUAGUGGAGACUCCAUUCGACUUGGAUGGGCAUGAUCAAAUCCUGUGGGCGAAGUCGGCGACCGGGUUUUUUUCUUUAAACUCGGCUUGGGAGCUGUGCCGGCAACGUCGGGGCGGUUUAACUUUGGCUGGGAUGAUUUGGAAUAAAGGUACACCAUUGAAAAUAUCAUUUUUUGCUUGGCGGCUGAUGAACAAUUUUGUGGCCUUGGAUUCGGUGAUGCGUAGAAGAGGGCUGCCCGUGGUGUCCAGGUGCUCCUGCUGCCUGGAGGAGGCAGAAACCUUGCCACAUCUCUUCUCAAUGGACCGGUGGCAAGAGAGGUUUGGGGGCAUUUUGCAGGUAUGUUUGGCAUUAUUCACUUGCCGUCGGAUGAUAUUCAGCUCUUAUGGAGGGAAUGGGCCACAUCGCUGAUACGCAUCCCCACUCAUCAUAUUCGGUGUGUACUCCCGCUGGUGGUAACAUGGUUUAUAUGGCAGGGAAGGAAUAAGGCAAGGUUUGAAGGAUAGGCUUUUUCGGCUCGGAAGGUCAUUGUUGAGGUGAGCAAUUUCUUGCAUGACUUGGGAAGAGCAAAAAAGUUGGACAAGGCACAGUUCAACGGCGACCGGGACUGUGUAUGGGCACGCUUCGUGUCCGACGGAACUCGUAAAAGACGUCCAGUGCUGGUGACUUGGGAGAAGCCACCGCCCCUGCGGUACAAAUUAAACACGGAUGCUAGUGUGGUCAACGGGAGGGCAAGUGGAGGAGGAGUGCUCCGGGAUUCUUUUGGUAGGGUUAUCCUGGCCUUUUACAAGGAGUUUGGGGAAAAAGGAGUUCUGCAGGCAGAGGCUCUAGCAGUAUUAGAGGGGCUCCUUAUAUGUGCGGCAAAGGGGUUACGAGGGAUUCUAGUGGAGGUGGACUCGGCAGUACUCGUAUCGUUAGUCAACUCUUCGGCUCAGGGAGGCUGGUUGUUAUGUAAUGUGCUGCGGCGGAUUCGGCGCCUUUUGGAUCAAGUGGCUAUGUCGUUUACUCACAUAUUCCGAGAAGCAAAUGGGGUGGCAGAUAGGCUAGCUGCUCUACAAGGGGGUAUCAAUCAAGUUUUUGAUUCGCAUCUGCAGCUUCCUAGGGAGGUGCGAGGUUGUAUUGCUAUGGAUGCUGCCCAAAUCCCGUCUUUUAGACUAGUGGCUCAGUAGGGGGAAUAAUCCUUCAAUUAUCUUGUAUUUGGUUUGUUCACAUCUUGAAUAAAUGAAUAUUUAAAAAAAAAAAAAGUUUAGCAACUUGAUUUUGUGGUGGAAUCAUGGAUGAUUAUCAUGUUUUAGUAGUUUUCCCCUUUUUAUUUCAUGAACUAGGGUUUGGGGAAAUUCUGCCCAAUUUGUUGUAUGAUGCUUAUAUGUUGCAAUUGAAGUGUUAUAAGGUGUUGUGGUAGGGAUUAGACCAAGAAAUUAAGGAAAGUUGCACUAGAAACUCAAAAUUCCAGAAUCUGGAAAAUUUCCCCAACUUUCUGUCCGAAUUUAUAUCUGUAUGUUAGAGGUCGAUUUGGCCUUAGGUCAAAGAAUAAAAGUUGUAGAGAAUGGCAUUUUAUAUGUGCCUAAAAAUUUUUAGCUCAAUCGGAGCAACGUAGGACGUGAAAAGUCCAAAAUACCCUUACUAUUUUAAGUAUUUCCUAAGCAGUCCGUGUGAUCAGUUAAGUCCAGUUUAUCCCGUUUUUUGACUAGGAUCCAUUCUGAUUUAGUGUUUCACCAAAACAUGAAAGUUGUACCAGUCUGAAUUAGCUUUCAAAUGCCUCUAAGAACACCUGAUUCGGAGUUGUGUACUCUGAGUUAUGUCCAUUACAGUGUUCUGCGUUUAAACAGCCGACGAAUUGAUUUCUGGUUUAGUAAUUCGAGAAUUUGACCAAGUUACAUUAGAAACUGGACUAUGUGACCUUCAUGAACAUUGUAGCCCUGAGUCUUAGCUUCUAAAUGGCAUAGGUUGCGUCUUAAUCGGAUAAGCGUAGCCUCGGAUAAGUUAUUUCCGUUUUCAUACGUCAAAUCUGUCUUUUGCUAAAUUGAAUUUAUGCACUUGUUAUUACUGUAUUUCUUAUUCUUAUGAUAUUGUGAGCCUAUGGAAUGGCUCUUGACUUGAAUUGCUUAUGUGUGAUGUUGGGUUGUGGUUGAGGAAAAAUAAUGAAGCCAAAAUGGCUGAAAAAUUAGUUAAACACAAAGGGCGUGCUGCCCAAAUUUUCGCCCGAGGGCUAGGUUUCUAUUUGAACUUGUAUACUUUUGUUAGGCCAAUACCAUGACCGGUUUUCCAUUUUAAAACAUGAUUUUUCAUCCUUGGGUUCAAACAACCCUCUUCUUACUUGAAAGUCAUCUUUACACGUUUUACUCUUAAUUAGUCGGGUUUCUUUGUUUCCCUUAAAUGUUUUGCUCGAUAAACUAUAAUAAUGUUCUCUUGUUCAACCUUAGGUUUCAUUGGUGAUUAAGGGUAAUAUCCGGAAGGAUAUUUUGCACGAUAUUUUGCAUUUCUAGGUGAGUGUUCCUUAUUUGAUUCUAUGGCUUGUUGUUAUCAUUUGCUAAUGUGUUAAGUGCUUUUAAUGAUUUCCAAAACGAGCUUUCUAGGCGAGUGUGUACUUUAUCGCACUCGACCUAAAUAACUGUGCAAUUUUCAAGGAUUUAAUGAUUGAAAUGUUACUUGAGCAUGAAUGUAAGCCUUUUGGGCUGAACUGGCCAUUGCCCCUUGUUACCGGUCGUCUCGAGCCAGAAGCGGACUCGGUCGGGCGAUUAGGGACUUGGGUAAACGUUUGGUAUACUCGAGUAUUACCCUGUUGGUUGGUGGAGACUGGCCAACGGCCAGGACGGGGGUGAAUGAAUGAAUGAAUGAACGAACGAAUGAACGAGGGUUUAUUGAUAAACGAAAAAUGCAUUUUCAAAUGAUUGGAGGAAUAAGGGGAAAUGUCAGGAGAACGAAUGAACGAAAUAACGAAUUGCUCCUUGUGAGCCGUAUCCUUUUAAUGAAUGUGUUACUAUCGCUUUCCAUUGUAAAUGUUUCUUGAGUUAUUGAUACUCCAUGUUUAAUGUAUUGGAUUGAUUAUCUGAUUAUGUGUUCGGAACCUCACUGGGCUUUUAGCUCAUUCCUUUAGUUUUGUUUUCCUUACAGGGGAAGGCGAGCGAGGACGUGAGCUUGAGAUAGACUAGCCAAUCUAGUUUUGUUUCUUUUUUUUUUUCUUUUGUAGUGGUUCUCGCCUAGUGCUUGGCACGGGCUGGACGUAUGAAGGAUUGAGAACCCUUGUAUAUUUGAUGUUUAUAUUCUCUUUUGGGUUGGCAAUGUAUAUAAGUUCCGCUUUAAGUUUGGAUCAAUGCCCUAUUUAUUCUUGUGAUUUAUUUCAAUUUUUAAUUGAGGAUUGUAGCGAACGACUGAGUCCCAGCGAGAGCUGGGCAGGCGGCCCGCCGAACCCUCUGGUACGCCUUAGGGGGAGGUGGGGUCGUUACAAGCAUGGUUGGUGAGUGAUCUCCAAACUAUUUGCAAAGUUACUUUUCGACUUAAUUCUUGCAUUGGUUACUCGAUUGCAUAUCAUUUGUGUUUGUGUAUGUGCUAUGACAUGAUUUGGCUCCAUUCAGUUCUUGAAAAUCUUGUGCUUAGAACCAACAUCUCCACCCUUGUUUACCUGGAGCCAUGAUGGCUCCCUUUUGCUAUUUGACUGUUCAUUGAUCUAUUUGAGCGUUGGAAUUCUAAGUACAAUGACUUCACUGGUUCACGAGAGCAAAAUACGUACAUUUGAUCACUGAUUCAUAACAUCAUUUACAUGCAAUGUUGUGAAGCUUAUUUGAUUUCUGAUUUUACUGGUUACUCGCUGAGAUUCUAGCUCACUCCAAAAUAUUUUUCCCCUCCACAGGGCUCGAGGCAAAGGAAGCGAGUGUAAUGAGUUAUUAGUAUGACUGGAUGAAUUGUCUCCUGUACCGUUUGAAUUCAAUUCACUUGAUGAAUAUUCAAUGUAAUAUUUGGGACUGAUAUUGUAGUUGUAAUUGGUGAGAUUUGAAUGUCUAUAAGUAUACGCUAAGCGUGGGAAAUGUUAUUUCGCUUAUUAUUGAGGUUGUACUCUAUGUUCUUGGAUGUGAGUGAUGUAAUUUAUUUGAAAACUGUAGUGAGUGAGUGAGUCCCGGCAAAAGCUGGGCAGGCGGUCCGGCGAAUCCUUUGGUUCGCCUUAGGGGAAGGUGGGGCUGUCACAGUAUGAGAUGACCAAAUCUAGUUUAUUCAGUAUACUUGGACUCAUUUAAGCUUUUAAUUUUAAUUAUAAGUUACGGAAGGUAACGGUGGUAUUGAACCGUCUCGGAGACGCCUUCCGGUGAUCCGUUAUUGAGAAAUGCCUAGGAAAAAUUCAUUGGAGAUAUAAUCCAACUGGCUGAACUAGGACCCUAUGUGAUUACUAGAGGACUUACUCGUACCCAAAUAACAGAGUGUUACAGGGUUCAACGACUGGAGAUGGCUAUCCGAAGAAACAGGGGUAGUUCGAGAGGAUAUUCCAAAACUGAGGGUAAUUGUGGAUGCCUAGAUUACUAGAAUUCCUGAAGUGGAGACAGAGAUACUUGAGGAGUAAGGAAAAGACAAAGGCUCCUAGUGGGCAGCUUCAAGAAGCUAAGAAUCGGCUUGCUAGGGUAGUACACGAAAUUAGAGACCGGACGGAUAAGACGAUGGCUGGGUGUAUUACCUUGGUUGAACAAGUGAAGAAUGACAAGAUACUCAAUAAGGGACAUGAGAUUAAAACUCCUAGUGGAGGAAAUAUAAAUGAUCCUACUGAAGUAGCAGAGACUUCUGGCUCCACCAAUCACUAAGGUCACUCUACUUUAACGGCUUUGUCAAAGAUAGACGGGGUGGUGCUCGUUUAAAGGCCAUUGCAUUUUGUAUUUUAUUUUACUAUGUUUCCUAUCUUUUUGAAACAAUUAAACGUUACUCAUGAGAUACUUGACUUUAUUGCUUUAUGAUUUCAAAUCUAUGAUUGGGUUGUGCACAUUUAUGAUUAUUUCGGUGUCUUCCCUUUUAUUCUUGUAUUUGGUUGGCAUGAUCAAAAUGUCACUUUUCAAACUUCAUUGAUGUGCAUUCAUUUUAUGUUAUGCCUUUAUAAAUGUUAAAUUUAUGAGUGGCCAAAGAAGUGGAAAAAGACCGAGCGUGAGGGGUUAAGUAACCCCAAGCUCAAGGGAUGGUUAGAGAACGACUACUAGACCGAACCAAAAUCCUAGAAACGAAAGAAAACAAUCACGUAGCUACUGCUAUUGACUGUACGAUUGAUGUCCUAGCAUGGUUGGUUGAGCACCAAAGCUUUAGACCAAUAAGCCAACCUAAGAAUCAAGAGAGGUGUGAAAGUGGAAUGAUUCUCGAAGUUCGCCUAUCUAAGUUUCAUGGAAGAUCUAUUCUCAAAAUAGUAGAAUUGAUUUGAGGGAAUAAAAUAAGGUGCUAGUGAAAGCAAGAGGUUGGGGUAUCUUCUCAAGCAACUUUGUAAUUGAGUAUGGAGAGUGAAUUAGGGUGUGGAACUUUUAAGGAAUAAGAUCUCCGUAUUUUGUUAUGUUUAGAAGCAAUGAUAGUAAUCUUGUAGAGACUCGAGAGCCCGUCCAUGUUAAGCCGAGAACAGGUAAGAUUUAUAAGUUGAAGUAACCUAUAAGUCAAAUAAUGAAAGAGUGGCAUGGCCAGAGAUUCCAUUGUGGAUAGCUACUUAUUUUGAUCCUUUGAUUUACCUGGAAGGCUAGCAUUUGAUUUAAACCAACUGAUAAGAUGACAACUUUGGAAGAAAUGCAUAAGGAAAUGGAUAUUCUUCGAAAUGAGGUAGAAUUUCAGAGGAAAUUGGCUGACUAUUGGGAAGGACGGUGCAAACAAGAAUAUACAGAGAAAACUGAGUUGCUAAACCAGAACGAGAACUGGAGAAGAAAUACAAAGGAAAACCUCAAACUGGUCAAGCCGUCACUUCUCGCGCAAAUGGUGGAUACUGCGGAAAGAUUAACCACGCUGAGACUGAGUGUUGGAGAAAACAAGGAAAAUGUUUCAUAAGUUUUCAAAUUGUCUUAGAGUUUCUAAGAAAAGAGGAAAAACUCGGCAGUCUGUUGGAUCUACUGCAAAGCAGUCGAGGGCCAGAAGAGGUGAUUAAUGCUAAUGGCUAUGAGAGAGACUCAAGUAAUGGAAGUAAUACGAGCGGGAAUGGAUUUGACUCUGUCCGAGAAAUAGAGGUUAUAGUUUACCUAGUCUAGACUGACACUUUAGAAGUGGCAAUCUUUUGUAAAAAGGGAAAAAUACUUUUGUUGUUUUGUAUUUUGGUAACUCGGCACGUUCAGUUAUGACCUUGUGGUUUCUCUUCUUCUUUUGAAAUGAUUUGAUAGACCUAUUCCAACUUGAAGUAACUAUUAUGAUCUUUUAUAACAUAUGGCAAUUUAUUUGCUUUUAAAUGAUUUCAUGGCUUACAGGUAUAUUUAAACUUUACCCCACACCUUUAGUUUGGUGAUAAGACAUGGACAGUAGUAGACAUGGUCGAGAUUAUAAUUGAAAGCAUAGGCAACCCCGAGAUCUCAGAGAUGACCAGGGAUCGGUGAAAAAAAAAUCGAGAACUUAGGGUUGAAGUUGGGACCCGAUAUUUGAUUGCCAAAUUGAUAUAUUAAGGUUGUGAGGUUUGGGUUAGUGAAAGGAAAUAUUUGAUAGAUUGAAUGAGUCUAACAAUUAAGGGACAGGGUAUAGUAUCUGGGAUGGAAGUUUGAGGCUAUACAUAGACUACUGAGACUUGAACAAUAUGACUAUUAAGAACAAUUGCCCUUUCGCCUCGUAUAGAUAAGAGUGUGAUCAAUUGCAAGGGCCGUGGAAUUAUUCAAGUUGGGUUUACAACAGAAGCUAUUGCUAGUUGAGAAUCCUGGAAACUAACGUAUUCAAGAUCACUUUUAAUUUAAAACAUGGCACUUCGAAUUCACAGCUAUGCCUUUUGGGUUGACUAAUGCGCUAGCAGUAAUUAUGGACUUAAUGCAUCGAUAUUUUAAACCGUAUUUGGAUCAAUUUAUGGUGGCAUUUAUUGAUGGUAUAUCAGUAUGCUCUAAGGUUAGAGAAAAUCAUGAAAGACACCUGAUGAUAGUUUUACAAACCCCGAGGGGGCACCAAUUUUUGUUAAAUUCAAUAAGUGUGAGUUUGAAUGAAAGAAAUAGGACUUGACGAGAAUUUGACCUAUGAUAAAGGACCGGUAAAGAUUUUAGAUUGAAAAGUGAAGAUCUUAUUUGUAUGGAAUAACUUUUGAGUAUUUCAUGGAUCACAAGAGUCUUAAGUACCUGUUUUCCCCAAAAGGAGUUGAACUUGAGAUAACGAAGGUGGGUGGAGUUGGAGGACUAUGAUUGUACGAUCAAUUACCACCCAUAGACUGAUGGACAGUCCGAGAGGACAAUUCAGGCCCUUAAGGACAUGUAUCUUGGAUUUUUGGAGAAAGUUGGAAUAAGUACUUAACACUGGUAGAAUUUACUUAGCUAAGGUUCUAUGUAACAUCCCGAAUAUUAGGAGGUUGUUUGUGAAGAAAAUAUUAAAGUGUAUUUCUUUGGGGUUUGAUUUAAAACCUUAUUUUGUUUUAAAAGACUAGAAACCCUAAUUUUAAUUUCUGAAGUUGUAAAACCCUCACGGUUUCUUAAAAAUGCUCUUUUAUUUGGAAAUUAUUAUUUAUUAAAGCUCUACUAUCUAAUUAUUCCAUAAUAAGUGCAAAUGAAUCUAGAAAGUAGGGUUUUACUCUUUGUUUUCAAGAUUUGAGCAAAUUAGGGUUUUAGCGAUUUUUCCGCCGGAUGAAUUUUCGGUACUGGCCAAGGAUCAAUUUGAUGAUUAAAAGUGACCUUUAAGUGAGAAAUAAUAUGUGAAUAGGAGCAAUUAUAUAAGGUUAGUGAAUGGGAAGUAAAAACCCUAGUAAGGGUGUUUUUAAGAAAAACGGCGCGAACCGGCGGGUCCCGCGCACUACCGAUUGAACGCACCGUUUGACCACCAUUUUUCUUACCAAACAAGCUUAUUGACUUUUGUACAAAAUAUCUUCCUAAUUUGCAGCUGGUUUGACCGAAAUUAUAAGGCUAGAAAUGUAAGGGAAGAAAGAGAAAAAUUUGUGGACAAGAUUAGUCCAAGUGUUGGCCAAAAAUUGUGGACACAAUUAGCCUUAAUCUUCUUACUUCCUUAUAAGACAAGUUAAGCUCCAUUUCCUUCAUUUUUCUGCUCCAUAACCGAAAUAAGAGAGAGAGGGAAAGACCAAGAGAAAAACUUCUUCAUUUCUUCUUGAUUCAAGCUACAAAGUGAGAAAUCCAAAGAACUAAACCGAUUAAUCUUGUCCUUGAGUGGUUAGUUAGUGUUUGGUGGUGAAAGUUUGGAAAGAGAAGGCUUGGGCUGCUCUUUGUAACCUCUAUUCAAGGUAAGAGAGCUUAUCUCUCUAAGUGUUGCUUUCAAUUUUGUUAAAUUAAGUUUAGUAGUUUGAUUAUAGUGGUGGAAUCAUGGAUGAUUAGCAUGUUUUAGAGGUUUUUCCCCAAUUUAUUUGAUGAACUAGGGCUUAUGGAAAUUCUGCCCAAAUUGUUGUAAGAUGCUUAUAUGUUGCAAUUGAGGUUUCAUAAGGUGUUGUGGGAGUGAUUAGACCAAGAAAUUAAGGAAAGUUCCACUAAAAACUAAAGAUUUCAGAUUUCUGGAAAUUCUUGCUUACAUUCUGUCCGAAUUUUUAUCUGUGUGUUAGAGGCCGAAUUGGCCUUAGGUCAAAGAAUAAAAGUUGUAGAUAAUGACAUUUUAUAGGUUCCUACAAAAUUUCAGCUCAAUCGGAGCAACGUAGGAUGUGAAAAGUCCAAAAUACCCUUACUGUUUUAAAUAUUUCCCAGCAGUCCGUUUCAUCAGUUAAGUCCAGUUUAUCACGUUUUUUGACUAGGAGCCGUACUGAUUUAGCUCUGAGCCAAAACAUGAAAGUUGUAGUGUUCUGAAGUAGCUUUAAAAUGCCUCAAAGAACACCUGAAUUGGACUUUUGUACACUGAGUUAUGACCAUUACAGUGUUCUGCGGUUAAACAGCCGACGAAUUGGUUUCUGGUUUAGUAAUUCGAGAAUUUGACUGAGUUACAUUAGGAACUGGACUAAGUGACCUUCAUGAAUGUUGUAGCUCUGUGUCUUAGCUUCGAAACGGCAUAGGUUUCGUUUUAAACCGAUAAGCGUAGCCUCGGAUAUGUUAUUUCCGCAUUUGUACGUCAAAUCUGUUUUGAACUAAAUUGAAUUUCUGCACCUGUACUUAAUAUGAUUCUUGUUAUUAUGAUAUUGUGAGCCUAUGGAACGGCUCUUGACAUGAAUUGCUGAUUUAUAUAAUGUUGGGUUGUGUUUGAGAAAAAUAAUGAAGCCUAAAAGGCUGGAAAAUUAGGUAAACACAAAGGGCAUGCUGCCCAAAUUUACGCUCGAGGACUAGAAAACUAUAUUAGCGACUUGAGUGAAGGUUAAGUACUUAUUACUUGAACUAGCGAGAACCUUGGCCACUAUGUUUCUUGAGUGUUAUACGUUAGGACUUGGCCGAACUUGUACCCUUGAGAAAUGAAAUAAUGAUUGCUCGAAGUACGUUUUCCUUGUACUUUCGACUCGCAUGACAAUUUCAAGUAUAAAUAUUACAAAGUUUUAUCAUUGAAAAAGUGAGCAAGUAUUUCACGAGUACUCUCCAAGUGAAUUUCUAUUUAUUGAUUCUUAUUGAACAAAACGUCUAAGUUUCGAAUCUUAGUCAUGUUUCAAAGUUCUCAAACUGAGUUUUAUCGCAGAUUUGGACUCCGAACCCGGAGUAUAACGUGAAAGUGACCAGUAAAGGCACUAUAUCUUUUGGUGAGUGUUUUCAAAUACCGAAUUGAACUUGAUACCUGAACUUGAUACGUGACCAAUAUGAUUACAUGUUAUAUACGUGAAUUGUUAGGGCAAGAGUGUACUUUAUCGCACUUGCCCUUACGUGAUAUACUUGUUUAUUGUUGCAAUUGACUUGACAUACUUGUUUAUGAUGCGCGCACUUCCUGGAAUUCCAGAAACCCUGUGGCGAGUUACUCUAGUCGAGCCGGCAAGGGGCUUGGUCGAUUGGGUAACGAACCCUGGGUCUCUUGUAUUGUCGAGUGGAGUGAUAUCUCCUCGACUAAUCGGUAUACUCGAGUAUUACCACCCGUGUUUCUUGAGGAUUUUGGGCCCAGUUGGGGGUUUGAACGGUGGACGGAGAGUCGUGUAAGUGGUGUUCUACUGGAUUGGUUACUUACUUGAAAGUUGACGGAGUGUCAGCUACUACGUGAUCAAGCUUCUGGUAAUGCAAUGGGAAUUUGGCUCCUGAGAGCCAUCCGUAUCCUUAUACUUUGGAGUGAUUAUUGUUUAUUGGAUUAUUGUUUCUUUUGAAAAACUUCUACACUCGCUCAUUUUGAGAUUGCUACUUGACGUGUUAUUGCUCACAUUUAUGAACUCUUCAUGUUCGUUACUUUGCUAUAUCGAAAACUUGUACUUAUAAAUAAUGGUCAAUUUGCUAUUUGGAACCUCACUGGGCUUUUAGCUCAUUCCACUCCAUUUGUUUUCCUUUCAGGGGUACGAGCGAGGUGUGAGAUAUGUAAAGUCUAGCAUAGACUAGUUGUUUUGACUUUUGACUUGUACUCGCGCUGUUACUCGAAUAGAAUGUUUUGUAUUUGGAUUGUAUACGCCCUGAACCAGUUUGAGUAUAUUGAGGCUUUGUACCUCGAUUUCUAUCAAUGUAAAUUAUAAGCUUGAAUUGCGAUGUUAUUUAUGGUCUAUGGAUGUCUGCACGUGAUACGAGUGAAUGAGUCCUGGCGAGAGCUGGGCAGGCGGUCCGCCGAACCCUCUGGUACGCCUUAGGGGGAGGUGGGGUCGUCACAUUCUAAGUGACCACGGUAUGACACAUUCCUUUUGGAAACCCUAGAUUCAUGAGUAAGAUAGAUAUGAGACCGAUUAAGUUAUCUUAUGACUCGGAAGUUAAAAUGCUUAUUGGGGAAAAAUCAAGGUUUGAUUGCUAGUUGGAUGAAUAGAAAUUUCGAAGUAUGGGUUGGAAAAUGUAAGUUAGUGAUUGAUCUGAUAGGCUUAACCAUUAAGGGAAUGAUAUUGUCCUAAGUGUGAAUUUCGAGAACGAAAUUUCUUUUAAGGAGGGAAGGAUGCGAAGACUUGAAAAUUUUCUCAUUUUAUCUCAUAUUACUGCUUAUCUAAAUGUUUAUUCACUUGUUUUCUCCGAACAAUUUAUUUCAACCCCUUAAAUUCAUUUUUAUGGAACCAUGUCUUAUUUAUACUUUUAAAACGUCUCGCUAACAAAUUUAAAUUUUUCGAAGGCUCGUUUAUUAAGGAAUAACAAAUACACACCUUCGAGAUGAUAGUCGAUCUGAGAGUACAAUGAUUUUGGAGAAUUAAUAAUGAGAACAUGAAGAUUUGGAUUCCCUUGAAAUUCAAGGAAAUUCAAUUGAUGGUUGAUGGUGCAAUCGGGUUCAAGAAUCGUUGAAGAUUUGUCAUGCUUAUUUCUUGUUAUUUAUUUAAGUAAGUUUCCAGCAAUACUUGUUAGUUAGUCUUGAGUUAUUAAGGGAAAUAAAGGCUAAGAUCAUGUUGACCAUAGUUAAGCCAAUUGAGUCAGUUAGUUUCCUAUUCUAAUUGAAUUAGAGUUUUAGGAAAGUAGUUAAUUGCUUCCAAAUUUAUUUAGGAAGUUGUGUCAAGUCAAAUAAAGAAACUUGUAUUGUUUCCAAUUUAGAUUAGGGUUUUCAGUCUUGUAAGGCUAUAAAUAACCAACUUUAUUUAACUAUUCGGGGGAUGAUAUUGAAGAUGAAUUAAUAAAAAGAGAGUUGUCUCCUUUUAUGAAGUUCCUUGAUGGAACUGGAGUUUCUUCUUGAACAGUAUCAAGUAUUUAGCUUGGAUACUUGUGGUGUUCAAGAACAAGAUGAUCACAUUAUCUUGUUCUUUCAAGCCAAUAACCAAUCCACUAGGUUUCUAGAGAUAGGUUCUCUUUGGGUCUAGCAAGGUAGUUAUUGUUCUAUAACCUGAUCAAGAUAGAUCCUUCCGCUGCCUGAUCGAUUCGGUUCUUCAAGACAGGUUCUUGCUGGGUCGAGUUCGUAUCAUCUGGUAUCAGAGCUUCGGCUCUUGAUUCAGGUUAAUAUCCUUUUCUUUUCUUUUUUUCUAUUUAUUUUUCUACCAAAACCCUAGCCGCCUUUUGAUUUAAAAGAAACAAAAAAAUAAAUUUUGAUUCUUGUUUUCUUGAUUUUAUCACUAGAGUCUAACCUAUCCUGUGAUUGAUCGAGGUUGAAAAUUUUUGGUGUGAUUACGUUCUUGAAAACAGGUUUUUCAAGGGUUUAACUCCCAUUAAAUUCCUUCCAAGUGAAAUUGUAACCUGGUGUUGAGUUAUCAAAAGCAAAAAAAAAAAAAAAAAUUUCAAAACUGUUCACGGCGAUACUAUUCAUCGGGCAAUGUUCAUCCGAUGCUACCGUAGCAGUACUGUUCAUCCGAUGCUGCUGUAGCAGUACUGUUCAUCCGAAAUUUUUUUUUUUUUACCUUGUGUUUGUUUCUUGUAGUUGGUUUGGUAAUUUCUUGAAGUUCUUGGAUUGCAUAGUGGGUUCUUGAAAAAAAAAAUCUUGAUACUUUGAAAACCCUAAAAAUCAUCCUCUUGAAUCUUGAAGUGCGGCUACCUUAUUUUCUUGAAUUGGCAAGUUAGAAAAACAAAAAAAGGAAGAAAGAAGGAAAAAAAAGGCAGCCUUGCCUUGAAUGGUUUCCAAAUCUUGAUUGAUAUCUUGAUUGAUUUCCAAAUCUUGAUUGAUAUCUUGAUUGAUUGCCAAAUCUUGAUUGAUUUUCAAAUAUUGGUUGACUUCCAAAUUCUAACCAAGUACAAUUGGGUGAAGAUAUUCUUGACAAAUGGAACAUGUGCAAUGGUUCAUAUUCAUAAUCAAGUUGAGUUGGCGACAUGGUUCUUGGAUUGCAUUUAUCAAGACAUUCUCCGAGUUACUCCUUUGUAAGCAAGCACUCGAUUUGAGGACAAAUCGUCUUUCAAGAGGAGGGGAAUAAUGAGAACAUGAAGAUUUGGAUUCCCUUGAAAUUCAAGGAAAUUCAAUUGAUGGUUGAUGGUGCAAUUGGGUUCAAGAAUCGUUGAAGAUUUGUCAUGCUUAUUUCUUGUUAUUUAUUUAAUUAAAUUUUUAGCAAUAAUUGUUAGUUAAUUAAAGUUAGUCUUGAGUUAUUUUUGAGUCCUUAAUAAGGGGAAUAAAGGCUAAGGUCAUGUUGACCAUAGUUAAUGUAACAUCCCGAAUAUUAGGAGGUUGUUUGUGAAGAAAAUAUUAAAGUGUAUUUCUUUGGGGUUUGAUUUAAAACCUUAUUUUGUUUUAAAAGACUAGAAACCCUAAUUUUUUAGUCAAAAACCCUAGUUUACUUGUGACUAACCGGUUUUCCUAAAUCUCUCCUAUUUUAAUUGAAACCCUAAUUUUAAUUACUGGAAUUGGAAAAAUUCCUCACGUUUUCUUAAAAAAUUUCCUUUUUGUUGAAAAUUAUCAUUUAUUAAAGCCCUACUAUCCAAUUAUUCCAUAAUAAGUGCAAAUGAAUCUAGAAAGUAGGGUUUUAUUCUUCGGUUUCAGGUUUGGAGCAAAAUUAGGGUUUUCGCGAUUUUCCGCCGGAUGAAUUUUCGGUACGGAGCAAGGACCAAAUUGGGUGAUUAAAAGUGACUUUUAAGUGAGAAAUAAUAUGUGAGUAGUAGCAAUGAUAUAAGGUUAGUAAAUGGGAAGUAAAAACCCUAGUACGUGAGUUUUUAAGAAAAACGGCGCGAACCGGCGGGUCCCGCGCCCUACCGAUUGAACGCACCACUUGACCACCAUUUUUGUUUACCAAACAAAUUUAUUGAACUUGAGCAAAAUAUCUUCCCCCUCUUAGCUCUCCUAUUGGCCGAAAUUUAAGGCAAAGAAAAAGCAAGGAAAGAGAAAAUUUGUGUGGUUGAAAUUAAACCAAGUGUUAGGCCAACUUGUGGCUACAAUUAGUCCUAAUCCUCUUGUCUUAAUAACACCAUAUUAGCAGCCUUUCUUCCUCAUUUCUGCACCUUCACAGCCGAGCAAGAGAGAGAGAAAAGGGAGAGCAAGAAACAACCAUUUUCUUCUUGAUUUACACCAUCCAAGUGAGAAACAAAAAUUCUAAACCGAUUAAAGUGAGGGUUGUGAGUUGGGAAGCUUGAGGAACUAAGAAAUUUCAAAGGGGGUGAAGUAUAUCUCUUCCAAGCCUUGUCUUUGAGGUAAAAGUCUGAUCAUGACCCUUGUUCCUUUAAAUUUUGGGUUUAAGAUGUUAUUUAGGUCAUGUUGUAGCUUGAUUACAAGAUAAACAAGAUGUUGUGAUGAUUCUUGGAGGUUUCCCCUUUUUAUAUGAUGAACUAGGGCUUGAGGAAUUUCUGCCCAAUUUGAUGUAUAAUACUUAUAUGUUGCAAUUGAGGUUGUAUAAGGUGUUUUGGUAGUGAUUGGACCAAGAAAUUAAGGAAAGUUGCAUUAGAAACUCAAAAUUUCAGAAUCUGGAAUUUUUUGCUCAACAUUCUGUCCGAAUUUGUAUCUGUAUGAUAGAGGCCGAAUUGGCCUUAGGUCAAAGAAGAAAAGUUGUAUAUAAUGGCAUUUUAUAGGUGCCUACAAAAUUUCAGCUCAAUCGGAGCAACGUAGGAUGUGAAAAGUCCAAAUUACCCUUACUGUUUUAAGUAUUUCCUAAGCAGUCCGUGUGAUCAGUUAAGUCCAGUUUAUCACGUUUUUUGACUAGGAUCCCUUCUGAUUUAGCUUUUUGCCAAAACAUGAAAGUUGUAUUAUUCUGAAUUGGCUUUAAAAUGCAUCUAAGAACACCUAAUUCGGACUUGUGUACACUGAGUUAUGUUCAUUACAGUGUUCUGCAUUUAAACAGCCGAUGAAUUGGUUUCUGGUUUAGUAAUUCGAGAAUUUGACUACGUUACAUUAGGAACUGGACUAAGUGACCUUCAUGAAUAUUGUAUCUCUGUGUCUUAGCUUCGAAACGGCAUAGGUUUCGUUUUAAUCCGAUAAGCGUAGCCUCGGAUAUGUUAUUUCCGCAUUUGUACGUCAAAUCUGUUUUGAACUAAAUUGAAUUUCUGCACUUGUACUUAAUACGAUUCUUGUUAUUAUGAUAUUGUGAGCCUAUGGAACGGCUCUUGACAUGAAUUGCUGAUAUGUAUAAUGUUAGGCUGUGUUUGAGAAAAACAAUGAAGCCUAAAAGGCUGGAAAAUUAGGUAAACACAAAGGGCAUGCUGCCCGAAUUUUUACUCGAGGACUAGAAAACUAUAUUAGCGACUUGAGUGAAGGUUAAGUACUUAUUACUUGAACUAGCGAGAACCUUGGCCACUAUGUUUCUUGAGUGUUAUACGUUAGGACUUGGGCGAACUUGUACCCUUGAGAAAUGAAAUAAUGAUUGCUCGAAGUAUGUUUUCCUUGUACUUUCAACUCGCAAGACAAUUUCAAGUAUAAAUAUUACAAAGUUUUACUGUUUAAAAAGGCGAGCAAGUGUUUCACGACUACUGUCCGAGUGAAUUUCAAUUUAUUGAUUCUUAUUGAACGAAACGUCUAAGUUUCGAACUCUAGUCAUGUUUCAAAGUUCUCAAAUUGAGUUUUAUCGCAGAUUUGGACUCCGAACUCGGAGUAUAACCUGAAAGUGACCAGUAAAAGCACUAUAUCUUUUGGUGAGUGCUUUCAAAUACUGAAUUGAACUUGAUACUUGUACUUGAUACGUGCCAAUAUGAUUACAUGCCACAUGCGUGAAUUGUUAGGGCAAGAGUGUACUUUAUCGCGCUUGCCCUUGCAUGAUAUAUACUUGUUUAUUGUUGCAAUUGACUUGACAUACUUGUUAUGAUGCGCGCACUUCCUGGAAUUCCAGAAACCCUGUGGCAAGUUACUCUAGUCGAGCCGGCAGGGGCAUGGUCGGUUGGGUAACAAGCCCUGGGUCUCUUGCUUUGUCGAGUGGAGUGAUAUCUCCUCGACUAAUUGGUAUACUCGAGUAUUACCACCCGUGUUUAUUGAGGAUUUUGGGCCCAGUAGGGGGUGUGAAUGGUGGACGGAGAGUAGUGUAAGUGGUGUUCUACUGGAUUGGCUCCUUUACUUGAAAGUUGAUGGAGUGUCAACUACUAUGUGAUCAAGCCCUGAUGAUGAAUGGAAGUUGGCUCCUGAGAGCCAUCCGUAUCCUUAUGCUUUGGAAUGAUUAUUGUUUAUUGGAUUAUUGUUUCUUCUGAAAACUUUUACACUCGCUCAUUUUGAGAUUGCUCACUUUUAUGAACUCUUCAUGCUCGUUACUUUGCUAUAUCGAAAACUAGUACUUAUAAAUAAUGGUCAAUUUGCUAUUUGGAACCUCACUGGGCUUUAGCUCACACCACGCUAUUUGUUUUCCUUACAGGGGGUACGAGUGACGCGUGAGACUUGUAAAAGACUAGCGUAGCCUUUUGUUUUGACUUUUGACUUUUGGUCUUGUACUCGUGCUAUUCCUUGAAUGGAACAUGUUGUACUUGGAUUGUAUACGUUUUGAACUAGUUUGGUGUAUUAAGGCUUUGCACCUCGAUUUCUAUCAAUGUAAAUUAUAAGCUUGAAUUGCGGAUAUUUUUUAUGGUUCAUGGAUGUGUGUACAUGACUCGAUCGAGAUAGUGAGUGAGUCCUGGCGAGAGCUGGGCAGGCGGUCCGCCGAACCCUUUGGUACGCCUUAGGGGGAGGUGGGGUCGUCACAGUUAACCCCAUUUGAGUUAGUUAAUUUGCGAUUCUAGUUGAGUUAGAGUUUUAGGAAGUAGUUAAUUGCUUCCAAAUUUGUUUAGAAAAUUGUGUCAAGUUUAGAAGCCAAGUCAAAUAAGGAAACUUGUAUUGUUUCCAACUUAGAUUAGGUUUUUGAGUUGUGUAAGGCUAUAAAUAGCCAAGGUUAUGAUAUUUUCAAUAGUAAGACAAUUAUGAAUAAAAUGUGAGAGUUUUCUCUUUCUUGUUCCUUUGGGAACGUCCCUUGAUACAAAAUGAGUCAAAUCUCUUUUGUUCAAGUUUCGGCUUAUCAAUUCAAGAUCAUGUUGAAUUGUGGCGCCAUUCUACCGUUCUAAACAAUCUCGAGCUGUCCUUGAUUGGUUUAGAAUCCGUCUUUUGUACCCAUAACCUGAUCAAGAUAGAUCCUUCCGCUGCUUGAUCGAUUCGAUUUCUUCUCGAGUGCUCCUUGAAGAAUCGAGUUUGCAUCAAUUAAGGAUGAUCAAUAGGGGACUAAGAAGAGUUAAUUGAGAGAUUAGAUGUGAUAAAGUUAAAUAAAGUUUUUAUUACGCGUACGUCGAUAAUUUCUCGAAAGUCGUACCGCAUGACAAAUUGGAGACUUGAGAAAUUAAUACUAGACUCGUAUGAGGACUCACAAAUUUACUUAUUUUAAAUUCCUAUUAAUAGCUUAUUUAAAUAUUUAAUUGUCCGUUUGCUCUGAAUAUUAUAUUCCAACCUUUUUAGACCCAAUUACAUGGAACUAUGGCUUACAUGUAUUUUUAAAAUGACUUGUUACCAAAUUUAAUUUAUAAAAGCUCAUUUAGUGAGAAUAGUGAAAGCGUGUUCGGAGAUAAUAAUCGAUUUGAGGGUACAAUGAGUUUGAAAAUUGAAGAUUUAAACAUUAGUUCUAAAAUAGGUAUUUUUAUGAUUAAGUACCCAAGUACUAGAUAGUUAUACCAUCAUUAUAAGAAUCCCUUAGAAAUUUUGCUUUAUCGCGUACAAAUCGGAAGUACGCGUUUUCGCACGCGCAAUUAUUUUAGGGAUAUUAGACUCUUAUUUUUAGACUAUUAAGAGUGAAUAAUAAUAGUAUGAAUGGAAGUGCAUUAAAGGUUUAGGGCACAAGUGAAACAAAUUCGAGAGGAAACGAGCACGAAACGCGCGUGCGCGCGCGUCCAUUUAUUUUUUUUAGUUAACUUGGAGUAAUUUUGGGCCACAACUCCUAAGCUUCCUUUAGAAGCUAACUACAUCAGAUUUCACUCCCUCUCACACCCUCAAGUAGCCGAACAACAAGGAGGAAGAAGACCCAAAAUUUUCUUCAUCUCAUCUCACUCAAACUUACACCAAAUCAUCUCAAAUUUCUACCACACAUUCAAAAUCACUUGGAGAUCAUCUUGGGCUAGGAGAAGAGCUUCAUUUCCAUGGUUUUCUUCAGCUUCAAAGGACCGAAAAUCUCUGGUCUUAACAUCUAAGGAGGUAUAUGAUCAUCCACUCUUCAAAUCUUAGUUUAUGUAAGUUAUAUUGCACUUAAAAGCUUGUAGCUUCAUGUGGGUAGCUUUGGAUUGUUGGAAAUCUUGUGAGUGGGUUCUAUGAAAUCCCACAAUGGAUUUGAUGAUCUGAUUUGAUGAGAUUGGAUGUUAAUUGUGUUGAUUAAGUGUUAAUCUAGUAGAGCUAAGUGGUAAAAGUGAAAAGGAAAUCAAAGGAAGUGUUGCAUGUUGAAGGGCCGAAUCUGCCCUGUCUUUGCCAAGCUCCUUGGUGCAAUUUUUUGUGGUUAAAUUGACUUGAUUUUGAUGUAGAUAUGUUGUAUAGGUUGUGUGGAAAGUUUUCACCAAAAAUUACUUGAUUUGGUUGGGUAAAUGUUUAAAUUUCGAAAUGGUUUCAUGGCUGGAAAACUGUCCAGAGUUGCUCUGGCAGCGAUUUUGAAUCGACUAUAACUCUUUGCUCCAACGUCAAAAUUGAGUGCCAUUUGUGGCAUUAGAAACUCGACAUUUCCAGUUUUCCAACAGUAAAAAUUCAUCCCCUGAUUCCACUCGAGUGAACUGUACCAGCCUUUUUAAAGUCACCUGCCCUGUUUCUCGGCUGUGUUAGAAAGCCUAUUACGUGCUAGAACUUGUUGCUUGAAUUUGAGCUAGUUAUUGACAGAAUUUCAGAAUGAUUUCUUCUGAGAAAUUAUAGCCCUAUAAAUGUAGUUUCCAACACCACCAACCACACCCAAUUCCAAGUUGAAUUGAGUGAGUUGUGGCCGAAUUUCAGAACUGCAUUAGUGAUUGAAAACCCUAAUUUUGGGCUAGCCAAUUGCUCAUUUUGAAUUGAGACUUGUUAUUUUGAAACCCUUGGUGUUAAUCACCUAUCAAACACAUUUUGGAUGUUUCUUAGACAUUGUCUUCACAAAUGAACCAUGUUUGAGAUGUGGUCGUUGGCCAAAUAUUUGAGAAAGGAAAAUUGAAGUACAAGGCAUAUUUGCCUUAGAAAUUCUUGAAACUUUAGCGGCUUUGUUAACUGACUUCCCGUAUGAAUUUUUGUACAAAAUUUGACAGAGGAAUAGCCCUUAUACGGUAGUGUAAUACUACCAAAUUUUGUACCAUUCCGAGUCCAUUUCGAUGCCCAACUUAAAGGAAAUUGAGUUUUCGAACUCUCUAUUUUCCUUCGAUAUCGCUGGAUCAUUUUAUACUUGAUUUUAAAGAUGAAAAUCAGAUUUCCUUGUAUUACUAAAACCCCACUUUUGAGCCUCGAUUCACGCGUAAUUAAGGCUCAUUUUCGCGAUACCUUCUUAGAUUGUACACUUGUGCAAUCUUCUUCGAUAAUUAGGGGUUUUAAGUGAUAGUGUGUAAUAGUUUAUUAUUAAUUGCUCAAGCAUUCAAGAGGACCUUCAAGAGAAUCCCACGGUAGACGCCUGAACCCUCGGGUGGACAUUGCUCACUUGUUUCUUUUGUGAUUGAUGAGUGUCAAGUGUGUGAAAUACGUGAUACAUGUUAAAUGCUAUUGAUAUCGAAUAUUUUGAAAAUGCUGAGUCGAGUGUAUACUUUAUCGCACUCGUUCUCAUUGAAGUGAUGUGUACUUGAAUUACUUGACAUGAAAUGCUUGAAUUGGUUGAAAUGACUUGUUAAGUUAAUUAAGUGAAGUGUUUGAGUGAUUAUUUAUGCUAUGACUGCAUAAGUCGUUGGAGUGAAUCUCCUCGACUCAUAAAUGUUAAGUAGGGGACGCCCAACUCUCACUGGCCAACUUUGGACUCGAGCCGACAUGGGCUUGGUCGGGCUCCCUGGUGAACCAUGAGAAAAUGUAAGCUCGACCUAGUGAGAGAUCUUGCGUGGCAUACUCGAGUAGUAUCACCUCAAACAAAUGACAGGCGGGCCCGGUGCAAGGGUAUGUAAUAGUAAACGGGGACAUGAUAAGUGAGAUUCUACGAAUUAUAACCUACCCGAUUGAUGGAGUGUCAACUCGUGGAGGUUCUUGAUCGUGCAAGUGGAAAAUAGCUCCUGAAAGCUCCUAUAUCCUUGAAUUGUUCAUGUUUAUCUUUUCUUGCUCGAAUUGUCAUUUACUCGAAUAUUAUUGCUUUACUCGUUAAUUGGGAAUGUUACUUAGACAACGUGAUUGCAUGUGUGUUCUUGUCCUCACGAGCAAUCACUCACCUCGUAGAUUUGUUUUCCUUAACAGGAAUGGACAGAGUGAAACUUGGUGGAACCCUUUGGAUGUACUUUUGUAUUAGGGUUUCAAAUGUAAUUGACUAGACUUUUGGCUGUUGUAUAUUUUGGGAAUUGAUGUAUCUUUUAGGGAUCCUGAUAUAAGGAUUGGGUAACUUAUGUAUCGUGAACUUGUGGUGUAAGAAAGGAUAAUAUUUAUAGAAGUUUUCCGCACUUCUAUACUUUGUCUUGUCGUUUUAGAAACUAUUGUAUUAAGUUUGAACGGGACUUGUAUCGAGUCCUGGUAAGAGUUGGGCAGGCAUCUCGCGGAUACCUUUUGGUUCGCCUUAGGGAGAAGUGGGGGCGUCACAACGAAGUUUUCGGGGGAUCGAUUUGUCGAAUCUGAAAAAAUUCCGGCUAAAAUGGUCGGAAUCUCAACGGAAUUUAUUUCCAAGGAGAUUUAAGGUCGAAUCUUGACAUAAACAUGCUCCCCACAUUCCCAUGAGUUAAUUUAAACAUCAAACAAACCCAUUAAAUAUCAUAAAUCAUGAUAAAAAUGAGAUCUAAGAUGCAAGCUUUUGAAAACUCAUGAAAUGGCUUAAAAUUACAUGCAAAACAUAAAUCAACCAAGGAAGGAAUCUAUGGUUACCUAAGGAUGUUGUUGAACUCGAGUAGAUGCAGGAAAUUGCUAGAAACUGCGCGCAAAUUCUGGAAACGAAGCAAAAAACUUCCUGUUGCAGAAGUUCAAGAGCUGAUGAACUGGCAAAUUCAGGCUUAAAUUAGAGGGGUUUGGAGACAUUUUUCUAGGAAAUUUUCAAAACAAGAGUUUCUCUCCAAGCGUAGAUGAUGCAGAAACAAAUAUCUUGCCAAUCGGAGUUCAGCUGAAGUCGAAAAAUGUUGACAAAUAGGGCUAUCCAAUCAGCCCUGGCUCAAUUUUCUACAGGAAAUUUUUCAUAGAGGUGAGUUUGGGCUUUGAUUUGAGGAAUUUAUGAUGGUUAUCAGAGAAACUUUUCAACAUGAAAGUUAUUACCCUAGGUCUUAUGAAUACUUAGGAAGAAGAAUCACCACCUAAAAAUAACCUAUAUCGAAAGAGAAAAUUGUGUCUGAACCAAGCUGGUUCAUCAAUCCUUUUUCCAAAAAAUCUUUGAAGAAAACUCUCUCUCUCUCUCCGUUUCUCCUUUUUAUGGUUUUUUGUUUCCUUUUCACCAUCUUCCACACUCUCUUGACCCUAAAAACUCUCUCUUAGCCUUUUAAAUGAAACAAAACCAAUUGAAACCCUAAGAACAAAGGCUUGGGUGAAGCCAAGUUUUUUUGGGUUUAGGUGGCUAUUUCUUGUUCAUUUGAUGUUUUGACAGCUGUUGUUUCAUGGAUUUGUGGUGGUGAGGUGUCCCAAGUACUUGCUAAACUUGGAGGGGGAAAAAUGGAUCCAAAUUGCCAAAGAAACCCAGCUGGCUUUUCUGGUUUCCUGUACUAUUUUCUGGUUUCAUUCAUGAAGCUGAAAUUUAAAAAAAAAAAAAAAAGAAAUGGAAAUGGGCCAGUGGGCCACUUUUCCUUCUCUCCUUUCCAGACUUUUGGUUGGAUUUGCCUUGGGCUUUUGGGGUUUUUGCUUGGACUUUGUUUUGGUUUUGGCUUGGGUUUUGUGAAGUUUUUUUGGGGGGAUUUUGAUUGGAUUUUGGGAGGAAUUUUUGGUUGGGUUUUAAACAAAAGAAAAUCUCUACUUUUUCUUUCAAUUUUGAAAUUCAAUUUUCUUUUCUCUUUUUUCCUAUAAAAUAACACAAAAAAUAAAAAAUAAAAAAAUGAUUACUCAAACAAUAAAAAUACAAAUAAAGAUAUGCAAAAAUUAUUGUUAUUAUUAUUUUUGUGAAGAAUUUGAAAAAAUUUGGUGUCUACUAUCACCUCAAAAGUUAUAUGGAUUUUCAAGAUUCAGGCUUUUGGGUUUCGGACUCAUAUUAAAAAGGCUUAAUCUCAACUCACACUAUUAUACGAGUUUUGGGCUCAAAUCAAGUUUGGGCCAAACUCAUAAUUAAAUACAUAAUUAUAUAUAAUAUAUUUUUUAUAAUUAUGAAUUAAUACAAAUUUACAAAUAAAUUAUUAACAUUUUAUGUCGUAAUAUGUACUAGUACUCAGGACACACACUAAUGUGUGUGCAACUAAUAGAAAAAAAUAUUUGUGAAAUAUUCCGAAUAUAUUUAUUAAAAUCAUUUUCAAGAAAAUUGGUUUUGUAUUUUGACAAUACAUAUGUAAAAAAAUUCACCAAAAUAAAAGUUAAAAAAAAUAGUUAUUUGGUAGUUAUUCAAAACCAUAAUUGGUAGUUGCUAAUUAAAAUUAAGAUUUACUAAAUAAGUUGAAAAAUAGAAUAUGAAAAAAUACAUAUUACUUGGCAAAAAAUCAUAUUGGUAAUGGGUAGUUAUCAAAGAUAGAUAAAUUCCUGUUUAUACCAAAAGUUCCCUCUUCAUCAAGAGUAUAUUUAGGAAUUAUGAAGUGAUAAAUUUUUGUUUAUCCCAAACCCCCGUAUUUCCCUUUAUAUAUAGUAUAGAGAAUUAUAAAUUAUAGAUAUUAUUAUAUCUAUUUUACAUAUAUAAUUGUACUCAUAUAUGGGUCAGGUUUUAACCGACCUGAAUCAAGUAUGACUUAAAUUCGGCUUUGUGACGACCCCACCUCCCUCUAGGGUGAACCCAAGGGUUUGACGGACCGUCUAUUCAACUCUCGCCAGGACUCAUGCACUCACUCAAAUCAAUUCACGAUUUUCAAGCCAAACAAUUUCUUAAAACCAAGAAAGUACUUGAAUAACAACAGCCACAAUCCUUAAGCAACAGCAUUAACUAUUACAACCAUAAUAUUUCAAAUUCAAAUGAAAUCUACACUUCCAAAUGUCCAAAAGACACUCAGGGAAUUGUAGACACCAAAUUUUUGGUUUCGAAUUUUGCUUGUUUAAUUAGUUUAAUUUUAGAUUUGUUGUUUCAAUUUUAGAUUUGUCUUAGGGGUUUCCUGUUUCAUGUCUCUUAUUUUAAUUAGUUUAUGGACAUUUAUUUCAUUUAUGGAUUCAAAAAGAAAAAAUCAUGAAAAAGAAGGGAAAAAGGAAAAAAAAAUAGAAAUUUUGUUUUAUUUGGCUUUAUUUAUCUAUUUUAGUCAUUUCUGCUUAAUUUAUCUUUUAUUUUUGUUUGGUUCAUUUAGAAAAAAAGAAAAAAGAUGGAAAAAUUGAAAAAUGAAAAAAAUGGAAAAAAAGAAGAAAAAGAGGAAAAUCUUAGUUAUUUUUUAUUAUUUAUUUUAUUUUUAUUUUUUAUCUUUCGGUUGCUAAUUUUGUACAUUUUAUUUAAAUUUAAGUUUGUUUGAAUUAUUAUUGUUUUUAUUGUUAUUUAAUUAAUCUUCAAAAAAAAAAAAGAGGAAACGCGGCAUGCAAGCUGCGUUUUUACGCAGCUUGCAAACAAAGGCUCGGGAGCCCCUUAGGCUGCAAAUAUAGGAGAAAGGACUGAGUUUUAGGGUUGGAGGUUCCGAUAAAUAGAAAAGGGGAUGGAGAGCCGCAAAGGGGAGAGAGGAUUAAAAGAUUGACGGUUGAAAAUCUAAAAAGGGAAGAGGUUGAAUGACGGCUGGGUUGAGAAAGGGAAAAAGAGAGCUACGGGCGGAGAAUCUGGGGCUGAUGGCUAAACAAAAUGGUCUGGGGUUUAGCUGAAAGAAAAUCUGGAAGGAAGAGCAAAAGAGAUGGGGGGUUCGGUAACGGAGAAAAAGAAAAAACAGAAGGAGAAGGCAGCGGCAGUGAGGAGGUCUGAGUGACAACGGCAGAGAUGAUCGACUAGAAAAUAAAAAGGAAGGAACGGGAAGAGUGAAGAAAAUCUGGGGAAACAAAAGGGGAAAGAAAGAAACGAAGGGAAACAGAACUUCUGCAAAAACAACUUCUUUUGGAACCAAGCUGGAUUUGCGUCACCUUGGGAUGCGAUUUUCUCCAUCGAAGAGAUCUCUUCUGGGAUGCCUUAAUUGAUCUGGAUAAUCCACGGUGUUUGGGGGAAUCUUUGUGUUACAAGUUUUUGGAAAAAGCCAUUGGAGCGCUAUUGAAUCGAAGCCUGACCCUGCUGCAGUCGCAGCUCUUGCAUCAUCUGCGCCGAGCGUUUCUGCUUAUAGCUGCGGUGCGUGGGUUCCUCUCCCUUCAAGUUUACAACAUCAUCUCGACUUCCUAUAGCAUUUAAGGUGAUGUAGUUCGCUUUACUCUUCCCACUGAAGUUUAAAUCUUGGUAGAACUUGUUUGAAUCUAGCCUGCGUUAUUCUCUUCUUUUGCUGUACUUUUCCUGCUUAUCUUAUGCGAUGAUAGCUCAGGUUUUAUGGCACAAAUUUGAUAUUAAAUGUACCAAGAUUGAAUCUUGAUGUUUGGGGCUCCUUAAUCUUGUUGUUUUGGUCUGAAAGCCUGAAGUUUGGCUUGUAUCUUGUUACCUGGGUUCGAUACAAAUAGCAACAAAAUUGCAGCAGGAGCCUGCCAAGCCAUAGAAAAAUUAGGAAAAGAAAGUUGCAUGUUCCGUUUUCUUCCUUUGCUUGCUCAGAUGUUGAGGUUGUGUGUUUGGAUGCAUAUAUUUCGUGUUUUUCUUUUUAUAUCAGUUUGUUUUACGCUUAAGCUUGCGCAUGAAAUCUGUUGCAACAAGCUAAGCUCGAAGUUCACAGUUUGUUGCAGCUAGUUUUGUUGCUAAAGGUUGUUUGCUUGAAUGUCGAAUUUCAGUGGUCUUGAUGUUUGAGAUCAUAGCUUUGCUGUUUGGUUGAGAGUUUGGCUGUGUUUAGAUGAGAAAAUCAUAUCGGAUGAACACCACAAGUGUAGCUAACCGUAGCUAGGAAAAUUGCACAGCUUUGUUAUUUGAUGCUUGCAUGAUCUUUUGAAUGAAUUUCUGGGUUUUAAACACAAAGAUUUCAUGAUGAGAAGUGAGAUGAAUGCUUAGUAAUUGUGUUGUAUUAGUUGCUUGAGAUAUCAAAAUGUUGGUUGUUUGAGGUAAUGAAAUGGAAAGGAGGCUACGGUAAAAAUUGCAGUAGAAAGAAACCAGCAAAAUUGCAGAAGGUUUCAUCGUAAGCUUUGCAUGGAAAUGUUCUCAAAACUGCAUUUCAGCCCCCCAAGUUCCCGAAAACUCUGUUAUGGCCUAGAAACUUUGGAAAUCAAUCAAUUUGGUCCUUGGCAGCUUUAGUUUUUGCAAUUUCAUUGUUUGUUUUGCUUCAAUUAACUACCAUGCUUUGUCAAUUGCACUUAAGUCAUGACUUUAGAGGCUUUACGAUUAAGUGAGCUUUGUAUUUGCGCAUUUCUUUAAAUUUUCCCCAAUAAAUUGGUACCUUGACCAUUUCUUUUAUUUUGGAGGAUAAAUAAGUGAUUUCACUCCAUUUAAGGCAUCAACUCAAGGGAGGUAUAAUUUCUUUUAUCUUUUUUGUCUCUCCUAUGUGAUCCAACGUGCUACGUGAAAAUUGCAUGUCUACUUGCUUCCCUUGUUUUUCUUUAAUUCCUUUCAUUUACUUCAUUUACUUUUGCUUUUUUAUUUAAGUUAUCCUUUAUGGGGUAUGUGUACACCUCUUGGCUUGUAAUAGUUAGGGAUUUAAUUAUUUUAUUCCUUUUCCCCCUUUUAGAUUGUAGUAGGGUCUCCCUAAUGUAAUAGAUAAGGCUUGGAGGAGCAUUCAAUGAAGACCUAUCGAAGUCAUGUGCCUAGCUAGCAAAUGUAAUAGUUAGGGCUUUAAUUGUCUUAUGUGUCUUGCAUGCUUAGUUACUACGUGUUAAUUUGCUUUGUUAGGGCCUUGCAUCUAGUCGAGAAUGCUAAAUGUUAUGUGCUAUGUGUUUAUAAGUGUUUGGCAUGUCUACUCGCUUUCCAUAGCCUGAAUGAAUGUGAUGGAUGAAUGUACGUUUCCACUAGUCCAACGCUAGUCGGAAUUCAUAGAAUGGGCUAGUCCAACGCUAGACCCUUAGGGAUUUCCCCUCGUUAGUACAUGUUUGCAUGUUCAUUACAUGUCAUGCAUUUUUUUUAGUUUUAUCAUUUUGCAUGCCCCUCGAAACCCUUUUCCCUCCAUUUUAGGGCUUUUGCAUCUCAUGCUAGUUAUAGGGUUCAUUUGCUUGAGAGUCCCCUUAAAUAUGGGAUAUAGACGAGUGUGGCUUUUUCUAAGCCUUAGCACGCUUGUAUUCCCUCUAUAAAAGGGCAAAUUGAGUCACGAUUUAGGUCUCCCCGUACCCAAUAUGCAUGAAUUCCCUAGGCUCAUGCAUUUUUAAAUCCACUCUACCAUUUUCUACCCUCAUCACACUUUCAUUUUUUCCUCCCAUUUUGCACACGUGCACCUUUAUGUUUCUUCACUUGCACACGAAACACUUUUAUCAUCACUUGCACACAUGCACUUCAUAUUAUCCUUUCACAUACCGUACCUUGCUCACUCACGUGCACAUUUUCACUUACAUAUUAUUGUCUUUUAUUACCUUUUUUCAAACUCAUGUCCUCACAUUGCAUACAUGCAUUCCAUUCAUUUGCAUCCCACUCGCAUUAUUCGUGACUUCUUCAAAGGAUCGUUAUUGGGCUCCACAAUUAAUGUGAUUGGCACCACUCAACCUUUGAAGAGAAAUUUCCCCCAAUACCCCUAGGUCUAGGGUUUGCAUUCAUGUAGUGCAUCCAAAUGUAAUAAAUUCUUUGGUUAAAACAAGAAAAUUUUUGAUUAAAUCAUGCAACUAGCCUUGGCUAGGUCAAAGGGGUGCCUUGGAUUUUAUCCUUGCCUUUCCCUUUGUCAAAUGUGACUCCCGAACCUUUUUCUUUGGUUUACGUGGACUAGGAGUCGUUUAAAAGGGGUUUCUUACUACUUUUUUCCUAUUUUUUUCUUUAAAAAUUCAUUUUUAGGUGACUUGGUACACCUUAAGUCAUUACCAAGUGGCGACUCCGAUUUUUUUAUUUCAAAAACCCUUUUUAAACUAUAAUUUUGGGUCAAAUCGUCGCAUUCUCAAACCCCCAUUUAGACCCAUUUUUCUUUUUAAAUCACAAUUCAUUUUUUCAAUCACAAAUUGAAUCAAAAAAUACAUUUUUAAAACCAUUUAUUUAUUUAUUCAAAAAUGGGGCGCGACAGGAAUCACACUAACUCUAGACAAAAGUUGGCUAGUCUAGUGCCUCCAAUUCUUCACUUCAAAUUCCUGUUAAGGAAUAACAACUUAAAGGGAUGAGCGAACGCUCAAUGAGGCCAAGAAAUCAAGCAAGCAAGUAGGGCAAGUACCAUAAUUCAACUCAAGUAGCACAUAGAUAGAAUAACAACAAUGGUUUCACAUAAAGCCACAAAAGGACUAAAACACGUUCAUUAAGAGGAUACAAGAGCUCUCAGAAACCAAUUUUCCGUUGCAGUAGCUUGAUCCAAACCCAUUGACACUCCGUUAACGUUUAAAGAAGUAAAAACAAUAACCAUAGAUAUCUAAUUUACACCAAUUUCCGUCCACGAAACAUACCCUUUAUCGGGGCUGAACACCAAAUAAAAACAGUGGUGGUAGUACUCGAGUUUACCCAAGCAAGAACAAGUAUGGUCGAAGAGAGAACACUCCAAUCGACUUAAUCAAGAUAGAGGCACUGAGACGGGAUAAGAGGUACCUCCCACUCGGAUUGAGUGUUCUACAUGCUGCCGCUCAGCGCUGGGUCGACGAGAUAACUCUCCAAUCGAGUUAAUCAGGAUAAAAGUACUGAGACGGAAUGAGAGGCACCUCCCACUCGAAUUGAGUGUGGUACAUGCUACCACUUAGCACUUACAAGUCAAGCGCAAGCACAAACAUAAAUUCAGGUCAAUCAAGCUCAAACAAUUACAAGAUCAUUCAAGAAAGGGAGGACGAGUGUGAUAAAGUACACUCUCGCCUCAUCAAAUUCAGUAUUCAACACAUAACACGUGGCAACAUGUAUCAUUCAAAUCAAGAUAUCAAAAAACAUGCACUUGACACUCACCAUGUAAAGCAAAGCUUAAACGUCUGCCUCGGGUGCAAAUCGUGUGUUUACUUCCAAGUCCUAGAACCAAGUAAUUAGAGUACAAUGAGAUUCACUACUCCAAACCACCAUUUAAUCAAAACUACUCCAAGUCCCAACUUAGAAGUCCCAAGAUGUUCCUCAAGAUUUCCAUAUUUUUACGUCCCUAAAAGUCUUCCAAAACACAUGUUUUCAAGCUCAAUUCAAAGGGAAAAUCCAUGUACAUGUUAGGUCAAUGGUUCAGGUAUAAUAUGGAGUGAAAAAUGUUAAAUUGAACCAAGAAAAGUGAAGGAAAGAGUGCAAAGGAGAAGAAUCAAAGUGACAGCAUUGACACCUCUCGGCAUUUUGAUCAUAAUUGGAGGUACACUUAUCGGAUUGAGAUGCAUUUUAUGGCGUUUCGAAACUAAAACAUAGAUCCAUAUUUUUUAUGAAGACAUUGAAAUUCUUUUUGUGAGGACCCCGGAAAUUGUAUUUAUUUUAUCAUAUUUCUGUGAGCACAUUUUCUUUACUUUACUUUAUUACCUUAAUUUCCUAGAUAUUUUUAUAAAUAAGUCAAGUUUUAACUCAUUUUCUUGAUAUAAGUUAGUAAAUGUUAAGUGUAAGAACCCUCACUUAAAAAUAUAAAUUCUCCUAAAUCACUUGCAUUUCCCUAAGACUAAAUCACUUAUGACAUUUCCUUGCAUUGCAUUUCAUUACCUUUUACUUGAAUUGUAACAUUUCCUUGAGUUGCCAUUAUUUUAUUUCACCACAUGCAUUAUGACCAAAUAUCCCUUUUAUUAUGCGUAAGACUUUAUCUAAUGGUUUAAGGGUGUUAAUUAAGUAUUGGAACAUUUGGAGGGUAGAAACUUGAUUAGUAAAGAUUAAAGGAAGAAAUGGCCAUGAUUGAGACAAGUGGCCAAACCCUAACCAUUCAACUUUUGACCAAAGGAAUUAGAGCAAAUUUAAACCAUUCUUGGCUCCAUUUUCUCCUCUUAUGGCAGACCACUUUGAAGCUUCCAAGGGAAGAGAGAAAACUCCAUUUUCUUGCUUAUAAACUCUAGCUUGAUCCUUGAGCAAAAAUCAAAAGUGAAGAAACCUAGCUUAGUUGAGUUAACUACCUUCAAGCCUAGUGUGUGUUUCAAGCUUGGAGUUUUUGUUUUGGUGGCUUUUGGGUGAUUCAAGCUUCACUUAAGAAAGGUAAAUGAUUUUUGAAUCUUAGCUUUAUAGUGUUAUAUCAAGUGUUUAAAGUUUUAAUGGCAAACUAAGAGUUGAAUGGAUGAUAUUUGUGGUGAAACUUCUUGAACUAAACAAGUGGAAGUAGGGUUAGUUGUUUUGCAUACCAUGUGUUUGAUAUUUUGUCCAAGCAUUGUGGUUUUACUUGAUGUAUUAACAUGUUUUGGACCCCUUUUGAGCUAAGGACAACUCUUGGAAUGAUGCUUAAGUUAACUAUAAUGAAAGAAUGGAAGUUGGUGAUACAAGUGAACUAGUGGACUGUUUUGCUUUCUCUUGGCUGACCAGUUUUGGAGGGGAGGUUUCUCCUUGAUUUUUUUGGUUCAUUUGAACCUUAAUUAAGCCUAAGAAACUUGGCUAAACAUUGGUUUAAGGUUUGGUGUGAAUUGAUAUGGAAAUGAAGCAAGUAAAGUGGUUGUUUUAGGGCAAGUUAGUGGAUUGUUUUAGUUUUCUUUGUUGGCUAGACUGUUUUAGUUCUUUUAAUCAUGUUGUGCAUUGCAUUUUAAGCUUCAAUGGUGCUAGAUAACUUGAUCCCCUGUAUAUGAACUCUAGGAGGUUCAAUUGGAUAAAUCUGAACCAAAACAAGUGAAGUUAGGAAGAAGAAGUAGGGCAACUUUAUCAUAGUAUUGAGCUGAUCAGAACUGAAAAAUUAGCUGACUUCCCUGAAUCCCUGGUACUAAUAAGAGACGAUCUAAAGUUUGAAUUUUAUACCGUUGGAAAUUCUUUCGAGUCUAGUUUCCAAUGCCACUAACAGCAUAUGAUUUUGACAUUCCUACAAUGAGAUAUGGUCGUUUUCCCGAAACUGCGCGAGCGCGACUGUUUUACCCGCGAAGACUAGUUUGAACUUAAAUGAGAUUUUCCUUUUGCUCAACUUUCUUGCACUUGUUAAACUAUUUUUCUUAUGACCUUUUACUACAUUUUGGGCCUAACUUUGAUGGUAAAUUGAGUAAAUUUAACCACUCACUUGGUCACCUAAUGAACUCACAUUUGGGUUGGAAAUGAACCUAGAAUGUUAACGACUUUCACUCGUUGCCCUAGGAUUUAGGAAGCGGAGGUGAUAGUUAUAUGCUAUAUAUAUGCUUGAUUUAGUGAGUUGUUGGCAUGGUAUGUAUAUGCUUGAGUUGAGGCUGUUUUAUGGUAAGAAUGAAUCCUUGAAUUGGCUGGAAAAAAAAUUGGUAAACACAAAGGAAGUGCUGCUGAAAAUUUGUCCGCAAGAAACCUUGGGCAGUCUUAGGAAAUCUGUUAUAUCUUGGUGUAGAAAAUUCAAAAUUGAGUUCCGGUUGUUGUGUUUGAAACUAGAUUCAAAAUACCUUCUACCGUGCAAAUUUCACACUUUUCUCAAUUUCUAUGAAUAUCUGUGAUUUUUCAAAGUUGACUGAUUUGCCAUACCUGUUCUGUCUUUUGACUGGAUGAAGCAGCAACUUGAGGCUGGAAUUUGACUAACUUGUGGACUAAAUCUUACAAAUGUGUCUUCUAGGAAAUUGUAACCCUUUGAAUCCAUUUUCUGAUGGUAUAAAUUUUAUAAAUUUUGGACUUAAGAAACUUGAGAUAUGAUUUUUCAAAUAAUAUUGCGCAAAAACUAGAAAAUUCUGUUCUCUUAGAACCAUUUUUACUUUCAUUUCCCCCUUUAAGGUUGGAGUUGGUAAAUCAUUUUGGGUAUGGUUUAUGAGUGGAAUUGAGGUUUAAGUGAAAUGAAAUGAAUUCUGAGAAACUUUAAUUUCUUCAUGUAUUUUGGCUUUGUAUUGCUAGCCUUUUUAUAUAAUAUAUGACCACAGGACUCGAGAGAGUUCAAGAGGACGAACCAAGAUUAAAGUGAAGGGUGGCAAUUGAUUGGUGAGUAUUCCAAGUACAUGAAAAUAUUUACAUGGAAUGUUUCCUUGCUUGAAUAACAUGCUUACUUGGUUAAAGUAAUUGCUCUUGAAUUGAUAACAUUUGGGACGAGCUUGUACUUUAUCAUACUCGAUCAUUUGUAGUUCAUUUCGUGAUAUUGAUAUGAAAUGAAAUGUUUUGCUUGCACUUGACUUAUUGGUCACUAGAGUGGUUAUCCCACCGACUUACGUGUUACAUGCUCAUUGUUGUUAAACAAUGCUAGGUACUUGAUUUCUUGUCUCAUAGGCAAGUGUGUACUUUAUCGCACUUGACCUAACUCGAUUAAAUUUGUGAGAUUUUGUUAAAACAUGUGUUGUCGUUUUGUUACAACUGAAAAGUGGCCAGAAUCCUACCACUUUUUGGUCGAAUUUCUGGUCGGAUUGUCCGACGGAUUUGUGGUCGGAUUUGCUGAGAAAAUUUCUGAUUUCUACAAUCCUUAUCGCACUCGGCCUCCCCUUCUUGAAUGAUCUUGUACUCGCUUGCACUUGAUUGACCAGUACUUGUGUUUGUGCUAGUGCUUGACUUGUAAGUGCUGAGCGGUAGCAUGUACCAUACUCAAUCCGAGUGGGAGGUGCCUCUUAUCCCGUCUCAGUACUUUUAUCCUAAUUAAGUCGAUUUGAAAUUUAUCUCAUCGACACUAGUGCUGAGCGGUAGCAUGUACCACACUCCAUUCGAGUGGGAGGUGCCUCCCAUCCUGUCUCAGUACCUCUAUCCUAUUUUGUCGAGUGGAGUGUUAUCUCCUCGACUAAUUGAUAUACUCGAAUAUUACCACCACUGUUUAUUUCUGAAUACGGAGCAUUAAGUGACAACUAACGUCUCCAAGCUUUACUGUGUGAGCGUUGGAUAACAACCAACGACUCUAAUCUUGAUUAUCUGAAUACUUGGAGCUAUAAGUCAUAUCCUGAAUUACCGAAUAUAUAGGACUAUAAGUCCAACCUAAAGUUAGUUGGUUGAAUCGAGCCAGCAAGGGCUGGGUCGGGGAGAACGACGAACCUUGGGUACUUCUUUGGCGUUUGGGCCCGGUAAAGGGUAUGUUUGGUGGACAAAAAUUGGUGUAAAAUGGAGAUCUACGGACGGUAUACUUUCGUGGUUAACGGAGAGUCAACAGACCUUGAUUAAGCUACUGUGGAACUUGCUCUUGAGAGCAACCUAUAUCCUUUGCCAUGAAUGUGUUCCUUAAUGUAACCUUUGCCAUGUUUUAUCUGGUUACUUGCGUAAUUAUAUACUGAAUUAUAGUCUCAUUGAAGUUGACUUGUUUCUCGAUGUCUGGAUAUACUAUCUUGUCUCGUAUUUUACCUGCUUAGUGACUUGGAAUCUCACUGGGCUUUUAGUUCAUUCCACGCCAUUUGUUUUCCUUACAGGGAUGAGAACAUGAGAGGUUGAUUGAGGAAGGCCUCAUUUUCUUCUAAGUUUGUUAGUUGCUCAUGUGAGCACUGCAUAGGUGUCUAGCCAACUUGUUUGGUUUGAUUUUUUUUGCAAGUCCAACUCUCUAGCUGUAUUAUAGACUGGGUGGACAUUGGAGAUCCAUGUAUGUAUCUAUAAUGAUGGUUGUAAUUGAUAUCAUUUUAUUUUGAGGUUCUAUUUGUAAAUUUUCGUGAAUUGUGGCUGAGUUCUGGCGAGAGUUGGGCACGGUCCGCCAAAUCCUUGGGUACGCCCUAGGGGGAGAUGAGGCUGUCACACAUUUCAUGCAUUUUCGUGGUAAAAAAUAGCAAUCACAGAGGCACAAGAAAGUUGUCACUCAUAUCAGGGUAUUUGAGCAGUCUCGAAAAAAUGGUUAUAACUCAAUGUAGAAAAAUCGAAAUCGAAUGCCGUUGGUUGCAUUUGAAAAUAGACUCAAAGAGAUUUCCAACGGUAUAAAAUUUAGACUCUAAUUCAUUGUCAAUUAACUCCAAAAAAUCUGACAACUUGACUGAAAAUGCUCUCUGAGUUUCAGUCCAUUUUGCAACUUUCCAACAAGAAAACAAGAAAUUCAUAGUUUUGGUUCAAAUUCAACAUACAAGUAAAGAGUGAUGUGUUAACUAGUUUCUUGAACAAGAACUUGCCCACAAUUAUUAAGAAAAAGUGGAAAUCAAGGCUGGAAUAUCUUCCCCUAUUUUGGACAGCAAAGGCAGAAUUUUUCUACAAGAAUUUUCCAAACAUUUCUCCAUCAAAUGUUCCCAAUUUUCCCAUAACAAAUCCAUGAACAUAUCAAACAAUAUAUAGCCAAGAUUGUUAGCAAGAAAAACCAUGAAAAUUUGCAUAUAAACAACCCUUAACAAAAGAUCAAACACUUGAUGGACAUAGAGAUUUCUUCCAUUUUCACCAACAAAUCACUAGAAAUAUAAUUCAAAUCCUCAAGGGUUUCGUCAAUCAUUAACCCUUGAAUAUCAAGAAACAACAAUCCACAAAUUCUUGGCCAAAAUUUUCAAGAUUCAAACAUACAAGAGACUAUCAAGCUUCUAGUACCAAAACUUCCAUAAAAAUUUCAAAUCCACCAUAGAUCUUCCAUGAAAUCCUCCAAUAUCAAGUCAUAUGUGGAUUAAAUUGCAAAGUAAGAAGAAAAAGAGGGUUUCUUAGUAUAAUACCUCAAAAUCCCAAUAUAAGAUGCAAGACAAGAGGUUUCUUCCUCAAAUAACUUCACCACAAGCUCACUUCCAAACUUGAUGCAAGAUUUGUCGGAGUAAAUUUGAGUUUUCUCUUGUUUUCCCUCACUAAUUGGACAAGAAUCAAGGCUUGAACUUGGAGCUUUUCUCUCCCUUUCUCUUCUCACGUUUUUGGCCAAGACAAGCAAAAAAAGAAGAUGAUUUGGAUGAUAUAAAACUUGGUUGGUCAUAUAAGGACUUGGUCUUAGUCAACUUUCCAUGGAUGAUGGACAUUUGGCGAGAAAAGGAGUAAUAUCUAUCCAUUUAGCUUCCUAACAUCCAAAUGCUCCAAUUAGCUUGUAACAACUCUUGUCACAUAAUUUUUUUUUACACAAAACUCCUUCUAAUCCUCCAAAUUUAUGAUACACACUUCACACUAGUAUUAUGCACUAUGAGAUUUAACAUGUAUCACAUGAAAAAUGCACCAAGUAAAAUAAGAAAAUAGGUUAAAAUCAUGAUUCAACUAAUAAAACAACCAAGAAUUUAAGGCAAGUAAGUUCAAAUAAGAGCUAUAAAGACAAGCAAAAUGUCGGGCCUCACAGGUUCACAUUUAAUUCGGGCAUAAUGUUUAGGUCCAAGUUCUAUCCAGUCCAAUUAAAUCUUAGGUUCAGUGAGCUUUUUUUGGACCGAACGAGUCGAGCUAGAUUUGGCCCAACCCUAUUGACAAUCCUAGAUCAAGCACAUUAUAUUGAAAAAUUACUAAAGAAAUAUAAUUAUGGUGAUACUAAAUAUGUAAGUACACCAUUUGAUCCUAGUGUUCACUCAUUUCGAACUGAAAAUGAAAAUGAUGUGUACAACCAAAAAAUAUAUGCUAGUAUAAUUGGAAGUUUAUGUUAUGCAACUAAUUGCACAAACCAAAUAUUGCACAUGUUGUAGGAGUACUUAGUAGAGUUACUAGCAAGCCAAAUAUUACUCAUUGGCAUGCACUUGAGUGUCUUAUGAAAUAUUUAACUAAAACUAAAUCUUAUGGCUUAUUCUAUGCAAAUUACCCUGCAGUCAUUGAAGGAUUUUGUAAUGCAAAUUGGAAUACAUUGUCUGGAGAUUCAUUAUCUAGUACUGGGUAUAUUUUUACUUUAGCUGGUGGUGCAAUAUCUUGGAAAUCAAAGAAGCAACAAAUUAUAGCAAAAUACACAAUGGAAGCUGAGUUAAUUGCUUUAGCUUUUGCUAGUGAAGAACCAAGUUAGAUACAAGAUCUUAUACAUGCAAUUUCUUUAUAGGAAAAACUAGUGCUGCCAAUAUUAAUACAUUGUGAUAGCACUGCAGCAAUUGACAAGGUAAAUAAUCAAUACUACAAUGGAAAAUCAAGAACAAUAAAGAAGGAGGAACACUUUUGUUCAAGCAGGUAUUGAAAAUGGUACCAUCAAUGUGAAUUAUACAAGGUCAAGUGAUAAUAUAGCUGAUCCCUUGACAAAACCUCUAGCUAGAGAAAAUGUUUGAAAUACCUUGAUAGGGAUGGGAUUAAAGUCCAUAAAUACAUAAAUCACAUGUAAGGACACCCAAUCUAAUGAUUGGAGAUCCUAAGACUUAGGUUCAAAGGAAAAAAUGAAUUACAUAGUGAUUUGAAUAAAAAUAUGCACAACUUUAUAUUAAUAUUCAAUCGCUAUCGUAUAUGUGCAUAUAUCAUGUAAAGUAAGUAAGGUUGAGCUUCGUUGCCCUUAAUGAAAUCUAAGUGAUGCGGUCAGUCAAGCAAUGCAGAUGUUAGAUGACUCAAGAGCGAAUGCGAUUAGAGUUCUAACAAGAUUGAUUACAAGAGCUCGUACGAAGAAAAUGAAAGACGCAUUGCAAGUGUUUGUUUGUGCAAUACAAGAUCAAGUGGGAGCUUGUCAAGUAAUUGAAGGACUUGGAAAUCAAUGCUUAAGUGUUAAUCUACUUCAAGUUAUUGAUGACACUGACCAAGGAUCAUGCUUUUUUGAAGCUAGGAAGAAGUUAGUGUAGCUUGUCAUCAAAGCAAAUGCACAGAAAUGAAGAAAGAAGCGGAUCCGCGACCUGGAUCCGCGAGUUUUACAUCUGUGCAUGUUUAUUUGAACAUUUUUGCUUGAUCUUCUGGCAAUGUCCGGCGUGAUGUCCAGUCCCAUGUCCCGGGCUGUUCUUUGUCGAGUCAAUUUUUCAGAUUUUAAGCGAUUUUCAUAGUUUUUAAGUUGCUUUCUAUUUCCCCGCAUCCAAAUAGUUCUAGUAAGCCUACUAAGGCAUAUCUAUCAUAUGUAGCAUGAUAAUUGUGUCUUGUUAGGGUUUAGGAGGAUGUGUCUAGUUUAGAAGUCAAGUCAAAUAGGGAAACUUGCAUUGUUUCCAUCUUGGAUUAGGUUUUGCGCUUGUAAGGCUAUAAAUAAGACAUAACUUUGGAACGUUUUCAUUAUUGAUUCAAUAAAGAAAUUUUCCAGCAACUCUUGAGAGAAUUCUCUUGGCUUCUCAAAACAACCUUCGAAUACUUUAGAACAAUUUCUUGGUAGUCAAACUUAGACUUAUCAAACAAGAAACACACUUGUUUGUGGUGCCUUUCGAACAACAUCCUGAAUGUCUUUUCAUCACUUAUUGUGAAUAAGGGUCAAUUAUUGGGUCACAAUUAAGGGGUUUAAAGGUUUUAAGGAUUCCACACCUUUCAAACUUGGGAAAUCAUCUUAGAUUUUGGAACUUGUGGAAUACGAGACUUCCUUCACGGUUGGGUUCAUAUCAGUUGGUAUCCAAAACUAGUUGACAUAUUCAGGUUAUAUCCUUUUCUUUCUUAAGUGUUAUUGUGUCAAUUCUUAUUUUUGUCAAUUCGGUCUUAGAAUAUUUCUAGGGUUUCCUUGUUUUUGCAAGUCAAAAAAUAUAUUUUCUGUUUCACCUUGUUCAUUGAAUGUUGGUGGCGGACUUUUUUUUUGUUAUUCUUGAAGUAUAUUUUAGCUCUUGAAGUUCUUGGACCAAUUCUUGAAUUUCUUGAACCACCUAGAUUACUUUCUUGAAAAUCUUGAAGUUUUUGAAUUUUAGUUUCGGGUUUCUUGAAGUUCUUUCGCUAUAUUUUGAUGAUUUUUUAAGUUCUUGAACAAAAGAAAAAAAAAAUUGAGUCCUUGAAUUCGGUGGGAGGGUGAAAACCGAAUCUUGGAAGCUACAAAAAAAAAAGGGCAGCUUAUCAAUUCACCUUGCAAAUAGUUUAUAAUAGUCACCUUGAAAUCCUUCUACACUUGGAAAAGAGGUUGAACCUAGCUGAAUCUGUCCAAAACAAGAAUCCAAAUCACAAUUAGAUUUGAAUUUCAAUUUAUUCAUCGGGUAGAGUAGCUUUUCUAGGAUUCUAAACUUCAACCGAGUUCCACAAAUUUUCAGCCACUAAUUUGUAGUUGUUUGUGUCUAAAUUCAGUCUAGUUGAGCCAAAUUCAUUACCACCAAAAGCUACAUUAAAGUGUGACUCAUUUGAAAGAUAAAUUUGAUUACUCUUGGACUGUUCUAACUUCUUCAAGGGUGAAAGAUAAAUUUGCUUACUCUUGGACUGUUCUAAUUUGAGAAUAUUUUGGUGAGAUUCUUAGAGUGUUUGAGAGUAAACACGUAAGAGAGUGAGUAAGGAAUAUUCUUAUUUUAUUACUAAUCUAUUUUACAGUUUACUUCCAAGAUGUCUAACAAAGGAGGAGAAAGCUCCCAAUCUUUCGACUUCAAACUUUUUGCAGAAUCUUUGAGGGGCGACAUUGGACAAAUCAUGGACCAGAAAUUGGAGGUGAUUCAUGAGAGGAUUGAUCAAUUAGGAUCCGCAAUAAGUGCUAGCAAAGGAAGUCAAGGUAGAACACCAUUACAUGAAUCUAAAAAUUCCAAUUCAGAUGAUGAAGUGGUGAGUAGACCGAGGAGGAACAAGAGGGAUUCGAGGAUUGAAUUUAAAGCUAUAAAAGGAAUCAAAAUAAAAAUUCCCUCCUUUCAAGGAAGAUCUGAUCUGGAUGCUUAUCUUGAAUGGGAGAAAUGCGUAGAACUCAUCUUUGAUUGUAACUCCCACACUAAUGAGCAAAAAAUGAAACUUGCCAUAAUGGAGUUCACUGAUUAUGCCAUCAUUAGGUAGGAUCAAGUCACUACCAAUAGAAGAAGAAGUGGAGAAUUACCAGUGACUACUUGGGUAGAAUUAAAGGUUCUAAUGAAGAAAUGCUUUGUCCCUAGUCAUUACCACCGCGACUUGUAUGAAAAGUUGCAAAAUUUGACUCAAGUGAAUAGAAGUGUUGAGGACUAUUACAAGGAGAUAGAGGUCUCACUGCUUCGAGCCGACAUUGUGGAAGAUAGAAAGGCUACCAUGGUGAGGUUUUUGAGUGGCUUACGACCAGAAAUUGCAGACCAAGUUGAGAUGCAUCAAUAUGUUGAAAUUGGUGACAUGUUGGAAAAGGCAAUCAAGGCUGGGAGGAGAUUAAAGAGGAGUGGUCUAAUGAAAUCAACUCCUAGCCCUUCACCAUCUUAUUCAAGCACACCAAAGUUAGGUGUGAUAAGAGAGCUUCAAUCAGCAAUACACCUUUCCCAAAACCAAGACAUAAUUCAUCAAAAAGGGAAGCAAAGCCAAUCAUUAAGCCUCCUAAUGAGACACUAAAACCAAGAAAAAGAGACAUGAAGUGUUGGAGGUGCCAAGGGCUUGGACAUAUUACAAGUCAAUGUCCUAAUCAAAGAGCGAUGCUUGUACUCCCAAGUGGUAAAAUUGUGAUAGACGAUGAAGAAGAAUAUAAAGACAUGCCUCCACUAGUAGAGUCACAAGAGGAAAUUCCCACUGAUGAAACGGUUGGUCUAGGCUUGGUUACAAGGCAAGCUUUGGUUGUACAUGUUAAAGAGGAAGAUGCUCAAAGGGAGAACAUAUUUUAUACACGAUGCCACAUUGAGGACAAAAUGUGCAGUCAAGUCAUUGAUCCGAGUAGCUGUGUGAAUGUAGCAAGCAUGUUGAUGGUUGAGACGUUGGGCUUGGAGACCCAUGAGCAUUCUAAGCCUUAUCGACUUCAGUGGCUUAACAACUGUGGUGACAUUCACAUAUCACAUUAGGUAUUUGUUCUAUUCAAAGUUGGUAGAUAUGAGGAUGAAAUACUUUAUGAUAUUAUACCUAUGCAAGCUAGUCAUUUUUUACUUGGUAGACCUUGGAAAUCUGAUAAAAAUGCAAAUCAUGAGGGUCGAAUCAAUAAGUAUAGCUUUGUGCAUAAUGGUAGAAAGAUCACUCUUGUACCUUUAUCACCUAAGCAAGUGUAUGAGGAUCAAGUACAAUUGCAAAAAAAGUAUGAUGCAAACAUUGAGAAAAGAAAAAGGGAGAGAGCUAAGAGAAAAUCAGUAAAGGGAUCCGAGAAAAAUAAGAGGAAAAAGGCUAUCAAUGAUUGGAUCUUGACAUAAAAACUGAGGGAAAACGAAUUCUGAUUGCAAAAGCCAAAGAUGUGAAGGAGAGUAUUUGCCAUGGUCGAACCUGUGAGGCCCCAGUCCGUUUUACGUUGAUAUAUUCAUUAGUUGGGCGGUAACGUUUGGUUUCGGGAGUAUUUCGAAAACUCUAAGUAGGGAUUAAGAUUUAAACCCUAGUUAUGUAUUGGUUACAAGUUCGAGUGGUGAUUAAAGUUAGUAAAGUUAAUGUGUGUCUUAGUGUGGAUAAGUAUAGGAUUUAAUCCAUUUUGUAUAGGUUAAUUAAGUUUAAGAAGGGUAGAAACCCUAAGUGAGCAAAAUCCCUAAUUUUGCCCUUGACAAAAAGGUUCUUGUUUAAUUAUUUUUAUGUGGGAUAAAGCAUGCUUAAGUGUAAGUGAUUAAGAUGAGAAAGUGAUUAGUGAAGUAAUUAAGUGUGAUUACAUGUUUUAAAAGAGAUUAAGUUAUGACUUAUGGAGUAAAUUGAAAGAUUAUCAAAUGUGUGAGGGAAAUUGUGUAAGAAAGAGAAAGUUAAAGUGCAAGGGUUUAAACAACAAAUAAAGCAUUUUUGUGAUUGGCUAGCUAUAAGAAAUAUCUCCCAAAGCUUUGAGUAUAUGUUGUCUUACAACUUAUAAGAAACAAGAGAAAACAAAACAAAACAAAACUAAGAAAAAAAGAAAGGAAGAGCCGAGAGAGAGAGGGAGAGAAAGUGAGAAAAUUUCUUCAAAAAUCUUCAAGUUUUAGCUUCCAUCUUGGGUUUGAAUCUUGGAGCAACAACUUGGGUGCUUGAUUAGUGAAGGUUAAUCAUCUACAAAGCUUAAUUGAAGGUAUGCCUCUUACUUGAAAGAUAAACUUUUGGGGUUUUGAUCUUUAAGCCAUGGAAAUGAUGUAUUAUGUUAUGAUUAUGGACUUAUAUGGUUGAUUUGAUGUUUAUAUGGAAGUUUCAUGGUUAAUUUUAGUGUUAUUUGGUUGCUGAAAAUUCGGCCAAGAAGGGGGAAAAUUUGGGUUUCUUGCUUAAUGUUUUCCUUAGUUGCUUUGCUUGAGAAUUGAUGUGUAGUGGUUGUGUUUGAUAGAUUGCCUCACUUGAUUUGGUUGGUUGCUAGCAAAAAUCUUAUUUGGGUUAAGAAACCCUAGACUCCAUGAGGUUAGUUUAGUUUAGCCUAAGGCUUUUGGGUUAGGGUUUGGUUAGUGGGAUGUUAGAUCAAGUCUUUAGUGCAUAUGAAGAUAGGUUAGGGAGUAUGGUUUGUGUUUGGUAAUUUUGUGGUAAAAUAAGGAGAGAAAUUCGGACCAUUAAUAGACCUUUUAGAAGCUGGUAUAAGUGUGUUUCAUUGGUAGGAAUUUGGUUGGAAACUAGUAUAAGAACCAUAGAAACGGACCGUGCGAUUGUGACGCGCAAAGCCGGCAAAUCUGGGAAAACAGGACAGUUCAACGACUGAACUUCGGCUUCAUUUUUCUUAAUGCUAUGUACGGAUUUAGGAAUUCCUCAAAACAUGAAAGUUGUAGCCUUGUAAGUCCUGAGUAUGCCUGCAAAAUUUCAGGUCCAUCGGAUUAGCGUAGCCUGAGUUAUCGACGAAAUGCUCAAGCCUGUUUUGACCCUUUGAUUCUGCGCGUUUUUCUAGUUUAGCUUCUGCCGUGAUUUUUCGGUUUUGAUCCCAUUCGAUCUGGGUGUCGACUCCUUCAUAAGAAAUUUAUAUCUUGGUCUCAGCUUCGAAAUGGUAUAAAGUACGUCGAAAACCGAGUUCCGUAGCUCCGGUUAUGAUCGAAACAAUAUCGAUCGUCAGAACUGCCCGGUAUUUGGACAGUUCUGACGGGUACUUUGGCACUCGAAUUUUGUUCUGUUCUGAAUAGAUUCAGGUCUUGGCCAAAACAUGAAAGUUUUAGCCUUAUGUUUCAGCUUUCUAAUGCCUUUGGAAUUUCUGAAUUUCGAUUUCUGUGCCGUGAGUUACGGCCUUGCAAACAGGGCCUGUUUGGUAACCCGCAAGGAAACAGCUGGCACUAUUUCGUGCAUUUUUGACCUAUACCUAGUGAGAUCUGGGUUGAAAUGUCUUCACGAAAAUUGUAGCCCUUUCUCUUAGCUUCGAAACGGUGUCUCACCCACUUUGAUCCGACACUCCUAGCCUAAUUUUUGACCAAAACGGUUUGAGAUGGCCGAUUUGGCCAUUUCCGUUUGCCGUUCCGCGCGGACGUGUGCGGCCGUUUUGCCGUUUCCGCACUUGCGCGUGCCAAUUUUGCCGUUUGGCUUGUUUUAAGUACGUUAGUUGCCGUUUGUGAUAUAUUGUGACAUAAUCUUCGAUUUCAGACAGUGGUGAGCUAGGCGGUGCCGGUGGGGCCCACUACUAGCCAACACACAAAGUGAAUUCCGCCUUUAUACUACUGUUGGUAUUUUGAGUAAGUAUUCAGGCCGCUCUUAUGUGUUAGUUGUUUAUGUGUUUCGUUAUGCGUAAAAAGGGUACCUAGGCGAGAGUGUACUUUAUCGCGCUCGACCUAAACCCUAAUUUGCGCGCUUAUUUGUACAUGACAUAUGUAUAUGAGAAAUUUUGGAACUAAAACCCUUGAGCUUGUGGCUCGGGGUGACUUUUGAAUAAUUUUGUGAAUUUUGUGAGUUUGAGGUUGAACUCAAUACCUAGAUGGACUAUUCGAGCCGGUUAGGGCUUGGUCGAAGUCAGUCCAACCUGGAUUGAGGUCACCAAGUUUGUGACCCGAGCUUGCGACUCAAGCUCAAGUUUGUGAUUUCGUUCGCCUGGGCAAGUUUGUGAGGUGACUGGCCAGUGAGGGUGAUAAGGUGUCGGUGGGUGUACAAGUGAAGUUCUACGGACCUUAUUUAUGGUCGACGGAGGGUCGACAGGAGAUCACGCAUGGCAAAUGACUUGGCUUUGGAGCCACCCGUAUCCUUAUUAUGUGAUGUUACUUUUCUGCUUUUGCUUUACUCUUACUGUGUAAUUGAUGCUACAUGAAAUUUACGCUUUUGCCCCUGUUUACUUACUAAGCUUUUAGCUUACCCCAUUCCUUUUGUUUUCCUUAGCAGGGGCCGACGCGGGUACGUUUGGGCACACACACUAGUAUAGUAGAUUGGCUUGUAAUAGUUGAACCAUUAGGAUGUUUGUUUUAUUUCUGGUGGUUUGUAUUAGGAUCCUUCUUAGGGUCUACAUUUUGAUUUUGGUUGUAAUUAUACGGAUGUAAUAGUAAGAGCAGGUACUUUUGGAGAAUGUAAUUAUAACUCUUUUGGGAUUGUAAAUAGUACUCUUUUGGAUUUUCUGGCUUUUAUUGUUUUAAGUUUCGAGUCCUGGCGCGAGCUAGGCAGGCGGCCCGCCGAUACCCUUGGGUUCGCCCUUGGGAGAAGUGGGGUCGUCACAGUUGGUAUCAGAGCGCCUAGGUUAGAGGACUUGGGCAAUUGUGGGACAUACGCGAUAGGCAUUAGGCAUAUUGGAUUCUUUUAAGUUGAAUGAUAUCUUUUAAGUUGAAAUGCCGGUUGACUGACGACUUAAUGUUUUGUAGGUAUGGACCCAGGCAGUUCGAGUAGGAGGGGCCCAGAGGAUCGACCGCUGCGUAAGCGGGCUAUCCGUUAUCGACAGAGGCUGGGAGAGCCUUACACUUUGUACUCCCCCUUCGGCCAGGUGUCGCGCCGACCCUGCGCGUGUUGGUAUACUUACGGCUAUCCCGACGAGAUAGUCUUAGCAUUGGAUGAUGAGCGUUAUCACCUCGACAGGACGGUCGAGACUCUGAGGGAGCAGCUUGAGGAGGCUAGACAGUUUAGCCGCUGGCAGGCGUUACGCGUUAGGGGCCUGGAGCGGGACCUCCGGGACACACACCAGCACCUCUUCUCUUUGAAGAGGCAGCUUAGGGAGAGGGCCCGGAGUAUCACGUUUGACUGCGGGGUCUUGCUAGAUAUGGCCGCGGAGGCACCCCCGCGAGCUACUGGGCCAGAGCAGAUAGGCGAGAUUGGUACUUUAGGUUCCGUUGGGGACCAGGGCCCUAGGGGAGGCGUUUAGGGUCGCUUUCGUCUUUUGAUUAGCUGGUAGAUUCCUUUUGUUAAAACUGGCAUGACCACUUUCUUUCUUUAUUUGGUUGGCCGACUAGAUCUUGGAGCCGGAGUGCUCAUGUGUACAUUGGGUUUUGUACCGACUGGAGGUCGGUAAUCUGUAAAUCUUUUGGUGUGAUUUUGUAUAUCUAUGUAUAUAUUUGAGUAGCAUUUUGAAUUUAUCCUUUGUGUGUCUUUUGUUCAUACGCUUUACGUCCGUACUUUUGCUCAUAGUCCGGAUAAUAAGUUUAUGUGUAAUGUUCCGAUCUAUAGACGUUUGCACUUAAAUGGCCUCCGGUACUCGAGGUGGAGGUAGAGGGCGAGCACGAAGCCCUGAAAGGGAACAAGGACCAGAGCAAGAUCAAGUCGCUACAGCCAUCCAGCGGAUGGCCGAUUUACUAGAGCAAAUGACAAAUCAACAGGGCCAAGGGAGCGGUAUGGGGAAUCCUGGACAUAAUCCGGGACAUAAUCCAGGCAAUCACGAGGGUGAAGACCGUGCCUUGGAGCGAUUCCAAAAAUUCGCACCCCCAAAGUUUAUCGGUGGGGCCGACCCUGACUUAGCGGAGGGUUGGCUAGACCGUAUGUUAGACAUAUUUGCCGCGCUUAGGUAUUCAGAGGAGCGGCAGAUAUCCUUUGCGGUCUUUCAGUUUGAAGGGGCCGCUCGAGCCUGGUGGAAUGUAAUCAAAGCCAAGUGGGAGCGCGAACAGACUCCUUGGACCUGGAUCAACUUCACACGGGAGUUUAAUGAAAAAUAUUUACCACCCAUUGUGCAAGAAAAACGGGAAGAUGAUUUCAUCCGCCUACGUCAAGGGGCAUCGAGUGUGGCGGAGUACGAAACUCAGUUCACUAAACUUUCUCGCUUUGCCCCAGAGCUGGUGUUAACGGAGCAGAAACGAAUCCGUCGAUUCGUUCAAGGUUUAAAUGUGGAAAUCCAGGAAUCGCUAGCAGCGGCUCAGUUGAAUACGUUUAGCCAAGCGCUAGAAAAAGCACAGCGAAUUGAGACUGCCAGAGGACAGGUUAAAGCCUUCCACGAUCGGAAAAGGAGGCAACCUAGCUCAAAUGAUUCCAUGGUCGGACAAAGCUCGCGAAACGAGCCAUCUGCCAAGAUAAAUAAAGGUACGGAUGGUCCACGACCUGCAGGGACCCCGAAUAACUUUGUGCGGGGUCAGGUAGUGCAAGAGGGGCCGAGGAGUGUCCAGCGUGGAGGGGCAAGUACAGCCGCCAAGUCAACCUGUGGUUUCUGUGGGGGCAAUCACACCGAUGAAAAUUGCUGGAAGAAUAGUUCGGUACGCAAAUGCUUCAAAUGUGGCAGCACCGAACAUCUGAUUGCCCGGUGCCCUAAGAUGCAGAAGGAUGGACUCAAACCACCGACUGGAGGGACCACCACAACUAAGCCGUCAACUACAGGGGAAAAUCGACCCAAAGGGCCAGCAAGAGUCUAUGCGAUGGGUCAACCUGAGAUGACAAAUCCUUCGGUGGACUUUGAAGGUACGCCUUGAUCAAACGAAUCCAUUUCGAGGACGAAAUUGUCCUAAGUGGGGAAGAUUGUGAGGCCCCAGUCCGUUUUACGUUGAUAUAUUCAUUAGUUGGGCGGUAACGUUUGGUUUCGGGAGUAUUUCGAAAACUCUAAGUAGGGAUUAAGAUUUAAACCCUAGUUAUGUAUUGGUUACAAGUUCGAGUGGUGAUUAAAGUUAGUAAGGUGAAUGUGUGUCUUAGUGUGGAUAAGUAUAGGAUUUAAUCCAGUUUGUAUAGGUUAAUUAAGUUUAAGAAGGGUAGAAACCCUAAGUGAGCAAAAUCCCUAAUAUUAUGAUUUAUUAGAAGUUUUAAGUUGGGUUUAAACCCUAAUUUUGCCCUUGACAAAAAGGUUCUUGUUUAAUUACUUUUAUGUGGGAUAAAGCAUGCUUAAGUGUAAGUGAUUAAGAUGAGAAAGUGAUUAGUGAGGUAAUUAAGUGUGAUUACAUGUUUUAAAAGAGAUUAAGUUAUGACUUAUGGAGUAAAUUGAAAGAUUAUCAAAUGUGUGAGGGAAAUUGUAUAAGAAAGAGAAAGUUAAAGUGCAAGGGUUUAAACAACAAAUAAAGCAUUUUUGUGAUUGGUUAGCUAUAAGAAAUAUCUCCCAAAGCUUUGACUAUAUGUUGUCUUACCACUUAUAAGAAACAAGAGAAAACAAAACAAAACAAAACUAAGAGAAAAAAAAGAAAGGAAGAGCCGAGAGGGAGAGGGAGAGAAAGUGAGAAAAUUUCUUCAAAAAUCUUCAAGUUUUAGCUUCCAUCUUGGGUUUGAAUCUUGGAGCAACAACUUGGGUGCUUGAUUAGUGAAGGUUAAUCAUCUACAAAGCUUAAUUGAAGGUAUGCCUCUUACUUGAAAGAUAAACUUUUGGGGUUUUGAUCUUUAAGCCAUGGAAAUGAUGUAUUAUGUUAUGAUUAUGGACUUAUAUGGUUGAUUUGAUGUUUAUAUGGAAGUUUCAUGGUUAAUUUUAGUGUUAUUUGGUUGCUGAAAAUUCGGCCAAGAAGGGGGAAAAUUUGGGUUUCUUGCUUAAUGUUUUCCUUAGUUGCUUUGCUUGAGAAUUGAUGUGUAGUGGUUGUGUUUGAUAGAUUGCCUCACUUGAUUUGGUUGGUUGCUAGCAAAAAUCUUAUUUGGGUUAAGAAACCCUAGACUCCAUGAGGUUAGUUUAGUUUAGCCUAAGGCUUUUGGGUUAGGGUUUGGUUAGUGGGAUGUUAGAUCAAGUCUUUAGUGCAUAUGAAGAUAGGUUAGGGAGUAUGGUUUGUGUUUGGUAAUUUUGUGGUAAAAUAAGGAGAGAAAUUCGGACCAUUAAUAGACCUUUUAGAAGCUGGUAUAAGUGUGUUUCAUUGGUAGGAAUUUGGUUGGAAACUAGUAUAAGAACCAUAGAAACGGACCAUGCGAUUGUGACGCGCAAAGCCGGCAAAUCUGGAAAAAAGGACAGUUCAACGACUGAACUUCGGCUUCAUUUUUCUUAAUGCUAUGUACGGAUUUAGGAAUUCCUCAAAACAUGAAAGUUGUAGCCUUGUAGGUCCUGAGUAUGCCUGAAAAAUAUCAGGUCCAUCGGAUUAGCGUAGCCUGAGUUAUCGACGAAAUGCUCAAGCCUGUUUUGACCCUUUGAUUCUGCGCGUUUUUCUAGUUUAGCUUCUGCCGUGAUUUUUCGGUUUUGAUCCCAUUCGAUCUGGGUGUCGACUCCUUCAUAAGAAAUUUAGAUCUUCGUCUCAGCUUCGAAAUGGUAUAAAGUACGUCAAAAACCGAGUUCCGUAGCUCCGGUUAUGAUCGAAACGAUAUCAAUCGUCAGAACUGCCCGGUUUUUGGACAGUUCUGACGGGUACUUUGGCACUCGAAUUUUGUUCUGUUCUUAAUAGAUUCAGGUCUUGGCCAAAACAUGAAAGUUUUAGCCUUAUGUUUCAGCUUUCUAAUGCCUUUGGAAUUUCUUAAUUUCGAUUUCUGUGCCGUGAGUUACGGUCUUGCAAACAGGGCCUGUUUGGUAACCCGCAAUGAAACAGCUGGCACUAUUUCGUGCAUUUUUUACCUAUACCUAGUGAGAUCUGGGUUGAAAUGUCUUCACGAAAAUUGUAGCCCUUUCUCUUAGCUUCGAAACGGUGUCUCACCCACUUUGAUCCGACACUCCUAGCCUAAAUUUUGACCAAAACGGUUUGAGAUAGCCGAUUUGGCCAUUUCCGUUUGCCGUUCCGCGCGGACGUGUGCGGCCGUUUUGCCGUUUCCGCACUUGCGCGUGCCAAUUUUGCCGUUUGGCUUAUUUCAAGUACGUUAGUUGCCGUUUGUGAUAUAUUGUGACAUAAUCUUCGAUUUCAGACAGUGGUGAGUUAGGCGGUGCCGGUGGGGCCCACUAUUAGCCAACACAUAAAGUGAAUUCCGCCUUUAUACUACUGUUGGUAUUUUGAGUAAGUAUUCAGGCCGCUCUUAUGUGUUAGUUGUUUAUGUGUUUCGUUAUGCGUAAAAGGGUACCUAGGCGAGAGUGUACUUUAUCGCGCUCGACCUAAACCCUAAUUUGCGCGCUUAUUUGUACAUGACAUAGGUAUAUGAGAAAUUUUGGAACUAAAACCCUUGAGCUUGUGGCUCGGGGUGACUUUUGAAUAAUUUUGUGAAUUUUGAGAGUUUGAGGUUGAACUCAAUACCUAGAUGGACUAUUCGAGCCGGUUAGGGCUUGGUCGAAGUCAGUCCAACCUGGAUUGAGGUCACCAAGUUUGUGACCCGAGCUUGCGACUCAAGCUCAAGUUUGUGAUUUCGUUCGCCUGGGCAAGUUUGUGAGGUGACUGGCCAGUGAGGGUGAUAAGGUGUCGGUGGGUGUACAAGUGAAGUUCUACGGGACCUUAUUUAUGGUCGACGGAGGGUCGACAGGAGAUCACGCAUGGCAAAUGACUUGGCUUUGGAGCCACCCGUAUCCUUAUUAUGUGAUGUUACUUUUCUGCUUUUGCUUUACUCUUACUGUGUAAUUGAUGCUACAUGAAAUUUACGCUUUUGCCCCUGUUUACUUACUAAGCUUUUAGCUUACCCCAUUCCUUUUGUUUUCCUUAGCAGGGGCCGACGCAGGUACGUUUGGGCACACACACUAGUAUAGUAGAUUGGCUUGUAAUAGUUGAACCAUUAGGAUGUUUGUUUUAUUUCUGGUGGUUUGUAUUACGAUCCUUCUUAGGGUCUACAUUUUGAUUUUGGUUGUAAUUAUACGGAUGUAAUAGUAAGAGCAGGUACUUUUGGAGAAUGUAAUUAUAACUCUUUUGGGAUUGUAAAUAGUACUCUUUUGGAUUUUCUGGCUUUUAUUGUUUUAAGUUUCGAGUCCUGGCGCAAGCUAGACAGGCGGCCCGCCGAUACCCUUGGGUUCGCCCUUGGGAGAAGUGGGGUCGUCACAGAACCUUACUUGUGCGUUUAAGCAAGGAGGUCUUGGACACUACUAACGACACACGCUUCUUUGCCAAGUUCGAUAGUGUCUCUUUUGCAGGAAUUCUAAGAUUUAUUUCCUAAAAAAGCGCCAAGUGAUUUAUCACCAAUUAGGGAAAUCGAGCACCAAAUAGACUUAAUGUGACGCCCCCACUUCUCCUAAGGGUAUCCGCGGAACGCCUGCUCAACUCUCGUCGGGGCUCACUACAAUCCAUAAUUCAAAACUAGAAAUACUUCAAAUAUUUUCAAUAUACAUUGAAAGAACUCCAAAACACAAUUAGUUAACUUUCAAUUUAAUACAACUCAAAAGAAUAUGUACUACAGUCGACUGCUAUAAUACAACUUAAAGUCUCCAAAAGAAAAUAACUUAGUACUAUUCGCGAGUACUCUUGGUCUUGAACCCUAUUAAGGAAAACAAAAGCAUGGAAUGAGUUAAACAGUCCAGUGAGGUUCCAAAACACCUAAACAGUUCUAAUAAAUCAAGUAAAUUGAGCAUAACACAUGUACGGUUCAAGAUUUCACAAUAGCACAUUAAAAUGAGACAUUUAUUAUUUUACAGAAAUAAAUACACAUUAAAAGGAUACGAUGCUCAUGUGGAACCGUUUCGGUCAGCUACACCUUAUAACCCCAAUAAUUCCCCCGGUUGUCUGGCCAUCACCUUAUUCCUCCAGUGGUAAUAUUCGAGUAUACCAAAACGGUGACCCAGGGUUCCAACCUACUUGACCAAGCCCAGUCCUAGCUCGAGUAGGUUAGUAACCAAGGACAGGGCCCAGUUCAGCUUAGAGUUUGCAACAUGCGCAAGUAAUCAAGUAAAUCGGUAAACGGUAGAAAUUUGUUAUUUUAGUAGAUCGAGUGAAAUAAAGUACACACUCACCUUAAAUCGGUGAAAAUUUUCAUAGAAGCAAUUAUAAGUAGCACUUAACACUUAAACACAUAAGAAACACUCACCAAAAUCAAGAGUGUAAAACAAGAGCGAGGCAAGAUCAAACGAGUUCCUCGGGAUCCUUUUGAUCACCUAAGACAUGUACAAUUACAAUUCACCUAGGUAUUCAGCCAAGGUCUAGUAGUAUUCCGGCUACUCUCACUUAAGAGAUAACGCAUUCAAAUCGAAUGCAAAUAUCACUUAAUAACUUAAUCCACGAGGGUAGCAUUUGAAUAUACCCAAGAAUACAUUGAUCCAAGUCAAGUCAUGUCCAGGAUUCUCCAAGUUGAAGAUUAAACAAAUCUCUAAGUUUUGGCACGAAAAUCGAGGAAGAUGGAUAUAUUUACUUGGAAGCUUGGCCAAAACAUUCCAGGCAUUACUAAUUAAGUUCACAAGAAACCUUUCAAAUCAUUCUUUUAAAAUACUUGUAUAAUUGCCAACUCUAGUACAGUUAUCAAGGCCAUAAGAAUAUGGGUUGAAGUCCCUAAUUAAAGUACGAAGAGAAGUACCAUUAACCAAGAGAGUUAUAUGACCAAGUAAUUGCAUCAAGAAAGGUUUAACCCUCGGAGACCAAGAUUUGAAAUGAAAGUUCAAAGUCCAAAGAGACCUUGUAUUAAACCAUGAAAUCAAACUUAAAAUAGUCCAACAAUCACAAAGGAAGGUGGAAAGUUCUUAAAGGAGUAAUUUGGUUGAAACAGAAAUUUUCCAGUUUGGAGUGAUAUUACUUUGAAAAAUCGUAUCUUGAGUUUUGUAAGUCCAAAAAUGGAAAAAUUUAUACUGUUGGAAACUAAAUUCAGAAUACUAAAAGUUCUCAAAAGACACUUUUCCAUGAUUCCAACUAGAAGGCAUUCAUAAUUCAACUCAAAGUUUCAGUUCCAAGAAGACAGGUUUGAACCAGUCUUGGUUUUUCAGCAAACUUUGGAAAUUUGGCAUAAUUCACAGAAAGUGAAUCAGCCUUUGAAAUUCAUAACACAAUAAGAGUUCUAAACAAGAUUUCAAAUACAACAAACAGAACUAAAUUUGGAGUUUCGAGGAUCGAGAUACAUUAGUUCAAAGUUGGUUGCGUUUUGCAAACUGUUCAAUCAUUUUCCAGAUUUGAAAAGCUAUCUUUGAAGUAUCCUUUAGCCAUCGAAAUGGCAUUGAAAAUACACCAAAUUUGGUACACUAAAUCUUCCAUAUGUGACCUAUAUCUCUACCAAAUUCACGUAAAACUCACGUGGGAAGACAGUUAACAAAAUAGUCAAAUUUCGGAAAAAUUUCAAAGCAAAUUUGCCGUCCAUGGUUCUCUUUCCUUUUCAAACGUUUUGUCCCACACAAUCAACCUCAAUUAGCUCAAAUGUUGAAAUUAAGGUUCCAUAAACAUCCAAUGAGCAAUUUAGAGGUAAUUGACAUCAAAGUUUGUGAAACAAAACAUUCCAAAACAAGUUUGACCAUUCGGCCAGCAAGAGGGAAGAAACUUUCUAGUUUCCAGUUUUGCUGUAAUUUAAAAAUCAGGCCAUAUCUCACUCUAUACAAACUCAAAUAAAGAAUGGUUGGUGGAGUUAGAAACUAGGUUCCAAAAGCUACAUUUCAUCAGAAGAAAUAAUUUCCAAAAUCAGUUCACAAGUAGUUCAAAUUCAAGUCACAAAUUACAGCUUCUCAUUUCCAUUCGAAUGAACAAGCGGAACAGAACAGCCGACUUCAUCAGUUCACUGCAGUUCACACAAAAUGAACUAGAGAUUGAUUUUUAUGCCUUUUAAAGCUAAGAAUGUGUAGUUUCAAAUUCCACAAACGGCACUCGAUUUCGACUUUUUUACAAAGAGUUAUGUUCAAUCAAAGAUACACUGUUCAGGCCUUCAGAUGACCAUUUCCGGAUUUCUUGCAGUUUCAAAAAUUCUAGUUUUGAUCAACCAAAUAACAUGAUUUUCUGAAGGCAUUUUGCACAUACAAUAUACCACAUAUAUACAUCAGUUUCACAGUCAAACAACCAACAAAAUUUUGAAAUUCAAUCAAGAUAACAACAUGAUAGAUUUGGCCAGCUUACUUCCUCUCACGGUUUUCUCUCUUUCUUUUUCCUCUUCUAGUUUCUUCUAGGAAAACUCAUCACAAACACACUAACACACACAUAGACAUCAUGGCAGCCCUCAUUUAACCAAGGUGGGAGUUCAUAGAGCCCACUUCAACCAACCAAAUCCAAGCAACAACAACAAGAAGGAAGCUACACGCUUCAAAACCAAGAAAUGAAACAAGAAAGUAAAAGCUUUGGUGGAGAUGUUUAUACCUUCAAAACUCAAGAUGGAACCCUAGAUGAAACCAGAAAUUUUUAGCCGAAACUCUCCAGGAAAAGUCCUCAAGAUGAUGUCUUUCUCCAAGAUGAAACUAAUCUCCAAAGUGUUUAGGAGUUGGGUGAAGAUUUAGAAGUGAAAUGGUACAAGAUUGAACAAGGUUUUGUGGAGCUUUCUUCCUUCUGUCUUCUUUCCUUUGGCUGGCCGAACAAGAGAGAGAGUGAGGGAGUGUUUUGUGGUUUGGUUUUCUUGGAGGGAAAGAAUGAAAUAGUAGCCAUAAGUGUUGGGCAAAAAGUCAACUCUUAAUAGUGCCCAAAUGGUGUUUUGUACUACCACUUUCUCUUGGGUUUGAUACACUCAUAUACUAAUCCUCCAAGAUACUUCCUUUAAUAUGGUAAUUAUUUACUCUUACUAGUCUAAUAUAAAUUUCUUAAAUUUCCACUUUUUCAUUCCAAAGCGAAAUACGCGAACUUACAACACGCGCACGAAAAAUCAAAAUUUAAGAAAAAUUCAUGCAUUACUAGGGUAAUUAAAUAUAACUGGGGAAAAUAAUUAUAAAAUUGACUAUUUUAAGAAUAAAACAUGAGUCCUCACACUUAAUUCCUGGGGUGCCAUUACCUAAUCAAUGUGUUUAUAGAAGCAAUCUUGAGGAAACGAAGGAGCUUCAAAGGCAAGUUGAGGAGCUACUUGCAAAAGGUUGGGCGAGAGAGAGUUUAAGUCCGUGUGUUGUGCCAAUUAUACUCGUCCCCAAGAAGGAUGGAACAUGGAGGAUGUGUACUAAUUGGUCGUCAAUUCAAUUACGAUAAAGUAUUAUCAUUCUAUUUCUCGUUUAGAUGAUAUGUUAGAUGAAUUGCAUGAUGCAUUCAUCUUUUCAAAAAUUGAUCUCAAAAGUGGAUAUCAUCAAAUUCGUAUUAAAGAGGGUGAUGAAUGGAAAACGGCAUUUAAGACUAAGUAUGGUUUGUAUGAGUGGUUGGUUAUGCCUUUUGGACUAACUAAUGCACCUCGUACUUUUAUGAGAUUGAUAAAACAUGUGUUGCGUGCCUACUUAGGAAAAUUUGUAGUCAUUUAUUUUGAUGAUAUACUCAUAUACAACAAGAGUCUAGAAGAGCGCCAUGAACAUUUAAGACUUAUACUUGAAGUACUUCGAAAGGAACAGCUUUAUGCCAACCUUAACAAGUGCACGUUCUGUACUAAUAAACUUGUGUUCCUAGGUUUUGUUGUUAGCUCACAGGGAAUUCAGGUGGAUGAUAGUAAGAUUAAGGCAAUUCAAGAGUGGUCAGUUCCAAAAAAUGUUAGAGAAACUUGUAGCUUUCAUGGACUUGCGAGUUUCUACAAGCGAUUUGUGAGAAAUUUUAGCACAAUUGCCGCCCCAUUGACAGCAAUCAUUAAAAAGGAUGAGAAAUUCGUUUGGGGAGAAGCUCAACAAAAAGCUUUUGAAUUACUUAAAGAACAUCUCACACGUGCACCUGUUUUGUCAUUACCUGAUUUUACUAAAACAUUUAAAAUUAAAUGUGAUGUUUCAGGUAUUAGCAUUGGAGUGGUGUUGAUGCAAGGGGAUCAUCCCGUCGCUUACUUUAGCGAGAAGCUAAGUGGUGCUUCUUUGAACUAUUGCACUUAUGACAAAGAGUUGUAUGCUCUAGUUUGUACAUUAGAGACAUGGCAGUAUUACUUGCAACCCAAGAAGUAUGUAAUUCAUACCGACCAUGAAUCUUUGAAGUACCUUAGAGCUCAACAUAAAUUGAGCAAGCGACAUGUGAGGUGGAUUUCAUUUGUUGAAACUUUUCCUUAUGUUAUCAAAUAUAAAUCUGGUAAGACUAAUGUAGUAGCUGAUGCAUUAUCUAGAAGGUACGCCCUACUUACCUUUCUUGCUGCUGAGUUACUAGGAUUUGAUAUGACUAAGGAUUUAUAUGAGACUGAAAUAAAUUUUAAGGAUGUUUAUGCUUUGUGUUAUUCUUGGUUUUGAUGAUCACAAAGUACUUUGAAAUGUUUAUCUAACUCUCUUCAAAUAUAAGUGCUUUUUGCCUAUCAAAGAAUCAGGUACGAAUAUGUCAAGAAAUGAAAAUUAACCAAAAGAAAAAGCAAAAACAGGACACUCAUGUCGGACGUCCGAAAGGAUAAAGAACAUCAAGAAGGAAGCUCUGUCGGACGCUCAUAAGGAAGCGUCGGACGUCCGGAAGGAUCGAACGCACGCCUCGGACGCACAUCAACCGCGUCAGACGUCCGAAAAAUUCCAAGAAGACUUGCCAACUCUCUAACGACAAUCGGACGCUGAUGCUGUCGGACGAUAAAAAUGCAUCGGACGUCCGAACUACAACUUAGCUGUUUUCGAACGAUAGGUUCGGACGAUGAUUUGGUCGUCGGACGUCCGACAGCCCCAACGGCUAGCUGACUCUUCAUCUGCCUUCUAUCCGUUGGAAGCAUUGAUGAAACCCAUUUUUGGUUCCCUUUAAAAACAAACUGUUCUGAACCAAGAAGGGACUUUUGCACACUUUGUUUACAAGAUCUCAAGAGAUAUUUUAGCUAGAAAAUAGUCUCCAAAACUAGAUUUGUUCUCCAAGUGGUGUGAAUUUCUUGUGAGCAUUUCUCUUGUGGUUGAAAGUUUCAUUAGUGUAGCUUUGUUGAGGGUUAUCUGAGUGAUUGUAAAACUUCUUAGCUUGACUAAGUGAGGCUUAAGGCAAGGAGGAAGUGCUCCCUCCAUUGUACAUCUAGUUGAUCAUCUUUUAUCAAAGAGAAGUUGCUCAACCUAGUGAUUGGUUUUCAAGUUUGAGGAAAGCUUGGUAGACAAUCGGUUUGAUAUUCUAUCUUAUUCUUUUGGUUUAAUAAAAUUCCCAUUGCUUAUCUAUACUUGUUUUUCUAAUCAACAUUGCUCUCUUCUUCUAAUCUAUUUGGUUGAUCAUUACUAGAAAAGAAGGUAAAUUUUUAUUAAAGAAAAAGUGCAUAAAUUUGAUUAAAAUUUUAAUCAACCUAAUUCACCCCCCCUCUUAGGUUGUCUUGGGCCUUACAAUUGGUAUCAAAGCCAGGUCUCCUAGAGAUUAAGCUCAAGCGGCUUGGAGUAAAGAUGACAACCAGUCAUGCUAUGUUUGUUGAGGGGCAAUCUGUUACUAGGCCUCCCAUGUUUAGUGGCUCCAAUUAUGUUAGCUGGAAAGAAAGAAUGAUUAUCUUUUUGCAAUCUAUUGAUAUUGAGUUAUGGUUUAUUGUGAGUGAAGGACCGCAUGAAGCUAACUUUCUUGAUGCAGAUACAGGUUUGCUUCGGCCAAAAAUGAGAGCUGAAAUGAAUGCUCAAGAUAGGACUAAUCUCACAUUGAAUGCCAAAGCCAUGAAUGUUCUUUAUAGUGCCUUAGAUUCAAAUGAAUCAAUUAGAGUAAAAGGCUGUAAAUCGGGCAAAGAAAUGUGGGAUAAGCUAAGAGAAAUCCAUGAGGGUGGUGACAACGUGAGAAAAUAGAAAAAGGCUAUCUUGGUCACAAAGUAUGAAUCAUUUAAAAUUGAACCUCUUGAGAAUAUUGACAAAAUGUAUUGCAGGUUCAAUGACUUGAUCAAAGAUCUCGAGGUGUUGGGCAAGAGUACAACUUGAGAGAGAAGAACAGGAAAAUUCUCAAUACAUUGGGCAAAGAAUGGGAAAAUAAAGUGGCUGCAAUAGAGGAGGCUAAGGAUUUAAAUUCUGUGCCUAUUGAAUCUCUCAUUAACUCGCUAACCUCUUAUGAGUUGAAAUUGAAAUCUAAAGUGCAGGAGAAAGAGGAUGCUAGAGCAAAGAGAAACAUUCCUCUAAAGACUACUCAAGGUGAAGAUGAUCCAACUCACUUGGAUGAUGAAGACUCGGAUGGUGAUGAUAAUGAUCUUGCUCUCAUCACAAGAGGCUUCAAGAGAAUCUUGAAUAAAAGGAAGUUUAGAAGGGGAGGACCUAGCAAUCAAUUCCAAAAUUAUUCAUCAAAUGCAAGGAACAAAGGAAAACAAGAAUUCAACAAGAAGCAAGUGGACAAAUGCUAUGAAUGUGGACAGCCUGGACACUAUGCAAACGAAUGCCCUAUGAAGAAAAUGAAAGAUGGGAAAGCUGAUUGAAAGCCAAGAUUCAACAACUUCCAGAUUACUUAGAAUGAAUGCAACUCCGAAGGGGAAGUUGAAGAAGAGGAAGAAUCAGCUCAAAUGGCCUUCAUGGCUAUUGGAGAUAAUGAGGUAACUUCCAUACACUCUCAAUCUGUAAGUGAUGAUGAAAAAGAUGAUGAUCUUGAAUCCUUUGUUGAAAAACUGCAAAAUGCCUUGAAAGAAUCUUUUGAUAAAAACAAGCAGUUAAAACAGAAAAUUACUUUUCUCAUUCAUGAAAAUGCAAGUCUUCUUCAACAAAAUAAACAACUAAAGACUGACAAUGAAUGUCUUGUAAGAGCCGGAUUUGAUGUUCAAAAUGAGCUUGAUAGAAAGACAAGUAUUUGUGAAAUGCUGAACGAAAGACAUGGUGAUUUGAAAAAAAGAAUGGACAACUUGGAUGAGACUUUGAAAGCAAGAAAGCAAGAUUUUCUCAAAAAGAACAUGUCAUCUACCUUUCUUACUGCUCAACAAAGAAUAUUAGCACACAACAAAAAUGCACAUGAUUUCACAACAUAUAGAAGAAAUGGAUUGAGAUAUGUCAAACCAUUACAUGUUAAGGACUCUUCCAUUAUGUGUGGUUUUUGUUGUCAAAAAUGGCAUUUGAAAGGAGAUUGCUAUGUGAAAAGAAAUCUGAACAAAGGGAUGAGAUGCAUGUGGUUAGUUAGACACAAUGCUAACUAUUGUGGACCCAAAAAUUAAAAAGGGUACCAAACACUUUCUCUUUUCAGGAAAAAGGCUCAAACAAGUCCAAAUGGUUUAUUGAUAGUGGCUGCUCAAGGCAUAUCACCGGUGAUCCCUGUGACGGCCCCACCUUCCCCUAAAGCGUACCCCAGGGUUCGGCGGGCCGCCUGCCCGGCUCUCGCCGGGACUCAGUCGUUCACUAAAGUCCUCAAAUGAAUUACAAGAAUAAACCUCAAAUAUACAUCACAUGGUCCACAAAUAUACACCCAAGUCUCCAAUAAUUACAUGUCACAAAUGCAGCGGAAACUAAUUCCCAACUAUACAUCAAAUGAUUCCCAAUCCAAAACUGUACAAGAUAUAGGCCAUCCAGUCACGUGAACAAGUACUACAAGUCCUUCCUUCGCCACGAGCCCUGUGGAGGGGAAUAAAAUAUUUUUGGGGUGAGCUAGAAGCUCAGCGAGUAACCAUUAAAAUCAGUAAUCAAAUCGGUUUCACAAUAGUUCAUUUCAAUGAUGUCAUAUAUCCAUGAUGUCAUAAAUCAAGUGAUAAGUCCAGAAACAACUACAUCAUUUGCAAAACAGUAAAUGUGGAUUAUCAAUAAUUCAAGAAACAUUUACAAUGGAAAGCGAUAGUAACAUUCAUGAAAGGAUACAUUAAUUCUCCUGACAUUUCCUCGCUCAUUUGGUCAUUCAUUUCAUUUCAUUCACCCCGUCCCUGGCUUUUGGCCAGGCUCCACCAACCUACAUAGGUAAUACUCGAGUAUACCAAACGUUCACCCAAGUUCCUAAUCGCCUGACCGAGUCCGCUUCUGGCUCAAGACGACCGGUAACAAGGGGCAAUGGCCAGUUCAGCCCAAAAGGCUUACAUUCAUGCGCAAGUAACAUUUCAAUCGAAAAUUUCACAUUUAUCGAGGUCAACUGCGAUAAAGUACACACUCGCCUCGAAAACUCGUUUUGGAAAUCAUUAUAAGCGCUUAACACGUUAUCAACCAAAAUACAAGUCAUGAAAUCAAGAAAUAUAGCAAACAAGGCACACUCACAUGCCAGCACGCAUGAUAUGCAAGAAAACAUUUCAAAAGUAACUUUGGAAACAGUUCAAAAGUAAAUAAUGUAAGAAACGGUUCAUAAAUAACUUUAGAAGUAGUUUGAGGUCACUCACCUCCAUGGCUCAGAAAUCAUCCAUCAUAUAACAGUGCCUUGCUCAAAUCCAAGUCUUAGAUCACAAACUCAAAGCAAUCAAACCCUUUAAAACUUCGGACAGCACUUCCCCUAAAUUUGCUUACUUUCCCAGCCAUCAUGGCUUCAUUAUCCUUCUCAUUCAAAACCAAAGGUACACACACAACAACAAGUUCAUCCAAUAGCCAUUCAGCAAGUUCCAAGAAGUACAAAGACAUGUCAAGCUAGGGAAAAGUCCGGAAAUGAAAGUUAAGCUCAAAACCAGAAAAAUAGGUUUUGACGUCAUUUUGCGGUAAUGGCACCAAAGGCACUACGAUUGUCGGAUAAAGGUCCAAGACCCACCGUUUCGAAGCUAAGAGAUAGGGUUACAAUAUUGUAGAAGGUCACUCAACCCAGUUUCGAGUGUAACCAGGUCAAAAAUGUAAGAUACUAUACCAGAAUCACAAAAACAGGUUUGCAAAACGCAUUCUAGCGUAAACAUCAUAACUCAGCCUACACAAGUCCAAAUCCAGAAAUUCCAAAACCAGCUGAAAUCUAAGAAACAGGGUUACAUUUCAUCAGAAGACCUCAACAACCAAUUCAGAAGCAAUUCCAGCGAAACAACCAAUUACAGUCGCAGAUUUCCAAUUCUGGGUAAACCAGAACAGCAAUAGUAAUUUCGACUUAUCUCAUUCCACGCUACUCCGAUUGACCUGAAAUUUUGUAGGUACCUCUAAAAUGUCAUUCCCUACAACUUUCAUGUUUUAAGCCAAGGCCAAUUCGGCCUCUAACAUGGUGCAAUAAAUUCGGGCAGAAUGUAGCUUCAUGAACCCUAACUUUCCAAAAUUUAUUCCAAAACAGAAAUUGGUUGCAAUUUUCCACUUUUUCCACCUCAUAGAGUCCUUAAACAUCAUUUCCAAUCAUCAUAUAUAGCCACACAAUCAUAUCCAUAUGAAAACAGAAAAAUCCCCAAAAAUUAUAAAACUUCACCAAUUCAACCAAAAUCAAGUUUUGAUCCAUAAACUUGCAUCUCCUACCAUCACCAAGCAUGAAUUUAACAUCAUUAGAGGGAGGAGAGGUAUUCAUCCACUACUCACCUUAGUAAAACAAGAGAGAGAGCAACUAGGCACCAUAACUUUCCAAACAACUUCACAACCAAGCUCAACUCCACCAAACUAAGAGGUUUUAUGGAGUAAUUUGCAAUUUAAUCGGUUGGAACUCAAGAUUUGAGCAAGAAUUGAAGUUGAAGUUGAAGAAACUCUCUCUUGUUCUUUCUCACCAAAAAUUUCGGCCAAGACAAUAAAAAUGGAAGAAAUUGGGUCAAAAUUUGGUUUAGUAAAGGUUAAGACAAGUCCAAGUCAAAGUCAAGGUCCAAGAUUAAAUCACAAGGUGACACUUGUCACCUUUUGGUUCAAAACUUAUCUUUUUGUCUCUCCAAUACAAAUAUCUUAACACCUUGUAAAAUAAUAUCACUUAAUACAAAAUUCCUACAAGUUUUCAAAAAUAUAAUGCAUUUACCGUACUAGCGGGUCCCACGUCCAAAAUACGCUUUUAAUUUCUCAAAAACUAACCGAUACUAGAAAAAUCAUUUUAAAACUAUUUUUUCUCAUAAACUUUAUCUGGGGAAUUUUUCUAAUCAAGAAAAUGUAGAAAAGGCGAGCAUUAAAAAAAAUAAACCCUAGAAAAUUAGAAAAUUUCCGGGUUCUCAAACUCAUUUUUUUCGGGGCGUCACAAUCUCCCCUCCUUAAAAGAAUGUCGUCCUCGACAUUCCCUCUUGUACCAAUCAAGUCAAGACAUCCCGCACAAAUCUCUCAAGAGUCAAAUCAAACCCACAGUCCGGCAUCCUAAACUUCAAGCCUAGGAUACACUACAGAGAUCUGAAACCUAAGCUCUGAUACCAACUGUGACGGCCCCACCUUCCCCUAAGGCGUACCCCAGGGUUCGGCGGGCCGCCUGCCCGGCUCUCGCCGGGACUCAGUCGUUCACUAAAGUCCUCAAAUGAAUUACAAGAAUAAACCUCAAAUAUACAUCACAUGGUCCACAAAUAUACACCCAAGUCUCCAAUAAUUACAUGUCACAAAUGCAGCGGAAACUAAUUCCCAACUAUACAUCAAAUGAUUCCCAAUCCAAAACUGUACAAGAUAUAGGCCAUCCAGUCACGUGAACAAGUACUACAAGUCCUUCCUUCGCCACGAGCCCUGUGGAGGGGAAUAAAAUAUUUUUGGGGUGAGCUAGAAGCUCAGCGAGUAACCAUUAAAAUCAGUAAUCAAAUCGGUUUCACAAUAGUUCAUUUCAAUGAUGUCAUAUAUCCAUGAUGUCAUAAAUCAAGUGAUAAGUCCAGAAACAACUACAUCAUUUGCAAAACAGUAAAUGUGGAUUAUCAAUAAUUCAAGAAACAUUUACAAUGGAAAGCGAUAGUAACAUUCAUGAAAGGAUACAUUCAUUCUCCUGACGUUUCCUCGCUCAUUUGGUCAUUCAUUUCAUUUCAUUCACCCCGUCCCUGGCUUUUGGCCAGGCUCCACCAACCUACAUAGGUAAUACUCGAGUAUACCAAACGUUCACCCAAGUUCCUAAUCGCCUGACCGAGUCCGCUUCUGGCUCAAGACGACCGGUAACAAGGGGCAAUGGCCAGUUCAGCCCAAAAGGCUUACAUUCAUGCGCAAGUAACAUUUCAAUCGAAAAUUUCACAUUUAUCGAGGUCGAGUGAGAUAAAGUACACACUCGCCUCGAAAACUCGUUUUGGAAAUCAUUAUAAGCGCUUAACACGUUAUCAACCAAAAUACAAGUCAUGAAGUCAAGAAAUAUAGCAAACAAGGCACACUCACAUGCCAGCACGCAUGAUAUGCAAGAAAACAUUUCAAAAGUAACUUUGGAAACAGUUCAAAAGUAAAUAAUGUAAGAAACGGUUCAUAAAUAACUUUAGAAGUAGUUUGAGGUCACUCACCUCCAUGGCUCAGAAAUCAUCCAUCAUAUAACAUUGCCUUACUCAAAUCCAAACAAACUCAAAGCAAUCAAACCCUUUAAAACUUCGGACAGCACUUCCCCUAAAUUUGCUUACUUUCCCAGCCAUCAUGGCUUCAUUAUCCUUCUCAUUCAAAACCAAAGGUACACACACAACAACAAGUUCAUCCAAUAGCCAUUCAGCAAGUUCCAAGAAGUACAAAGACAUGUCAAGCUAGGGAAAAGUCCGGAAAUGAAAGUUAAGCUCAAAACCAGAAAAAUAGGUUUUGACGUCAUUUUGCGGUAAUGGCACCAAAGGCACUACGAUUGUCGGAUAAAGGUCCAAGACCCACCGUUUCGAAGCUAAGAGAUAGGGUUACAAUAUUGUAGAAGGUCACUCAACCCAGUUUCGAGUGUAACCAGGUCAAAAAUGUAAUAUACUAUACCAGAAUCACAAAAACAGGUUUGCAAAACGCAUUCUAGCGUAAACAUCAUAACUCAGCCUACACAAGUCCAAAUCCUGAAAUUCCAAAACCAGCUGAAAUCUAAGAAACAGGGUUACAUUUCAUCAGAAGACCUCAACAACCAAUUCAGAAGCAAUUCCAGCGAAACAACCAAUUACAGUCGCAGAUUUCCAAUUCUGGGUAAACCAGAACAGCAAUAGUAAUUUCGACUUAUCUCAUUCCACGCUACUCCGAUUGACCUGAAAUUUUGUAGGUACCUCUAAAAUGUCAUUCCCUACAACUUUCAUGUUUUAAGCCAAGGCCAAUUCGGCCUCUAACAUGGUGCAAUAAAUUCGGGCAGAAUGUAGAUUCAUGAACCCUAACUUUCCAAAAUUUAUUCCAAAACAGAAAUUGGUUGCAAUUUUCCACUUUUUCCACCUCAUAGAGUCCUUAAACAUCAUUUCCAAUCAUCAUAUAUAGCCACACAAUCAUAUCCAUAUGAAAACAGAAAAAUCCCCAAAAAUUAUAAAACUUCACCAAUUCAACCAAAAUCAAGUUUUGAUCCAUAAACUUGCAUCUCCUACCAUCACCAAGCAUGAAUUUAACAUCAUUAGAGGGAGGAGAGGUAUUCAUCCACUACUCACCUUAGUAAAACAAGAGAGAGAGCAACUAGGCACCAUAACUUUCCAAACAACUUCACAACCAAGCUCAACUCCACCAAACUAAGAGGUUUUAUGGAGUAAUUUGCAAUUUAAUCGGUUGGAACUCAAGAUUUGAGCAAGAAUUGAAGUUGAAGUUGAAGAAACUCUCUCUUGUUCUUUCUCACCAAAAAUUUCGGCCAAGACAAUAAAAAUGGAAGAAAUUGGGUCAAAAUUUGGUUUAGUAAAGGUUAAGACAAGUCCAAGUCAAAGUCAAGGUCCAAGAUUAAAUCACAAGGUGACACUUGUCACCUUUUGGUUCAAAACUUAUCUUUUUGUCUCUCCAAUACAAAUAUCUUAACACCUUGUAAAAUAAUAUCACUUAAUACAAAAUUCCUACAAGUUUUCAAAAAUAUAAUGCAUUUACCGCACUAGCGGGUCCCACGUCCAAAAUACGCUUUUAAUUUCUCAAAAACUAACCGAUACUAGAAAAAUCAUUUUAAAACUAUUUUUGCUCAUAAACUUUAUCUGGGGAAUUUUUCUAAUCAAGAAAAUGUAGAAAAGGCGAGCAUUAAAAAAAAUAAACCCUAGAAAAUUAGAAAAUUUCCGGGUUCUCAAACUCAUUUUUUUCGGGGCGUCACAAUCUCCCCUCCUUAAAAGAAUGUCGUCCUCGACAUUCCCUCUUGUACCAAUCAAGUCAAGACAUCCCGCACAAAUCUCUCAAGAGUCAAAUCAAACCCACAGUCCGGCAUCCUAAACUUCAAGCCUAGGAUACACUACAGAGAUCUGAAACCUAAGCUCUGAUACCAACUGUGACGGCCCCACCUUCCCCUAAGGCGUACCCCAGGGUUCGGCGGGCCGCCUGCCCGGCUCUCGCCGGGACUCAGUCGUUCACUAAAGUCCUCAAAUGAAUUACAAGAAUAAACCUCAAAUAUACAUCACAUGGUCCACAAAUAUACACCCAAGUCUCCAAUAAUUACAUGUCACAAAUGCAGCGGAAACUAAUUCCCAACUAUACAUCAAAUGAUUCCCAAUCCAAAACUGUACAAGAUAUAGGCCAUCCAGUCACGUGAACAAGUACUACAAGUCCUUCCUUCGCCACUAGCCCUGUGGAGGGGAAUAAAAUAUUUUUGGGGUGAGCUAGAAGCUCAGCGAGUAACCAUUAAAAUCAGUAAUCAAAUCGGUUUCACAAUAGUUCAUUUCAAUGAUGUCAUAUAUCCAUGAUGUCAUAAAUCAAGUGAUAAGUCCAGAAACAACUACAUCAUUUGCAAAACAGUAAAUGUGGAUUAUCAAUAAUUCAAGAAACAUUUACAAUGGAAAGCGAUAGUAACAUUCAUGAAAGGAUACAUUCAUUCUCCUGACAUUUCCUCGCUCAUUUGGUCAUUCAUUUCAUUUCAUUCACCCCGUCCCUGGCUUUUGGCAGGCUCCACCAACCUACAUACAUAGGUAAUACUCGAGUAUACCAAACGUUCACCCAAGUUCCUAAUCGCCUGACCGAGUCCGCUUCUGGCUCAAGACGACCGGUAACAAGGGGCAAUGGCCAGUUCAGCCCAAAAGGCUUACAUUCAUUCGCAAGUAACAUUUCAAUCGAAAAUUUCACAUUUAUCGAGGUCAAGUGCGAUAAAGUACACACUCGCCUCGAAAACUCGUUUUGGAAAUCAUUAUAAGCGCUUAACACGUUAUCAACCAAAAUACAAGUCAUGAAAUCAAGAAAUAUAGCAAACAAGGCACACUCACAUGCCAGCACGCAUGAUAUGCAAGAAAACAUUUCAAAAGUAACUUUGGAAACAGUUCAAAAGUAAAUAAUGUAAGAAACGGUUCAUAAAUAACUUUAGAAGUAGUUUGAGGUCACUCACCUCCAUGGCUCAGAAAUCAUCCAUCAUAUAACAUUGCCUUGCUCAAAUCCAAGUCUUAGAUCACAAACUCAAAGCAAUCAAACCCUUUAAAACUUCGGACAGCACUUCCCCUAAAUUUGCUUACUUUCCCAGCCAUCAUGGCUUCAUUAUCCUUCUCAUUCAAACCAAAGGUACACACACAACAACAAGUUCAUCCAAUAGCCAUUCAGCAAGUUCCAAGAAGUACAAAUACAUGUCAAGCUAGGGAAAAGUCCGGAAAUGAAAGUUAAGCUCAAAACCAGAAAAACAGGUUUUGACGUCAUUUUACGGUAAUGGCACCAAAGGCACUACGAUUGUCGGAUAAAGGUCCAAGACCCACCGUUUCGAAGCUAAGAGAUAGGGUUACAAUAUUGUAGAAGGUCACUCAACCCAGUUUCGAGUGUAACCAGGUCAAAAAUGUAAGAUACUAUACCAGAAUCACAAAAACAGGUUUGCAAAACGCAUUCUAGCGUAAACAUCAUAACUCAGCCUACACAAGUCCAAAUCCAGAAAUUCCAAAACCAGCUGAAAUCUACGAAACAGGGUUACAUUUCAUCAGAAGACCUCAACAACCAAUUCAGAAGCAAUUCCAGUGAAACAACCAAUUACAGUCGCAGAUUUCCAAUUCUGGGUAAACCAGAACAGCAAUAGUAAUUUCGACUUAUCUCAUUCCACGCUACUCUGAUUGACCUGAAAUUUUGUAGGUACCUCUAAAAUGUCAUUCCCUACAACUUUCAUGUUUUAAGCCAAGGCCAAUUCGGCCUCUAACAUGGUGCAAUAAAUUCGGGCAGAAUGUAGCUUCAUGAACCCUAACUUUCCAAAAUUUAUUCCAAAACAGAAAUUGGUUGCAAUUUUCCACUUUUUCCACCUCAUAGAGUCCCUAAACAUCAUUUCCAAUCAUCAUAUAUAGCCACACAAUCAUAUCCAUAUGAAAACAGAAAAAUCCCCAAAAAUUAUAAAACUUCACCAAUUCAACCAAAAUCAAGUUUUGAUCCAUAAACUUGCAUCUCCUACCAUCACCAAGCAUGAAUUUAACAUCAUUAGAGGGAGGAGAGGUAUUCAUCCACUACUCACCUUAGUAAAACAAGAGAGAGAGCAACUAGGCACCAUAACUUUCCAAACAACUUCACAACCAAGCUCAACUCCACCAAACUAAGAGGUUUUAUGGAGUAAUUUGCAAUUUAAUCGGUUGGAACUCAAGAUUUGAGCAAGAAUUGAAGUUGAAGUUGAAGAAACUCUCUCUUGUUCUUUCUCACCAAAAAUUUCGGCCAAGACAAUAAAAAUGGAAGAAAUUGGGUCAAAAUUUGGUUUAGUAAAGGUUAAGACAAGUCCAAGUCAAAGUCAAGGUCCAAGAUUAAAUCACAAGGUGACACUUGUCACCUUUUGGUUCAAAACUUAUCUUUUUGUCUCUCCAAUACAAAUAUCUUAACACCUUGUAAAAUAACAUCACUUAAUACAAAAUUCCUACAAGUUGUCAAAAAUAUAAUGCAUUUACCGCACUAGCGGGUCCCACGUCCAAAAUACGCUUUUAAUUUCUCAAAAACUAACCGAUACUAGAAAAAUCAUUUUAAAACUAUUUUUGCUUAUAAACUUUAUCUGGGGAAUUUUUCUAAUCAAGAAAAUGUAGAAAAGGCGGGCAUUAAAAAAAAUAAACCCUAGAAAAUUAGAAAAUUUUCGAGUUCUCAAACUCAUUUUUUUCGGGGCGUCACAAUCGAUAAAUUUGUGAAGUUUUGGGGACUACUAUGCUUCAUGAUGUCAUAGGCUGUGAUUGUUGGCUGCUACAUGGUGGUGCUUAUGGAAGAUCAGCCGAUUCCAUUAUGAAGCAAGAAAAAAUAUUGAAGAAGAAAAAAAGGAAAUCCAUUAUAGUAAUAAAAAGAAAAUGGAAAAUAUCUAAUAGAUUCCCAUUGCAACGUAAUUACGAAACGAGUGAAAAGGAAUAGGCAAAACCUAUUACCAUUGAGGAACUUUUGAUACUCAUUGUCUUUGCCAUUGUGAAAUUCCAACCAAACGGGUGGUUAGUAGUUCAAGCAGAUAUAACCACUCCAUGUAAAGAUUUAGCAAGAGAUUGAAGCAGCACCCAUCCCAUCUUGUUCAUUAGGUACUACAACAGCUGAGAAAUUAGGUCCUUGUUAUCCUCAUUUGGGUAUCACGGUGUUCUAGCCUUCAGGUUUACUUGCUCAAAUAACUCUCCAGCUUUCUGAAAUACUGUUUUAUGACUUCUUUUUUGCAUUUCAUACAGCAUAAAACAGUGUCGCAUGACAGCAGUCUUGACUUUUUAAAGACCACUUCAAUAGUAAAUUAAAAAAAAAAAAAAGCAGAAACAACUGAAUGUUGUGCCCUUCAGAAGAGGGAUUCCCUCACUUGGGGCAGCAAAGACUUCAAUUUGUCUUGUCAAGGUUAUUGUAUAAUAUACAUCCUUAAAAAAAUGAAAAUGCAUGGUGUACACCAAGACAAUAUUAGGGGAUUGACAGCCACAUUAGAGAUUUUAACAUCCUCCAUCAAUUGCGAAAUAUAAAUAUAAAAAAAAUCAACCAAAAUGAGGCAACAUCUAUGUAGAAGACUCUAGUUUUGAAAACCAAACUAGUUGAGAUUCAGCCUAAAACCAGAAGGCGGUAGGCAUGUUAAGGGAAGCACAUUGCAAGAAAAAGAUUUAAAGAUAAAAAACAAAAAAUUGCCAAAAUUAAAAUAUUAAUCCCCGUCAAAAGAGGAGAUGACGGUAAGAGAAUGUUUCAAUUUAUUGAGUUCUAUUCUUUGUAUUUUUGUCUGUCAAUUUUGAGAACAAGAUCAUUUAGAAAUUUCUGCAGUAAGUGUACUUAUAUUAUCAUUUAAUCACUCUUAGUAACCACUACUUGUUUGGUAGUAAAUGGCUUUGAUCUUUAUGAACGAGCGUUAACUACAAAUGGAAAAUGUUAAAGUAACAAAUUGCAUUUCAGUUUCACAUAAACCUUAUCAGGUAUAAGCAACAGAAAGUGCGAACUGACUCAGCCAGAUACCAGUGUCAGAUCUACCAGGAGAUAGAUAGUUUAUGAGUUCAUUCAAAUGUUAACCAAACAAAUUCUCUAUUAAAAUUUUUAAUUCAUCUCCAAAUAAUGCUCCCCACCCCCCACAAAAAAGAAAAUUCCUUGAUGACAGUAAACAUGCUUAUUUAGAAUCAGGCAGUGGAAAUAAAGCCAAUUUACAAGGUUCUGUAUGAUGACAUUUCAUUGCAAACCUUGGGCUUGGCUAGAAGAAGCACAUCACGAUGGAUGCCGAUAACCACCAGUGAUCCUGAUCCUCAAGGUAAGAACCAUCACUCCAUCGCAUCACUUGCGCAGCUAGGGAAUUUCUCUUGCCAGAUCCACAUGGAUGACAAAAUCUGUGAUCUCAAAUUCACCAGGUAGUCUACUAUCCUGACUGAAUCAGGGAAAAUCAAAAUAAAUAAAGUUAACAUUUCAUACCACAUGAAAAUGCACAAAUAUAGUCGGUAUACAUAUGCAGCAUCAAUAGCUCCUGAAGUUUAGGGCUUUCAAAUGUUUUAGGAGGCUUUAGGAGAGCUUUCAUCAUUUCAGUGUCAUCCAACAAAUGUGGAAAAAAUUAAUUCAUCAUCUACCAGGCUAUGGUGCCAGAAUAUUUUUAAGCAACUGUCAAUUAAGUGAAAUUAACAAAAAGAAAAUCUUCUUUGACAUUAACCUUGGAAUUGGGAACUUCAGCACAAGUUCAAAAAUAAGUCAAGUGACUCAAUGACUUUCCAUUUACAAUCAAACAUUGACUGAUUGAAAGGAUCCACAUAUCCAACACGGUUCUCACUUUACCUCCUAGUGCAAUACAACGUUCAAUAUUACGAUGCAUGUACAAAUUCAACCAGAGAUGUCAUCCAAGGAUGAUUGCCGUGGGUACAUUUUAGAUGUUACGCGGAGAAUGCAGUUUCCUAUUUCAUAUAGACUCACAUUAGGUAUAGAUUGUUGUGUCACACAAUUAACGUGCACAGAUGCCAGUACACUGGAUUCCAUUGGAUACAUUAUGAGUAAAGCAUGUUUGAAGGACGACAAGUAUUACACCCACAUUGCUAGAACUGUAAUCUUAGCGAAAGUUAAUUACUUUUAUCGAUCACAUAGUAAUAAUUGCCCAACUUCAAAAGGAUAACUUUCUAAGUAAUUAAGCAGUUUCAGUAGCUUAAUCAGAAAUUAUUAUCUCUAAAAUGACAUAUUCUGAAAAGUCAUAAAAUUCAGCAGGUGGCAAAUAUUCUACACAUCACAUUUUUGCCUUAUUCUUUCGCAUAUUCGUCAAAAACAAAAGCAUUAUGUAUACAGUUUACAUCCGCGAAGUAAACAACAUGCCAAAUCAUAAUAGUCAUGCUGUUAUAAAAAUUCUCAACGACAAUAGCACUAAAUCUGAUUAGUUGGUCCAUAACAACUGACAUAGACAUCUAAAAAGCAAUGUAACAUAACAUAUAUGCCUACCAUGGCCGAACAUAGCUUUUAUUUAUUAGACAGGCUUGUGCAUCUUAGGUGCUGUUUUAUACAAGUAACAACUAAAAUACAGCUCCAUAAAUGCUCAAAGGUAAACUCAGAAGCAUAAAAUCUUAAUUUCUGUUCAAAAUCUUUGGUCAAAUCAAAAACCUGAAAUUGAGCACUACACUUAUCAAUCACUUUGAGAAUGGUUAUAAGUUAAAAAGUGAAAACUAUUUCUUUAAUGAUUUUCUUUUGAGGCGAACGGAUGAUAGACGAAGCAAGAAGGGGAAAUGAGGAUGGUCACAAAUUGAACCUUUAUCAUAAAAAACCGCUUAAGCACUCUGCUAUGCAACACCCUAUUCUCGAAUUUUUAACUAUCUGACAUUCAUAUUUUUUUCCCUCAUCGCUUCCGUCCACAACAUUGAAUAAUUACUCGUAGCCAUGUUAUCAAGAACAAAAAACAUUACAAAGAGUAUAGAGCUCAGCACUCAUCCUUCAUAUUUUCUGGCCAGAAAAAGAUGAUUCAAAGCCUUCAUGCAUCAAGGCUGAAUAGCAAAUUAGGAACAUAUAUACUCUGUUCAUCUCCACAUACACUAUAAUAAAUAACUGUAUAGAUAUGCAUGUUUCCAUACAUAGAUGUGCAUAUGUAAUUCGUAACAGAAGCUUCACAAGUUAAAAUUCUCAUCUAGACUCACAGUCAUUCUUUAAUGACAUGCAACAAUGUCCUAUGUUUGCGUCUCCAGUUUACAUUUAUACAAUAAAAUUUUGAUCAUAUUGUUUAUCUUAUGUUAUCAAGAAGAAAAAUACAUCACGAAGAGUUUAGAGCUGAGCGCUCAUCCUUCAAAUUUUCAGGCCGGAAAAAGAUGAUUCAAAGCCUUCAUGCGUCAAGGCUGAAUAGCAAAUCAGGAACAUAUAUACUCUAUUCAUCUCUGCAUACACUGCAAUAAAUAACUAUACAGCUAUGCAUGUUUCAGUACAUAGAUGUGCAUGUGUGGUGUAUAACAGAAGCUUCACAAGUUAAAGUUCCCACCCAGAUCAACAAGUCUGUUUGCAAUUCUUUAAUGACAAGCAGAGAUGUCCCAUAGUUGCUACUCCAGUUUAGAUUUAUAGGAUAAAAAUUUCGCCAUAUUAUUUAUUUUAUGUACACACCAGAAUUAUUUUCGUGGCAUGCACAUCUAAAAGUUACUACUGGAAAGUCAUAAUUAAGCUUUUCACAUAGAGAUGAGGAGUCUGCAUCAACUUGAGGUGCAAAGUUGACUUGUGCAGCCUCUAUAACAUGUGGCUCUGCAUGUAUCAGCAUUUACUUGUGCUUUGUGAAGUAUGAAGCUCAUCUGUCUUGCAGAGUUCAAAUAUGAUGUUACUCCACCGACUCUCCAAGGUUCAAUUUGCUGUAGUUGAGGAUUUUGUUUUUGAACCGUUCUAAUUGAUAUCAUCAGUUUUGCAGGUUGAGUUUAUCCUUGUGUUGGGCUUAGGAAUAUUUAAUAGUCCAGUCACAAGGCUACUGCAGAACUUGGAUUUCUCUUAAAUUAGUAUAUUGACCUUUCAUUAUUAGAGUGGACUCAGAUUCACUUUUGCUGUCUAAGUUUCUUUGCGGAAAAACACAGCUACUGCUGCCUUCUUGUUUCCUAUCAGCAGCUGAUUUAUUUGUUUCUGUCAGCUGGUGUUGUAUUCAAAAUACUUGAUAUAACCUUUUCUAGUCUACUGCAUCACAAAGUAAACAUCAUUGCCAUUGGCCCAACUAGUUGCAGCACCAUCUAGGGGAACCCAAGUCAUUAUGUAAAAUAUUUCACAAUUAAUCCGUGGCUUGUUUAGUUUUGAAAUUUGAGUGCAGCCUUUUUUCAGGCUGUUUGUAGUUCAGAUUUUCGUUCAAUAGAAAGCAUUGCAAGCACUUCAAACUCUAACAGUUCAACUAUCAAAACCCAAAAUCCAGCCCCAAAUGUUGAAAACUGUUGAAAUUAUUUUAUUAUGAGUUUUAACUGUUAAUAAGUAAUACUGAUUAAUAUCCUGUUAGUUGAGGGAAUUGUCACAAAUUACAAAUUUUUAUUGGUACAAUCGGGAGACAGUAUUUUCUCUCAAAAUACUUUGAAAUAUGGUAGAUCAUUAGAUUAAAAUAUGGACCCAAACAUAUUUGGUGAUAGCAGAAAAGCAAUCAUGCCUCUAGAGUGAACAAACUUCUUAGUUCUGUCUUGAGAAAUGUAAAUGCUUCUGUCUUCAUUUAUCUCUUGAGAAGCCCAAACAACUUGGCACAAAAUACUAGGACAUCACUAAACUAUUAUGAGUCUCAAAGUUUGGCCACUCAACUAGUUUGAAUCUUAAAUAAUCAUCUAAACUGUUAAAAGCAUGAUCUUCAAGCUGGUCCAACUAAAUACCUGUGCAUUAGUUGGAAAAGGCACGUGCUUAAUAGGUUAGAUGCUUCCAAAAAAGUAGUUAGGACGCACCUCAUUCCCUCCACAAACAACUUCCUCCAAAAUCAACUUCCUUAUUUUACCUGUGCACAUGUCCUUUAGUUUUGUUUUACAUCUGCAAAUUAUGCAGGUGAAUGGGGUACGAGUUUCAUUGUGGGCAUUGGAAGGGAGGCUACCAUCCAUUGUCCAAAGGGGAAGGCCAAGGGGAAGGGAGAUAGAUUGGGAUGAGGUGGCAGUGAGAGAUGCAGAUUGGUUCAGAGACAUCAAUAGGUGUUGGGAUGAUGAGCGGGAAGGUGGGAGUCAGAAGAGUUGAGAACAGUUUGUGGUAAAAGAGCUAGGGGGUCUGCAUGGAGGCCGUGUUGAGAGAAAGGAGAUAUUUAGGAUGAGGUAAAUGCUGGGGGACAGGGACGCAGAUUGGUCAGAGGCAUUGGUAGGUGCUGAAAGUCAUGCGAGCAGUGAGGGGGGCGGGAAGAGUUUACAGGCAUGUUUUCUUUGGAGGUAGUAAGAUCAGCAUGGAGAUUGGGUUGCUUUGUGUUGGCAGGGUGAAAACAGAAGUGAGGGGUGAGGCUGUUUCUUGUGAAAUUGAUGGGCAUGUCAAGUGGGACAGGGAUCGCAGAUGUGAGCGUUUGGAAGGGGAAGCGGAUGAUGGUAUUCUGGGUUGAGGUGCUGGGGUGGCACAGGGAUGCAAUUGAUAAUGUUGACACAAAAAGUUUAAUUACACUUGUGGAUCUCAAGUAUCUAUAUUUCUCUCUAACUAAAUGGUUUAACUCGGUGAAAAGACUAAGGAUCAAUUGAUUUAUUUGAGAUGCUAAAACCAUAUCAUGAGGAUAGUUUAAUUGCACCCUAGGUUUGACACCCCAUAACAGAAAAGGGUUUUUCAAUUUAUGGGCUUCUUCUUUCCUGACCAUCCAAGAUAGCAUUCUGCAUUCUGUGGGAGUUUGAGUGGUGGUAAACUUAGGUCUGGGAAAGAGUGGCCAAUCUCUUACACAGGACCUGAUAGUUCGCCACAGGAAGGAUGCUGUUACUCCUGCAAUAUCCUCUCAUGAGCAGCCCCUUGUGCACCAGUUACUGUUGCUCUCCACACACACACACACAGAUGAAAGUAACUUAAUUACUAAAAAACGGAGACAAAAAGAGAGCUACCUCGAAUCUCUGCCCAACUGCUGGCUUUCUGGCUUUUUUCAUGGAUACUUAAUCUAUGUUCUCGUUGUUGAGAAAAGAUUUUGGAAUAAAUUUUGUGGGUGUUUGGACUCACUUUAAGGGUAAACUUAAGUCGUAGUCCCACCUCGAGUCUGCCUGAUUGGUUUCUAUGUUCUUUUUGCUGAGAAAAGAUUUGGUAAAAAUUUUGUGGGUGUUUGAAACUUAAGCCCUGGUCCCACCUCGAGUCUGCCUGCUUGGUAGAUCUCUGGCUAUCUUCUACAAAACUAAAUGUAAAUCUGUGAUCUGCUUUCAGAGGAAAAAUUAAAAUAUGAAUUUUCUCUGUUUUCGAAAUGAUUUAGAAGGUGGCCAAGUGGCGAGCCGCAAUCGUUUUUUUGCUUUCCAUUGGUGAUCAUCCGCCCAUCUUCAGAUAGAUCCAAUCUAGUAUCCGUAUUCGUUGCAGAAAUUAAAGUGAUGAAGUAUAUUCAAACAAAAAGUCCUACAGGAGGUGCCAGCAGCCGGUGGUGCGUGGCAGCUUGGGCGGCUGACCCACUGACCAUGAUAAAGGACCUUCUUUGAAAAAGAGAUCUAUUUUAGGGACUGAGUUGCAAUUAAUUUUUUAACUCUAGAUGUAAUUGAGACAUUAUUAUGGAAAUUUAACUACAUGCCUCCUUUUUUUAUAAUUGACAAACAGAACCAAUUUCUCCAAAAAUAAAUUUGCCAACAGUUAUAUCCUAAUAACAAAAAUCAAAUCUUCUCCCUUAUUCCUAAUUCUCCCAAAAGUUUAUGCUUCAACCAUUUCUCAUAGAGAGGACUAGUUAAGUACCAACCAAGAUAAGAUAAAGACAGCCUAAAGCAGGUUCUAUACAACGUCAAUAAUAAUAAUAAUCUCAACUUAUGGGAAAAGUUUUGCAUCACCGACCUGUAUCCAACAGGUACACCAUUCACCCAAGCAAAGAAGGCAGAAUCAACAGCUUCAAAAUGAAGAAAUAUCCUCCGACCUGUCCAACAUUUUAGACAUUGCAUCAUAACAAUGAAAACGAAUGAACAGAUGCUUAGUUAUAUGUCAUGUAAUGAUAAGAAUCACAAAGAAUUUGAAAACUCAAAACAGUAUUAAUCAAGGCCAGAAAGUUCAAGGGCUAGAGACACAUAAUAGCCCAGUGGGAAUACACUUGUAUGUUACAGCCUUAUGGGAGAAAAUGCAAGUUCCCACAAUGUGCACAGAAGUAUGCAGGUUCCAUAUUUAGAUAUUUCUUUUUGGGUUGGGGGGGGGGGGUGGGAAUCAGGAAAGAGAAUGGUAAAGAGGAUCAUUAGAUUGGUAGAAUAAUAUUCAAGACAUGCAAACAUUAACGUCAUUGUGAAGUGGGGAGUCUCUUUCAAAUUAAGAAACAGCAGUAAGAAAGAAUUACCAAUAAAGGAAGAAAAGAAUGCCUACUAAGUUCCUACCUUCUCUUUCUCCUUGUCUAUCUCUGUCUCUCUCAAGUUUCAAAAGGCCACAUUUUCAAAUAAAUGCUCAAUAUAAUGUUGAACAAUGAGUUCAAUAUCAAAUGUUAAACUGUUCUCAAAAUUUUGCUAGCUUGUUCAUCUUGAGUAGACUUCAAGGAUUGGAUUCUAUAACUUGAUUGCUCUAAUAUCUCCAUGAUCCAUUGGAUUACUAGUCAGUGCAUAUGGUCAGAACAAUAGAUCUUCAUAAUUUGUAUAUAACCAAUCUCCACAUAAGUUUAGAUAAAGCCAAAUAUGUGCUUCAUGCAAAGUGUCUAUCAUUCAAGUUGUGAAGCUAACUGCCUGUACUAUGUCAGCAUUACCAUGUAAUGUAUAACUAGCUAUAUGAAGUCAUAUGAAAGGGUUUCUACCAUUGUCUAAAACCACCUAAUAUGAACCAUGAUACCUUAUACUUUGGAGUUUAGCUAUAAAGCUGGUUAGCAAAAGCAAAUUAUCAAACAAAAAAAGGAGAGAAGGAAAAAAUGAAUCUUCCAGCCACAAAAACUGCAUUUUCUGCGUUGCUAAGCAUAGUAGUUUUCGGUCAAUCAGUCAUUGAUCCUUUCAGAUUAGAUACACAAAAAUGGCCCUUGUGCAAGCAACGGUCUCCAGAUCUAGCUGAUAACAGAAGCUUCUUGAACAAUGUUUUCCUUUUCGAUUUUCGAGUGAAAUUGCUAUCAGGAGAUCAAAAACCAUCUAUUCAUGUCUUUGUUACAAUUACGAUCUUCCUUUGCAAAAGAGCAUGGCAUCAGAAUUCAUUUUCCAGGUUCAUUCUAAUCGUUUCUGUUCAUUGAUCCUUAUCAUGCAAGAACAAAGGCAUAAUAUACUAUGAUACAAUAAGUUGAGUAAAACGUAUGUCAUGAUGAUCCUAACAAGGCAUUCAGUACAGCCACCAAUCUAGGCCAUGCCACAUCAGCAAAGUGGGAGAAAAUCUCUCAUUUAUUUCUUCCAAGGCCCAUUUCCUUGCACUACUCCAACACUCUGACGUCCCUUUAUUUUCCUCAGUAUUAUCCACUCCUCUGUUUCCUUUUUUUCCCCUUCAAAUCUGUUAAUUUUGUUCUUUUCUUUUAACAUUCUUAAAAUGACAAAAAAAUCUAAGAUUUUCUUCUUUUUUUCCCUUUACUUUAGAUGGAUUUCUAUAGUUCGAUAUUACAAAGUUACUGAUUUAUCAGUUAAUAUUAAUUAAAUAUUUACUUGUUUUGUGUAUAGCAAGAAUAUUUGCAAUUACUUAAAUAAUUGACAAACUAGUAAUUGAGUUAUUCACAUACAAUGCAAGAACAGAUCUCAGAAAUAAAGGGAUGUUAAGUGUUAAGAGUAGUGGAAGGAAGUGGCCUUGGAAUAAAUGAGAGAAAUUUUCUCCCACUUUGCUGAUUUGGCCUGGCUAGAUUGGUGGCUAUACUCAAAGCCAUGUUAGGAUCACCCUGGUAUACUUUUUAGUCUAACCAACUGCCAAGCAUUUUCUGUAAGUUGUCAUGUGCUUGUAAUGAGAUUCAAAAGAGAGCUUUGACAUCAACUAUAAACAGAAUUUAAAUAGACUAAGAGCUCCAUAUGAGAUUUGAAUAACAAAAACUGUAUGAAAUUAUAAAAGUCAAUACAAUCAACUUCCAUCAAUUAAAACACAGACUUUUCAUGUUGGUUCUGUUAAUAUUUUGGUCCUCUAUUUUCAAAAAUUAUACCAAAUGUGAGAAUCAGAUAUAGAGAAGCCUAAGCAUGACCGUCAUUUUGCCAAUCCAUCGGGUACACAACUCUUUAAGCACAUUACCAAUGCCAACACCCAAGGUAGUAGGCCUUAUAUUGAGGUACCAAAGGGAGUAUAUAGGUUGCCAGUAUCCAAUGAAUGUCUAGCUCUUGGCUAACCAAAUAUCAGAAUCAAUAACAAAUACUUCUAUCUUUAGUUCAGUCCAGGUAGUAACUCUCUGAUGAUGGGGGAAAUUAAACAAAUCUCAUCAUAAGUCAAAACUGGCUAACCAAAAAUGUGAAACGAACUAAAUAUAAUUUCUAUCUUGGAUACAUUUCUAGACACUAAUUCAUUAAGGGAAAAAUGUAAACUAAAAUACCUUCAAGUUAACUCGAGAAACUGAAGGUUCCACAUGUUUUUUCUAUACAAAACAAUUGAUUUGAUGCAUUCUUGGUAGACAGUUGUAAAAACUACCAGGGAGCUUGAUAUGGUUGUAAAAUGUGAAAGUGGGCUCUUUGUGUUCCCACACUUGGGUUGUUGUUGCUGAUUAGAUGAUGAAUGUUGGAUUUAAUGGUAGUUUAAUGGUUAUAAUGAUGGAUUCAUGGAGUAUUAUUGUUGGAAACUCAAAGUAGAGGUCAUGACAAGAAAUUUCCGAAACUGCCCCUGUUUUGUUCGGCCAUGAUAAGGCUCAUUUUUGGUGAUUUAUUGGCAUGAACCUGAUGUUUAUAUGUUAUAUUAUAUGUGUAAAAAUUUUCGUUGCAAAACAUUAACGUUUGGAUGGGCAAAUGAAUUUAUUCGUGAACUAGGCAAGCUGGAAAAUUAUUUUCGGGUGAACGUGUCCAGCGGUAGCAUUUUGACCAUAACUCUGUCCUCGGGUGUCGAAAUCAAGUGCUGUUGGUGGCGUUUGAAACUAAACAUUCCUGGCUUUAAUUUGAGAUAAAAUGCACAUUCUGAUUCUUUGUGAGUGAUCCGAACCAAACGUUUUAAGAUAGCUGUCCUGUCUCUCGGAUUUGCUGGAAUGGCUUGUAGAGGCAGAAACUUGAGGCUCAAUUUCGAGCUGGUUGCUUGCCGAAUUUCAGAACAUUUCCUUCUGUGAACUUUUAGUCCUGUGAAUUUAUUUUCCAACGUCAUAAACCAUGCUCUAUUCCGAGUUAAAUUGAUUGAUUUGUGACCAAAACAAGAGGACUGCCCUGUUUUGGAAAAACGUAGUAUUUGGACUGAUUUGGGGAAAAACUUGGGAAUGAUUUUAUUAAUUGAAGUCUUGAUGCUCAUCACUUACCAAAGGUAUCAUGAAUGUAUUAUAGACCUUUAUUUCACAAAUGAACCAUGGUUGGAUAGUUUUCAUGGUUAAACGAUUUGAAUUGGAAAUGGAAGUCACAAGGCAGAUUGCCUUAGAAUUUUUCCUGAACUUUGGUUGACUAAUUAACUAUCUUUCCGAAGGUAUUUUUCCCUGAAAUUUGAUAGAGCGGUACCUUUCAUAUGGGAGUAAAUUACUGCCAAUUUUGGUACCAAUCCAAGUUCGUUUCGAUACCUAAUUAAAUUUCUAGUGUUGGAGGUUCAAAUCUGGAAAUUCUUCUCCAGUCUUGAAUUUCCCCAACUUUGAGCUACCGUAUCUCGGUACUCGAAACUCCGAUUCUUGAUCCGCUUGUUUUGUUAUAAACCUCACUUGCAACUCUAAUUGAGUGACAAAUUUCAGAAGCUGGUUUGCAACGUGUGAAUCGUGCCGAAUUUUCAAAGUUGGCCGAAAUCCAACUUAAUUCUGCCUUGUACGCCGAACCUGCAUCUUCAAGCUCAUUUUUGAGUACUUUCCACUUAGAUUCAUGGAAAGGUGUCUUCUAAUAACUUUAGCACUUUCCAAAAGGUUUCCAAUGGUAUAAAGUUUACCAAUUUUGGACUUAUAUCGAGAGAGAUUCGAAUUUUCAAAGAUUUAGGAUAAAACUGAAAUUUCUCAAUUUUCAAGGCAAAGGAGUUUUUCCAAAACUCUUAAUUCUCCUAGUAUUAUUCAAACGUUUUGCCUCGAUUUUCAUGAUAAAAACUCAAAUAAUAUUGUACAUAAUAAAAGGCAAGUUGAACCUCGAUUUACGAGUAAUUGAGUUUCCUUUUGUGAAAUAAUCUUAAGAUUGUACUAGUGUACAAUCUUUCCUUGAUAAUUGGAUAAUUGUGUGACUAUCCACUAUUAAUUGCCAGGCGCACAAGGAGACCUUCAAGAGGAUCUCACAGUGGACACUUGAACUCCCAGAAAAUAAUUCUUAUUGAAUUGCUCGGUGAGUGUCAAGUGUGUGAAUCUUUGAUACUUGCUUAUUUGUGGUAAUUGUUGGAAGUUUUAAAAAUAAGGGCGGGUGCGUACUUUAUCGCACUCGUUCUAAUUUCAAAUGAAUGAUUGAAAUGUAUUGAAUGAAUGAAAUGUAUUGAAUGAAUGAAUGAAAUGCAAUGUUAUGUUAUGAUUACAUAUGUCGUUGGAGUGAACCUCCUCGACUUUCAAAUGAAUGGGGGACGCCCAAACUCAUAGGCCAACCUUAGACUCGAGCCGGCAAUGGGCUUGGUCGGGGACUUGGGCGAGCCAUGAGAUAUAUAUAAGCUCGACCUAAUGAGAGGUCUUGCUUGGCAUACUCGUGGAGUAUCGCCUUAUAAAUGACUUGUGGGCCCUUGAGGUGUACGGUGGACGGAGGGAAGUAAGUGGUGAUCUACGGUAAUAGAAAUACCGACCCGGUUGACAGGAGGGUCAACGCGGGAAGGUAUACGAAUGACAUCGGCAGAUCGAGUGGAACUUAGCUCCUGAGAGCUACUAUAUCCUUGAAUUGUUUCUGAUUACUUUUCCUGUUCAAAUGAUUGAUUAUUGAAGGGACAUGGUUUUAUUUAUUAAAUUUGGGAUUGCUAUUUGAACAAAGUGCUUGCAUGUGUGUUCUUGGCCUCACGAGCGUUUUGCUCACCCUAUAGUUUGUUUUCCUUAACAGGACCGAAUCUCGGAGAAGUUUGGAGAAAACCCUUCGCUGUACUUUUGUUUUGAGGUUUUCUAUUGUUAGUGGCUAUGUCCUUUGUGGGGAUUGUACUUGUGGAAUUGAAGUGUAACUUUUGGGCCUGACGUAUAUUUUGGAUUUAAGUUGUAUCUUGAACGCCCUAUUCAUGGGUGGAGUAAUGGAUGAUUUUAUGCUUGAACGCUUCCGCAUUUUUUGUAUUCAUGUUGUUCUCUUCGAAUGUGUUUAGUUCGGAUUUAAAUUGAAUGAAAUUGCUUGAGUCCUGGCGAGAGCUGGGCAGGCGUUCGCGGAUACCCUUUGGUCCGCCUUAGGGAGAUGUGGGGCGUCACAGUUGGUAUCAGAGCACUAGGUUAGAGGUCUAUAUGGGAGACAUAUUAGAUACUCUACCUUUAAGACUCGAUAUGGGAUGACUUAAUCCUACCCUAAGUGAUGCUUGAGGCGAGCUAGCAACUAAGUUAGUCCUACCUCAAGUGACGAUUGGGAUGAACCAACAAUUAAGUUAGGCAUGCAUUGCAGGAUAUUGGAACUGAGUAGUGAUUUAAGUUUCUAACCUGAAAAAUAUUAUUAUUAUUAUUUUGCAGGGAUGGAUGACGGAAAUGGAGCCCCGACAGCUAAUGGGAAUGGCCAUGCGAAUGGUCAUUACGAGUCUCUUAGGACUAUCUUCUACCGAGCUCUUGCGGGAGGAGCUCGAGUACACUACUCACCGUAUGAUAGAUACCCUCGAUGUUCGUGUAGGUUGACUUUCGCCUACCCGAACCAUAUAGUGCUUGCUCUGGACGACGAGCGUCGUCAGUUGGUGGAUGCCAACCGCGAUUUACAGGCUGAGGUAGACGAGCUUAGGCAGAUGGUUGGCGCUCAGGGUGAGCGGAUUGCCGAACUCGAGGAGGUGCUGGAGGGUGAGGUAGCCACAUCUGCAAUGGUUAAUGAGGAGUUUCGGGAUACUAGGGCUCGACUCACUAGGCUAGGACGGGAUGUCCGUACUCGGGCUUUCGAGAUCCUGGCUGAUGCCACUAGAUUGGUUGAGGACGCUGCUGAGGUGAUUCCUGACGGUGAGGAGGAGGAUCCGGAGGAGGACCCCGAGGAGGAGGUUCCUCCUGAUAGCCCCGCUGUGGACUAGGAUCUUAGUUGUUGACCCCUUUUGACUUUUGACCGGUACAGUUAGGACUAGUUAGGGUGACGCGAGUGCUGAGGCCAUUGUAUUUUGCAUGCUUGUGUGGCCUACUUUUGGGCACUUGUUCUUACUUUAGUCUUCUGUGACUAAAUGUAUACUUUUGAGCACCUGUGUGCUAUAUUUUUGUGAAUUGUCCCUAACUUGCUAAUUGUACGAACUUGACAUGCUUAUGAAUGUAAAUUAUUGUUAAUUUUAAUGCUUUCUUGGUUGGUUCUAAUUUUGAUAUAUUUCUCCUUUUCUGCUUAAAUUAAUCUAUUUCUUGCACUAGGCACAUUUAGACUAAUGGAAGGAUUAAGGAGUGGUCGAGGCCGUGGGCGAGCGUCUAGACAGGCCCAAACUCAGGGAGAUGACCAGGGAUCGGCAACUGGACCGACCCAGGGACAGGAGAACAUUGAGGGUAACCAGGUGGCUACUGCCAUCAAUAGGAUGACUGAUAUCCUAGAACGUCUAACGGAGAGACAGGAACCUGGACCAUUUAACCAACCUGGGGGCCAGGAUAGGGGAGAGGAUAGAGCCCUGGAGAGAUUCUUAAAGUUUAACCCGCCUAAGUUUAUGGGUGAAUCUAACCCCGAAAUAGCAGAGAAUUGGUUAGAAAGGAUGACCAAUAUAUUCGCCGCCCUAGACUACACUGAGGAUAGGCGAGUGAACUUUGCUGCUUUUCAAUUUGAGAGAGUAGCCCGUGCUUGGUGGGAUUUGAUAAAAGGAAAAUGGGAAAGGGCUCAAACCCCUUGGACUUGGGAGAAUUUCACAAAGGAGUUUAAUGAAAAGUUUCUUCCGCCCUUAAUCCAAGAAAAAAGGGAGGACGAAUUUAUUAAGUUGAAACAAGGAACCCUUACUGUAGCAGAGUAUGAAGGGAAGUUCACUAAACUUUCCAAAUACGCUCCUGAGUUAGUAGCCAAUGAACGGAGGAGAAUUAGAAAGUUUGUGAGGACUCGCAAAUUCCUUACAUAUUUCUCAAAAAUUCCCUUUUAUUUGAAAAUUAUUUGGAAAUUAUUAUUUCAUGUUAUCCAUAGUUCAAUCACCCUAGAAAAGUGCCAAUGACCAUAGGAAAUUAGGGUUCUCCUAUUCGUUUUCAACUCAAGGUGAAAUCGGAUUUUUCGUGUAACCGUAGUAUAAUUAUCCGGUACCGAGUAAGGAUCGAAUUUGGUGCUUAAGAGUGACUUUUAAGUGAGAAAUAAUAUGUUAUUAGAAGCAAUGAUAAAAAGUUAGUGAAUAGGAAGCAAAAACCCUAGUACGUGCGAUUUAAGAGAAAACGCGUCACACCGACGUGUACCGUGCUCUACCGUUUGAACCGACCACUUGACCGCCACUUACUUGUCACACAAGUUUAUUACUAAUGGAGUAAAAUAUCUCCUCUCUCAUGAUGACAGCUUGGCCGAAAUUUGUGGCUAAAAUGUAAGGAAGGAGAGAGAAAAUUGUGUGGUGGAAAUCAAGCCAAGUGUUGGCUAAACUUGUGGACAGAAUUUGUUCUAAUUUUCUUGUCUUCUUAUAAGACCAAGUGAGCUUCAUUCUUCCCCAAUUUUUCUGCUGCAUAGCCGAGCAAGGAGAGAGGAAAGGGAGAGCAAGAGAAAACCAAAAUUUUUUCUUGAUUUGCACCAUCCAAGUGCAAGAAACAAAUUCUAAACCGAUUAAAGUGUGAAUUGUGAUCUUGGGAAGCUAGGGAAGCUAAAAUUUUCAAGAGGAAGUGAAGUGGUACUCUUGCAAGCCUUGUUUCUUUUGAGGUAUGUGCUGCUUAUACUUGCUAUAUGGAUGAUCUAUGUUGUAUCUAAGCUUAGAUAAGUGGUUAUAGUGAUGAUGGGAGCAAGAAAUCAAGAAAGGUUCCAUUAGAAAUCAAAAUUUCCAGAUUUCUGGAAAAUUUUCCCCCUUUUCUGCCCGAUUUUAUUGCUCCAUGUUAGGGGCCGAAUUUGGCUUGGCACAAAACAUGAAAGUUGUAGAGAAUGGUAUUUUAUAUAUGCCUAUAAAAUUUCAGCUCAAUCGGAGCAACGUAGCUUGUGAAAAGACGAAAAUACCCUCGCUGAUCUAGGUUACUUUCCAGAAUCCCGCGUGGACAGUUUAGUCUCUUUGGUUGUGUUUGUUUACUAUAAUCCGUUCAGAUUUAGCCAAUUGUCAAAACAUGAAAGUUUUAGUACCCUGUAUUAGCUUUUCAACGCCGCCAAGAAUGUCUUAAACGGACCUCGGUAGACUGGGAUAUGGUCAUUUGAAUGCAGUGCGGUUAAUUGACCAACUAGUUGGAUUUUGGAUCUGUAAAGUGGGCAUUUGACUAGAUUGCACUGUAAAUCUGACUAAGUCAUCUUCAUGAGAAUUGUAUACAUUUGUCUUAGCUUUCAUAUGGAUUUGGAAUUAUUGGAUUUGGAGUUAUGUGUGCGGAGAUUAGAGUGGAUGAAUCAAGACUACCACAGUAAACCUCGAACUAGAAAAUCUGGGAUCAUUUUGAUAAAUUUGACCUAGAUACAGGGCAAACUGGACUGAGUGGCCUUCUUCAACAUUGUAGUCCUGUGUCUUAGCUUCGAAACGGCUUAAUUUUCAUCCCAAUCCGAUAAGUGUAACUCCGGUUGUGACCGUUAUGCAUGAACCCGUCAAAGCUGUCUUUUGUCAAAUUGCAUUUCCGCACUUGUUAUUCCUUUGAUUUUGUUCUUAUAUUGUCUUGAGCCUAUGAAAUGGCUAUUAUGAUGAGUUUGUGUUGUACAUGACUUUGGGAUUGGCUGAGAAAAAUCAUGAAGCCAUAAAUGGCUGGAAAUUAGGUAAACACAAAGGGCAUGCUGCCCAAAUUUUCGCCCGAAAGCUAAGUUCUAUUUGAACUUGUAUAAUACUAUGACCGUUUUUCCAUCUUAAAAACAUGAUCCUUCUUCAAUUGGAAACUCCAAAUGUUUACUUACUCUUACCAAAUAAAGAGGAGUGGUUUAGGAUUUUCUUGAGUAUUUUGUCCACGGGUCCAAAUGUCCUCGUUCCACUUUAAAGUCUCUUUUUAUACGUUCUACUCAUCAUUCGUCGAGUUUCUUCGAUUGCACCUAAUUGUUUGUGAUAAAUGAGUGGUAAUAUUCUUUUCAUUUAAUUUUAGGUUUUCUCAAUGACUAAAGAUAAUAUCCGGAAGGAUAUUUUGCACGUUGUUGUGCGUAAAUAGGUGAGUGUUCUAUAUACCCGUGUUUUCUGUGACUACCUGAUUACCUGACUAUCUGUUUACUCGAUUUCCAAUUUAUGUGAUUACGUGAUAUUCGUGAAUUACAUGCUCCCAUGAAAUCAAUUUGUAUUGUUUACGUGCUAAGUGUCCACUUGAUUACUUAAUUAUCAUGAAUCACAUGCUAUAUGAAGUUGUCCAUCAUUGUUAGGCGAGUGUGUACUUUACCUCAUUCGACCUAUUCAAUUGAUGAAUUUUACCAUUUACCGUUUACCGAUUUACUUGGUUACUUGUGCAUGUUGUAAGCUCUAAGCUGAACUUGGGCCCCGCCUCGGUUACCGACCUACUCGAGCCAGGAGUGGGCUCGGUCGGGUAGGUUGGAACCCUGGACAACCGUCGGUAUACUCGAGUAUUACCACUGGAGGGAUAAGGUGAUGGCCAGUCAACCGUGGGGAUCCGGAAGUUAUAAGGUGCAGAGGACCGACAAAGUUCCACCGGAACACCGUAUCCUUCAGUAUAUGGUUACCGUGUAUCAUGAUAAUUGUUCCAUGCUAAAAUGCCAACAUGAAAUCAUGUGUUAUACCUGUGAUAUGCUCCAUACCUGUAAUAAGUCCCAACCACUCAUGAACUAUACAUAAAGUUUUCUGGAUUAAUUGUUAUUACAUGACUAAUGUUCCUUGUUUAAUUACUUGUUUAUGUAUAUAGAAUCUCACUGGGCUUUUUAGCUCAUACCACGUCAAUUGUUUUCCUUAGCAGGGGAAGGCGAGCAAGGACGAGAGUUCUGUAUAGUCUAGUUGAUUUAGUUCUUUGGCCUUGUAAUGGUUCUCGCCCUAGUGCUUGGCACGGGCUGGUUGUAUGAGGAAUGAGAACCCUUGUAUAUUCGAUGGUUGUACUUGAAUGGUAAAAACUUUGAAGACUUCUGGUGUGUAGAAGUUUCUUAUCUUUUACUUGAGCAUCUAUUGUCUAUGGAUGUAUAUACAUGAUUCGAGUUCCAUAGUGAGUGAGUCCUGGCGAGAGGUGGGCAGGCGACCCGCUGAACCCUUUGGUACGCCCUAGGGGGAGGUGGGGCCGUGACAAGGUUCGUACAGGGACUUAAUGUGGAACUUCAGGAGGGCCUGGCUGCAGCCCAAAUCUCUACUUUUACUGAGGCUUUAGAGAAAGCGCAAAGGGUUGAGAGUGCAAGAUCUCAAGUGAGGGAUUUCCACAACAGAAAAAGGAAUUUUCCUAGUCGCACUACUGGACAGACUACUAAGUUUGUACACCCUUCUAAAAAGGGAAGAGGGGAAGGAGGAACGAGAACUACUGGAGCUUCUAGGGAAGCUCUAUCUAGGGGAGGUCGUAGCGGGACGACUCAAGUUAGGGGGGCACCAUCUGUUGGAUCGACUGUGACCCCUCAAGUUACAUGUGGGUGUUGUGGUAAAUCCAACCACUCUGAGAACGACUGCUGGAGAAAGUUGGGAAAAUGCUUACUGUGUGGGAGCACUGAGCAUCAAAUCGCAAAUUGUCCGAAAUCGUCGAAAACAGGGGGAAGCCUGCAGAGGCCUGAAAAAUCGACCUCUAAUCAGACCAGUGCCGGAGGGAGUCGACCGAAAGUACCAGCUAGGGUCUACGCAUUGGACUAUCCACAAGUUCUAGAGGCGACCGAGGUGGUUGAAGGUACAAUUCCAAUCUUUCACCGCCUAGCUAGGGUUUUAAUUGAUCCGGGUGCAACGCACUCUUUUGUAAACCCUGAUUUCAUGAGUGGAAUAGACUUGAAGCCAAUUAAGUUACCAUAUGAUUUGGAGGUUAAAACACCCACUGGGGGCAAAAGUCUAAUUGCUAAUCUGGUGUAUAAGAAUAGUGAAAUCUGCGUGAAGGAAAGAAAAUUGCUGGCCGAUUUGAUAGGCCUAGCGAUUAAAGGAUAUGAUGUGAUCCUAGGGAUGGAUUGGUUAGCCCGAUAUAAUGCUCAGUUAAAUUGUAGGACGAAAAUUGUAGAAUUGUGUAUUCCAGGGGAGGCAACCCUGAAACUGGAUGUAAGGGGUAAGUUAGCCUCGUCUGCACUUAUUUCGGGAAUUCAGGCUAGAAAAUUGUUAAAAAAGGGAGCUCAAGGAUAUUUGACUUUUCUUAUUAAUACCCCUAGUGAUAAGGUGAAUCUGGAGGACACACCGGUAGUGAAAGAAUUUUCCGAUGUUUUUCCUGAAGAAUUGGAGUCCCUACCCCCGGAACGGGAAAUAGCUUUUAAAAUUGAUGUGACUCCGGGAACAGCACCUAUCUCAAGGACACCAUAUAGGAUGGCUCCAACUGAGUUGAAGGAGUUGAAGUUACAAUUACAGGAUUUGUUGGAACGUGGUUUUAUACGAGAGAGUGAUUCCCCGUGGGGAGCCCCAGUUUUGUUUGUAAAGAAGAAAGAUGGGAGUUUGAGGUUAUGUAUAGAUUAUCGAGGCUUAAAUGAUGUUACGAUUAAGAAUAAAUACCCACUACCCCACAUUGAUGAACUGUUUGACCAAUUGCAAGGGCCGGUAGUGUUUUCAAAGUUAGAUCUAAGGCAAGGUUACUAUCAAUUGAGGAUUUUGGAGAAGGACAUACCUAAAACUGCUUUUAACUCGAGGUAUAGGCACUUCGAGUUUGCGGUGAUGCCUUUUGGGUUAACCAAUGCACCUGCCGCUUUCAUGGAUUUAAUGCAUAGGGUUUUUAAGCCUUACUUGGAUCAAUUUGUGGUGAUCUUCAUUGAUGAUAUUUUGGUGUAUUCUAAGAAUAUGAAGGAUCAUGAGAAACAUUUGAGAAUUGUUUUACAAAUCUUGAGGGAACAUCAGUUAUAUGCUAAGUUUAGCAAGUGUGAAUUCUGGCUAAAAGAAGUGAUUUUCCUAGGGCAUAUAGUUUCUCAGGAUGGAAUUAAAGUGGAUCCAGCUAAAGUUGAAACUGUUUCGAAAUGGAAACGACCAGAAAACCCAACGGAAGUUCGGAGUUUUAUAGGAUUGGCAGGGUAUUACCGGAGAUUCAUUCAGGAUUUUUCGAAAAUUGCUGGGCUUAUGACUGAGUUGACCAAGAAAAAUGGAAAAUUUAUUUGGAGUCCUAAGUGUGAAGGAAGUUUUCAGGAGUUGAAAAGACGGUUGACUAGAGCGCCUGUUCUAGCUCUACCUAAUGGACAGGAUAGUUUUGUGGUUUACACAGAUACUUCUAAGGAAGGUUUGGGAUGUGUUUUGAUGCAAAAUGAUAAAGUGAUAGCUUAUGCCUCUAGAAAAUUGAAACCGCAUGAAGGAAAUUAUCCGACCCAUGAUUUGGAAUUAGCGGCUGUGGUCUUUGCUUUGAAGAAAUGGAGACACUAUUUGUACGGAGUAACAUUUGAGGUUUUUACAGAUCACAAAAACCUUAAGUAUUUGUUUUCUCAGAAGGAGCUGAACUUGAGGCAACGUAGAUGGAUGGAAUUUCUGGAAAAUUAUGAUUGUACGAUUAAGUACCACCCUGAAAAGGCUAAUGUAGUGGCCGAUGCUUUGAGCCGUCAGGUACAAAUGGCUGGAUUGAUAGUUAAGGAAUUUCAGUUGUUGGAGGAAGUUAGCUAUUGGAAUCCUCGAUUAGAACCAAGGAAAGUAAUUUUGGGGAAUAUUGUGAUAACCUCCACUUUAUUGGAACGUAUUAAGGAAUCUCAGGAAAAGGAUCCUGAAGUGCAAAAGUUGGUGGAGAAAGUUAAGAUGAGAGACCAGACGGAUUUCAAUUUGGGAUCGGAUGAAAUAUUGAGAUUUCGAAAUCGGGUGGUUGUGCCAAAGGAUGAAGGGCUUAGAAAAAAAAUUUUAGAAGAGGCACACCGAUCAAAGUUUACAGUACAUCCAGGAGGGAAUAAAAUGUACCAAGACUUGAAAAGUCUAUAUUGGUGGAAAAAUAUGAAGAAGGAAAUUGCCCAAUUUGUUCAGACAUGCUUGGUUUGUCAACAGGUUAAAGCCGAACAUCAGAAACCAUCAGGGCUUUUGCAACCUCUAGAAAUACCUGAGUGGAAAUGGAAAAAUAUUACCAUGGAUUUUGUAUCAGGCUUACCAAGGACACAGAGAGGCCAUGAUGCCAUUUGGGUGAUAGUGGAUAGAUUGACUAAAUCGGCUCAUUUUCUACCGAUUAACAUGAAGUAUCCGUUGGAGAAGUUGGCCAGGUUGUACUUGGAUGAGAUCAUCAGACUACAUGGUAUACCUGUGAGUAUUGUGUCAGAUAGGGAUCCAAAAUUUGUUUCGAGGUUUUGGCAAAAGAUGCAAGAAGUGUUGGGGACUAAGUUAAACUUUAGUACCACCUAUCAUCCUCAGACCGAUGGACAAUCGGAAAGAACAAUUCAGACCCUUGAGGACAUGUUAAGGACUUGUGUACUGGAUUUUGGGGAGAGUUGGAGUAAGUUUUUGACUUUAGUGGAAUUUGCUUAUAACAAUAGUUUCCACUCUUCUAUUCAAAUGGCUCCAUACGAAGCACUUUAUGGUCGGAAGUGUAUAUCCCCAAUUUGUUGGGAUGAAAUAGGUGAACGGAAAAUUUUAGACCCGACUACUGUAUCUUGGAUUGAGGAGACUAAUGAAAAGGUAAAAUUGGUACGGCAAAGGAUUCAAACCGCUCAGAAUAGACAAAAAAAUUAUGCCGACAAUCAGAGAAAGGAUUUGGAGUUCACUGUUGGAGAUGUGGUAUUUCUCAAGAUUACGCCUUUAAAAGCAAGCUUGAUGUCCAGAAAAGGGAAGAAACUACAACCAAGGUUUGUAGGGCCAUAUAAGAUUAUUCAACGAGUUGGGAAUGUAGCCUAUAGGCUGGAAUUACCACCGAGCUUAUCUCGUAUUCAUAACGUGUUUCAUGUGUCCAUGCUUAAGAAGUAUCAUCCAGACCUUUCUCAUGUUUUACAACCAGAGAAUAUUGAGAUCGAUGAAACCCUGACCUAUGAGGAGAGACCGGUAAAACUUCUGGAUCGAAAGGUGAAGGAAUUGAGGAACAAGCAGAUACCACUAGUGAAAGUUCUAUGGAAGAACCAUAGAGUAGAGGAGGCAACAUGGGAAGUUGAAGAGACAAUCAGAGAGAAGUAUCCAAACUUGUUCAUCAACCAAGGUAAAUUUCGAGGACGAAAUUUUCUUAAGGGGGAGAGGAUGUGAGGACUCGCAAAAACUAUUAUUUUAUGCCUAAUUUAUGGCUUAAUAAAUUAUUUAAUUAGAUUUUAUUUCCAAGGAAUAUUUUCUAGUCUUAUUAGACCUAAAUACAUGGUAAUAUAACUUCGUUAUAUUUUUAAAAUGAUUCGUUUCGAAAAUUAAUUUCCUGGAGCGCGUUUAGUAAAAAUAGUGAAUAGUACUUGGAGAUUUUAUCCGCGUGGUAGCACAAUAAGCUUGGAAUAUUGGAAACUUGUACUAUGGUCCUAAAAUAGGUAAUCUUAUAAAUAAAUACUCAAGUGAUAGUUAAUAGUGCAAUCGUUAUAAGAAUUUCUCGGAAGUUUCGCGUUAUAGAGUUAAAAUUGACGGUACGCGUUUUCACACGUGCGACUUUAUUUGAGGGACUUUAGACCCUUAUUUCGGGACAAUUAAGAGUGAAGAAUAUUUACAUGAAUAUAUACGCAUUGAAGAUUUAGUGCACUAGUGAACCAAAUGCGCGAGAAAAUCGAGCCGUAAUCGCACCAAACGGCCCUUAAUGAGAGUUGACUUUUGGGUGAAUUUACACCACUCAUUUCACCUUCUCUUGGAAGCUAACUUGGAUCAAACCACACUCUCUCUUCUCUCUCCUCAUUGCCGACCAGCCCUCCCCUCUCUCUAACUCCAUUGCUUCAAAAUUUCACCUCACAAAUCUCACUCAAACCACCUCAAAUCAUCUCCAAAUUCAACCAAACUUGCACCAGACUUAGCUUAAUACUUGAGGAUCAUUUUGAGCUGCAAACAAGGGCUGAAAAUCACGGUUUUUCUGGGGUAAAAGAGGGCUGAAAAUUCUGCUUGAACAUCAAACCAAAGUAAGUGAUGAUCCACUCUUGGAAACUUGAAGUUUGGAAGCUAUCUUACCUUGUUAAGUUCAUGCAUGCAUUUGGUUAGCUUGAUAUGGUUGUAAAAUGUGAAAGUGGGCUCUUUGUAUUCCCACACUUGGGUUGUUGUUGCUAAUUAGAGGAUUAAUGUUGGAUUUAAUGGUAGUUUAAUGGUUAUAAUGAUGGAUUCAUGGAGUAUUAUUGUUGGAAACUCAAAGUAGAGGUCAUGACAAGAAAUUUCCGAAACUGCCCCUGUUUUGUUCGACCAUGAUAAGGCCCAUUUUUGGUGAUUUAUUAGCAUGAACCUGAUGUUUAUAUGUUAUAUUAUAUGUGUAAAAAUUUUCGUUGGAAAACAUUAACGUUUGGAUGGGCAAAAGAAUUUAUUCGUGAACUAGGUAAACUGGAAAAUUAUUUUCGGGUACCUCUGUCCAGCGGUAGCAUUUUGACCAUAACUCUGUCCUCGGGUGUCGAAAUCAAGUGCCGUCGGUGGCGUUUGAAAAUAGACAUUCCUGGAUUUAAUUUAAGGUAAAAUACACGUUCUGAUUCUUUGUGAGUGAUCUGAACCAAACGUUUUAAGUUAGCUGUCCUGUCUCUCGGAUUUGCUGGAAUGGCUUGUAGAGGCAGCAACUUGAGGCUCAAUUUUGAGCUGGUUGCUUGCCGAAUUUCAGAACAUUUCCUUCUGUGAACUUUUAGUCCUAUGAAUGUAUUUUCUAACGCCAUAAACCAUGCCUCAUUCCGAGUUAAAUUGAUUGAGUUGUGACUAAAACAAGAGAACUGCCCUGUUUUGGAAAACCGUAGUAUUUGGACUGAUUUGGGGCAAAACUUGGGAAUGAUUUUAUUAAUUGAAGUUCUUGAUGCUCAUCACUUACCAAAGGUAUCAUGGAUGUAUCUUAGACCUUUAUUUCACAAAUGAACCAUGGUUGGAUAGUUUUCUUGGCUAAACGAUUUGAAAUUGGGAAAUGAAAGUCAAAAGGCAGAUUGCCUUAGAAUUUUUCCUGAACUUUGGUUGACUAAUUAACUAUCUUUCCGAAGGUAUUUUUCCCUGAAAUUUGAUAGGGCAGUACCUUUCAUAUGGGAGUAAAAUACUGCCAAUUUUGGUACCAAUCCAAGUUCGUUUCGAUACCUAAUUAAAUUUCUAGUGUUGGAGGUUCAAAUCUGGAAAUUCUUCUCCAGUCUUGAAUUUCCCCAACUUUGAGCUACCGUAUCUCGGUACUCGAAACUCCGAUUCUUGAUCCUCUUAUUUUGUUAUACACCUCACUUGCAACACUACUUGAGUAACAAAUUUCAGAGGCUGGUUUGCAACGUGUGAAUCGUGCCGAAUUUUCAAAGUUGGCCGAAAUCCAACUUAAUUCUGCCUUGUAAACCAAUCAUGCAUCUUCAAACUCAUUUUUGAACACUUUCCACUGCGAUUCAUGAAAAAGUGUCUUCUAGGAACUUAUAGUACUUUCUAAGAGGUUUCCAACGGUAUAAAAUUUUCCAAUUCUCGACUUAUGCCGAGGGAGUUACGAUUUUUCAAAAAUUCAUAAUAAAACUGAAAAUUUUCCAAUUUCAAAGAAAUAAAGUUUUUCAAGAACUCUUUAUUCUUUUGAUAUUCUUAAACAUUUUGCUCACGAUUCUCAUGAUAAACCCUCGAUUUACGAGUAAUUGAGGUUCCUUUUGUGAAAUAAUCUUAAGAUUGUACACUAGUACAAUCUUCAUUGAUAAUUGGAUUAUUGAGUGAUUAUCCACUAUUAAUUGCCAGGCGCACAAGGAGACCUCCAAGAGGAUCUUACAGUGGAUACUUGAAUCUCCAAAGAAUAAUCCCUAUUGAAUUGCUCGGUGAGUGUCAAGUGUGUGAAUUCUUGAUACUUGCUUAAUUGUGGUAAUUGUUGGGAAUUUUAAAAAAAUAAGGGCGGGUGCGUACUUUAUCGUACUCGUUCUAAUUUCAAAUGAAUGAUUGAAGUGUAUUGAAUGAAUGAAAUGUAUUGAAUGAAUGAAUGAAAUGCAAUGUUAUGUUAUGAUUACAUAUGUCGUUGGAGUGAACCUCCUCGACUUUCAAAUGAAUGGGGGACGUCCAAACUCAUAGGCCAACCUUAGACUCGAGCCGGCAAUGGGCUUGGUCGGGGAUUUGGGCGAGCCAUGAGAUAUAUAUAAGCUCGACCUAAUGAGAGGUCUUGCUUGGCAUACUCGUGGAGUAUCGCCUUAUAAAUGACUUGUGGACCCUUGAGGUGUACGGUGGACGGAGGGAAGUAAGUGGUGAUCUACGGUAAUGGAAAUACUGACCCGGUUGACAGGAGGGUCAACGCGGGAAGGUAUACGAAUGACAUCGGCAGAUCGAGUGGAACUUAACUCCUGAGAGCUACUAUAUCCUUGAAUUGUUUCUGAUUACUUUUCCUGUUCGAAUGAUUGAUUAUUAAAGGGACAUGGUUUUAUUUAUUAAAUUUGGGAUUGGUAUUUGAACAAAGUGCUUGCAUGUGUGUUCUUGGCCUCACGAGCGUUUUGCUCACCCUAUAGUUUGUUUUCCUUAACAGGACCGAAUCUCGGAGAAGUUUGGGGAAAACCCUUCGCUGUACUUUUGUUUUGAGGUUUUCUAUUGUUAGUGGCUAUGUCCUUUGUGGGGAUUGUACUUGUGGAAUUGAAGUGUAACUUUUGGGCCUGACGUAUAUUUUGGAUUUAAGUUGUAUCUUGAACACCCUAUUCAUGGGUGGAGUAAUGGAUGAUUUUAUGCUUGAACGCUUCCGCAUUUUUUGUAUUCAUGUUGUUCUCUUCGAAUGUGUUUACUUAGGAUUUAAAUUGAAUGAAAUUGCUUGAGUCCUGGUGAGAGUUGGGCAGGCGUCCGCGGAUACCCUUUGGUCCGCCUUAGGGAGAUGUGGGGCGUCACAUUUACUAAAGGAAAUUUCGAAAAUGGAGCUGGUUAGAGGCUUGCCAAAAAUCAGUUUUGAAAAGGAUAAAAUUUGUGAUGCAUGUCAAUUUGGAAAGCAAACAAAAGUUUCUUUUAAACCAAAGAAGUGUGUAUCAACUUCUAAACCUUUAGAACUCUUGCAUCUUGACUUAUUUGGUCCUACUCAAAUCACUAGCUUGGGAGGUAAGAAAUACUGCUUUGUGAUUGUGGAUGAUUAUUCUAAAUAUACUUGGGUGAUAUUUCUUGCUCAUAAGGAUGAUGCCUUCAAGAAUUUCACUUCAUUGUUUGCUAAAGUGCAAAAUCUGCUUGGUUUAAAAAUUGUUAGGAUUAGAAGUGAUAAUGGAACGGAAUUCAAGUGUUGUGGUUUUCCAGAAUUUUGUGAUCAUAAUGGCAUAACACAUGAGUUUUCUAUUGCAAGAACUCCACAACAAACUGGUGUUGUAGAAAGGAAAAAUAGGACAUUACAAGAGGCUGCUAGAACUAUGUUAAGUGAAUGUAGUUUGCCAAAAUACCUUUGAGCUGAAGCGGUAAACACUGCAUGUUAUGUGAUGAAUAGAAUCCUUUUGAGACCCAUUUUGAAUAAAACAUCUUAUGAAUUGAUUUUUGAUAAGAAACCUACGGUUGGAUAUUUCAAAGUCUUUGGUUGUAAAUGUUAUAUUUUAAAUUUAAAGGAACAUCUUGGUAAGUUUGAGAAAAAAUCUGAUGAAGGAAUAUUUUUGAAAUAUUGUGAGAACAAAAGAGGAUAUAGAGUCUUUAAUAGAAGGACUCUUGUGGUAGAAGAAGCCAUACACAUAACAUUUGAUGAAACUAAUGAUUAUAAUUCCAAAAGUUCGUGUGAGGAUGAUGAUGUAGGUGUUCGUGAAGGAAUGGAAAAGCUAAAAAUUGGAGAUGGAGAAAACUCUAAACCGGAAGCAAAGGAAAUGGAGAAUGAAGCUCAUGAAGAUCAAGAAAGGGUAGAUGAGGACAAAAAUGAUGAUUCAUUCAAAGAUCUUCCCAAGACUUGGAAAUUUAGCCAAAAUCAUCCAAAAGAACUUAUAAUUGGUGAUCCAUCCGAGAAGGUAAACACUCGUUUCUCAUCUAAGAAAUUGAUAGACAAUUUUGCUUUAGUUUCUCUUUUUGAACCUAAAAAUAUCAAUGAUGCCUUAAAGGAUGAAAACUGGAUUUUGGCAAUGCAAGAGGAACUCAAUCAAUUUGAAAGAAAUGAGGUUUGGACACUAGUUGAUAGACCUCAAAAUCACCCUAUCAUUGGCACUAAGUGGGCAUUUAGAAAUAAACUUGAUAAUAAAGGUGUAGUUGUAAGAAAUAAAGCUAGAUUAGUUGCAAAAGGGUAUGCUCAAGAAGAAGGAAUUGAUUUUGAUGAAACAUUUGCUCCCGUAGCUAGAUUAGAAUCAAUUAGAAUGUUUCUUGCUUUUGCUUGCUUCAAAUGUUUUAAACUGUUUCAAAUGGAUGUUAAAAGUGCCUUCUUAAACGGUUUUAUUGAUCAAGAAGUAUAUGUCGAUCAACCCCCCGGUUUUGAAAAUUCAAAAUUUCCAAAUCAUGUGUUUAAACUCUCAAAAGCAUUGUAUGGGCUAAAACAAGCUCCAAGAGGUUGGUAUGAAAGAUUGAGUGGUUUCUUGAUUGAAAAUAAUUUCAAAAGAGGAGUUGUGGACACCACACUGUUUACUAAGAAAGUGCUAAAUGAACUCCUUAUUGUGCAAAUAUAUGUAGAUGAUAUUAUUUUUGGUGCUACUAAUGAGUAUCUAUGCAAGGAUUUUUCCACCAUUAUGCAAAGUGAAUUUGAAAUGAGUAUGAUGGGAGAAUUAAAUUUCUUCCUUGGACUUCAAAUACAUCAAGCCAUAGAGGGCAUUUUCAUAAAUCAAGCAAAAUACACUAAGAAAUUGUUGAAAAGAUUUGGCAUGAAGGACUCAAAGCAAGUUGGAACUCCAAUGUGCAGUUCAACAAAACUUGACAAAGAUGAAGAAGGUAAACAUGUGGAUGAAAAGCACUAUAGAGGUAUGAUUGGAAGCUUAUUUUAUUUAACCGCAAGUAGACCCGAUAUUAUGUUUGCUGUUUGCUUGUGUGCUAGAUUUCAAUCUUGUUCAAAAGAAUUACAUUUGAAUGCUGUUAAAAGAAUUUUUAGGUAUUUGAAAGGUACGUUAGACUAUGGUCUUUUGUAUGUUAGAUCUAGUGAGUUUGCACUAUAUGGAUAUUCGGAUGCUGAUUUUGGAGGUUGUCGUGUGGAUAGAAAGAGUACUAGUGGAACUUGUCACUUUCUUGAUAAUUGCUUAGUCUCUUGGUUUAGCAAGAAACAAAAUGCAAUCUCUUUGUCUACAACCGAAGUGGAAUAUAUUGCCGCUAGUGCAUGUUGUGCUCAACUUUUAUGGAUGAAGCAUACCUUGAAUGAUUUUGGAUUGUCAUAUGACUGCAUGCCUAUAUUCUGUGAUAAUACUAGUGCUAUCAAUUUGACCAAAAAUCCAAUUCAACAUUCUAGGACAAAGCAUAUAGAUAUAAAGCACCACUUUAUUCGCGAUCUUGUUUAAAAAGGUGAAGUAUGUGUAAAUUACGUUUGUUCUAAAGAUCAAUUUACUGAUAUUUUUACAAAAGCUUUGCCAUUAGAUCAGUUCAUUCAUCUAAGAUCAAAAUUAGGGAUAAUCGAAAAAUCAUCUUAAAAUUUUUCAAAGCCUUCGGACGUCCGAAAGAAGAUGAACGGACGUCUGAUAAUGUUCUUCAGCUAUUUUUUCCAGAAUGCACCUGUUCGGACGAAACUGUCGGACGCACCACUUCGUUCGGCCGUCCGACAGUGCAACGGUUCACUUUUUAAAGUAACUUUCUUCCUCAUUUGUUUCAAACUCUUCUUCUUCUAUUUCCUCUCGAACGAAAACUCUCUCGUUUCUCAAUCUCAAAUUCGUACCAUUCUGAAGCUCUCAUUCCCAAAUUGACUCAACCAAAACUUUUCCUGAUCGAUUGCGAUUCGUUCUUCCUGAUCAUUUCACCGAAUCGCAUAACAUUUCGCAAAUUCCCAAAUUUCCCUCAAAACCCUAUUUUCUCAUAACCACUCUGUCCAAUCUUCUUCAAGGCCUUUUUGUCCCAAAAUUUCUGUGUGAUUCACUUCCAUACUACUGUGUGCAUCAUUUUCAUCCUUCAUUCCACACAUUUCGUACAAUGGUGAAUCUAAGAGGAGGGAAGGUCACUGCCGGACGCAAGCAUCCACUCAGGGAUGAGGAUGAUGAUGUUCCUACGGUCAAACGAUCAUCCAAACGCGUCAAGAGGAGAGCUGUAAAGGGUCAAAUGUCACAGCCUACACCACAACCCACCCCUCAGCCUGAAUCUGGACAGGGAACCUCAUCUCAACCGCCUCCAAAAUCAACCACAGUCCCUACAUUCUUUGAUGAUGCUGCAAAAGACAAACACUCCUGGAUAUCCCAGAAAGGUGUCAUCCCUCAACGCACCGUAAAUUCUUCUGAAUUUCGCCAAAUAGGUUUAAAAUCCAUUCUGAGUCUGUUUGCUUUCCAGAAAUGGUCACAUCUCAUUUCUAUGCCUAAUGUCUAUUAUCCUGAAAUGCUGUUUCAAUUCUUUGCCAAUCUUAGGAAAGGCACUGACCAAACUGAGAUUAUGUCCAGGGUUAAUGGGGUAGACUUAGUCUUUGAUUCUGAAAUUGUGAAUGAUAUUUUAAAAACUACUAUUGAACCUGGAUGCAAGAGUAAAAUUACAAAUUUCUUUUCCUAUGAAGAGUAUCCUACUGCUGAUAAUCAUUUUGAUGGGGCUAAGAUGUUGACUUAUUUUAAAAGAAGUUUUUCUGCCCCUGCUGAUGCUAAACUGAAUGAUCUUGCCCCUGUGAAUAUAAUUGCCUUUUCAAUCAUUUCAAACCUACUUGUGCCUACUGAUGGCCAUAGAACAGAUGCAAACAAAAUGGAGUUGUAUCUCUUUUACUAUUUUCGAGAAGAGAUUCGUAUUGAUUUUGGUUUUGUCAUGUGCAAGUUUUUAUUUCGCUAUGCCACUGAUUCUCGCAGAAAAUUAUCUUAUGGAAAAUUUCUUCAAAAGAUUUUUGAGUUUUACAAAGUACCAAUUCUAGGUGUUUGUCCCAAAGAAGCAUCUUCUUAUGCCUUUACCAAAGGAUAUUUUGAAAGGAAAAAUCUUGUCUUUAAGGAUAAUCUAUGGGCUUAUAAGGGGGCAUCAUCUAGUGAACCUAGGUCUAAGGCUGCACAUGAUCCACUACACACUCCUUCAUCUGUUGCACUCACUCUCAUUCAUCCCAAGAAGUCUGCCACUAAGGCAUCUUCCUCCUCUAAUGAUGAAGUGAUUGAGCUCUUUCGUGAACUCAAACAGCAUGUUCUUCUUCUGGAACAUGGUCUAAUGCUCACCAUGUCCUCUGAGCAACAAACAGCCUACCUAGAGAAAAAGAACCUUCUUUUUCCCCCACCUGUGGUUGAGGAAGUUUUCCAUGGCAAAGAGCCACGCCCCACUGAUCCAAGUUCAUCAAUUCCAGACCCGAGCUCAUCAACUCUCGUGACUUCUCAUGGCCCUUCCACAUCAGAUAAAGGCAAGGCACCAAUUGAAGAAGCUGCUGAAGAUGAUGAAGAAACUGAAGAGGAGGACCUCUCCCAAUAUCAGCUUUCUCGAAGGACACCUGGAUCCACCUAGUUCACCAUUUAGGAUCACAUAGGGUCAUUUGCAUUUUGUUUGACUAUUUCAUGUGUUUCUAGUGUUUGUGGUGUUCAACAAUGGAUAUGUAGAUGUAAUGCUUAUGUUUAUGUUGUGUCCGUUUAGUACUUUUUGAUGGAUGAUUAUGGUUGUAAUGGUUAUGGAUAUGUGGAUGGAUGUUUACAUAUUUUGAAUGAUGAAUGUGUGGAUGUGAUAAAUGUUUUUGUUAUUAGUUCUCCGUGAUAUAUGUGAUUGAUUGGCCUUUUGUGAUGACAAAAAGGGGGAGAGGAUUGGAUUGGAUUGAUUGAUGAUUUAAUUGAAAUUGAAUUGGCUUGAUGGAUUGAAUUGGUAAAAUGUUGGAUGUUGACUUUUUAAUUGUUAUGUUUUUGGAUAAUUGAUUAAUUCGGUAGGGUAGCCAAGUGAGGGGGAGUUUUUCAAAUUUUUGCUCUAUGAUCCAUUAAGUAAGGGGGAGUUUUUGUCAAUUGAGAAAGGGGGAGCUUAUAUUGCAAUCAUCAAAUCUCAUUUCAAACCAUUGUUUUGUCAUCAUCAAAAAUGGGGAGAAUGUUAUUUUUGGUUUUGAUGAUCACAAAGUACUUUGAAAUGUUUAUCUAACUCUCUUCAAAUAUAAGUAUUUUUUGCCUAUCAAAGAAUCAGGUACGAAUAUGUCAAGAAAUGAAAAUCAACCAAAGGAAGAAGCAAAAACAGGACACUCAUGUCGGACGUCCGAAGGAAUCUGUCGGACGUCUGAAAGGAUAAAGAACAUCAAGAAGGAAGCUCCGUCGGACGCUCAUAAGGAAGCGUCGGACGUCCGGAAGGAUCGGACGCACGCCUCGGACGCACAUCAACCGCGUCGGACGUCCGAAAAAUUCCAAGAAGACUUGCCAACUCUCUAACGACGAUCGGACGCUGAUGCUGUCGGACGAUAAAAACGCAUCGGACGUCCGAACUACAACUUGGCUGUUUUCGGACGAUAGGUUCGGACGAUGAUUUGGUCGUCGGACGUCCGACAGCCCUAACGGCUAGCUGACUCUUCAUCUGCCUUCUAUCCGUUGGAAGCAUUGAUGAAACCCAUUUUCGGUCCCCUUUAAAAACAAACUGUUCUGAACCAAGAAGGGACUUUUGCACACUUUGUUUACAAGAUCUCAAGAGAUAUUUUAGCUAGAAAAUAGUCUCCAAAGCUAGAUUUGUUCUCCAAGUGUGAAUUUCUUGUGAGCAUUUCUCUUGUGGUUGAAAGUUUCAUUAGUGUAGCUUUGUUGAGGGUUAUCUGAGUGAUUGUAAGACUUCUUAACUUGACUAAGUGAGGCUUAGGGCAAGGAGGAAGUGCUCCCUCCAUUGUACAUCUAGUUGAUCAUCUUUCAUCAAAGAGAAGUUGCUCAACCUAGUGAUUGGUCUUCAAAUUUGAGAAAAGCUUGGUAGACAAUCGGUUUGAUAUUCUAUCUUAUUCUUUUUGUUUAAUAAAAUUCUCAUUGCUUAUCUAUACUUGUUUUUCUAAUCAACAUUGCUCUCUUCUUCUAAUUUACUUGAUUGAUCAUUACUAGAAAAGAAGGUAAAUUUUUAUUAAAGAAAAAGUGCAUAAAUUUGAUUAAGAUUUUAAUCAACCUAAUUCACCCCCCCUCUUAGGUUGUCUUUGGGCCUUACACUUUGUGUAAAGGAGCCGGACAUGGCAAAUACUACGUGUUGGAUGGUUACUUGUUCUACAUCGAUAAGCUUUGUGUCCCUAAUGGUUCUAUUCGAGAUUUGCUAGUGAAGGAAUCUCAUAGUGGGGGGUUAAUGGGUCAUUUUGGAGUGACUAAGACACUUAAUAUUUUGCAGGAACACUUUUUUUGGCCUCACAUGAAGAAGGAUGUUGAAAAGGAGGUAUCACGAUGCAUACAAUGCCGGAAAGCUAAGUUUAAGGUUAAUCCGUAUGGUCUCUACAGACAUUUACCUAUUCCUAGUGAACCUUGGGUAGAUUUGUCUAUGGAUUUUAUACUUAGUUUGUCUAGGACAUGAUUCUGUAUUUGUGGUAGUUGAUAGAUUUUCUAAGAUGUCUCAUUUUGUUGCAUGCCACAAAAUUGAUGACGCUUCACAUAUUGCGGACCUAUUCUUUAAAGAGGUAGUUAGGUUGCAUGGAAUACCUCGUAUUAUUGUGUCUAAUAGGGAUGUUAAAUUUCUUAACUAUUUUUGGAAGACACUUUUGGUCUAAGUUAGGGACUAAAUUGUUGUUUUUAACUACUAAUCAUCCUCAAACUGACGCCAAACUAAAGUUGUUAAUUGAACUGCGUCUACCAUGUUGUGUGCUUUAAUUAAGAAGAAUUUAAAAACAUGGGAAGAUUGUUUACCUCAUAUUAAGUUUGCUUAUAAUUGUUCUAUACAUUCUAUACUCAGUUUUCACCCUUUGAGGUUAUUUAUGGUUUUAAUCCGCUAAAACCUAUGGAUCUAAUACCUUUACCUUUGAGUGAGCAUGUUAGUCUAGAUGGUAAAAAGAAAGCUGAGAUGGUGUACAAUCUACAUGACAAAGUGCGCUUAAACUUCCUACACUUUACGUAAGUCACUAAGUUGGGGCAUCGAACAUAACAACUUAACAGAAUUCCACUUAUCUUCCCACAUUUAAUGAAAAAGUGAUAUUUUACACUCUUUCUCUAUGGAACGUUCCAAUUACAUGCCAAAAUCUCGUUUCCUAACUAAGAUAAAAUAUCAAUUAAAAUAUUAAUCUCCAAUCUCUUAACUAAGACAUAAGUAUAAUACAAAGGAAAAUACAAUUAACAUAAAAUGUCAAAAUGUUAAUCCGGCGAACACCAUUAGGUAUGCCAUUGUAGCCAACAAAAGUCAGAAUUUCUUGUUUUCAGCUAUCGAUCUCCACACUCCAACUAGGCAUGGCCACGGUUCCAGAACUGCCGGUUCUGGUUCUUCAAAGAGGUAGAACCAGAAUCGUACCAUCUAAGAUGGUUCUGGUUCUGGUUCUAGUUCUGGUUCUGGUUCCUUAUAGUUCUGAUUUCGGUUCCUUCUGGUUUCGUAUGAUUGUAUACAAUUUUAUUUAAUUCAUUAUCCUUACCAAUUUUAAUACAAAUAUAACAAUAUAUUUAAAAUUUCAAAUAGAAUGUAAAAGAUUAAAUACAAAAUAAAGAUCAUAUUUUAAUUUUAUUAUUAUUCUACAAAGUACGAAGUAAUAAAUAGAUAGUACAAAUUUUAUGAAAAGUACGUUACAUUGUCAAAUUAAAAAAUACAUUAUACUAUCAAAUGGUAAUCAUUUUAAAUGGAAAAGAAAAUACAUGAUUUUUUCAUUGAAAUUGAGAUGAAAUAUCAAAAUAAACAUUAAUUAUUUAAUCUUCUUCAUUGCUUGCGACGGCACUAGAAUUAGUUGUAUAAUUGAAUUCUUCUUCUUCAUUUUUUUCCAUUUCUUACUGUCUAUAUUCUGCUCUAGUCCAAUCAUCCAUGCAUGCUUGAAUUUCUAGUGAUUCUGGGCUUAAUCUCGACUGUGUCUCACUACUUUCUUAAACUUUCUUAAUUCUGGGCUUAAAAUUUAAACUUUCUUAAAACCUAUUAAGCACAACUAAUUUUUUUCGAAUUAUCUCACUACUUAUAUUAAUUAUUUUUUAACGGUUCUGGAACCGGUGGUUCUGAUUCUGGUUCUAUUGUUUAGAGAACCAGAACCGAAACCUUUAUCCAAGGUUCUACCACGGUUCUGGAUCCACAGUUUUGGUUCCGGUUCUGGUCCGGUUCCAAACAGUCCGAUUCCUGGUUCCAAAUUGAACCAUGGUCAUGCCUAACUCGAACUCCAAUACUCCUGGGCAAGCUCUGUUAUUUUUUUUAAUGCAAAAUAGGCAAGUUCUAUUAUUGUUUUUCUUUAGAAGAUUAUUAUUAUGUUGUCAAUAUUUAAUUAUUCAUUAUUUAGAAGAUAAUUUUUUUAAAAAAAAAAAAGUAAAAUCACUUAUACUUUUCUAAAUAGCAACAAAUAAUGAUGUUUGUAAUGUUUCGAAUUUUGAAUUUAAAUUCAUUAUUUUUUUCUUCAUUUUUCAUUGUUUGUAUUCCUAUGAUUGUUAACCCCAAGCAAAAAUCCUGACUCCGUUUAUGGCGACAAUGGACUUUGGUGAGAAUAGUUUGAUAAUGCACGCAAGUGACAGUGGGUUGAUGUUUUAAUAGCAAUAGUCUCUCUUUCAAUAAUUUAUUAACGCGACCCAUCAAAAUGGUACAUAGGUUCAAUUGCCCAGGCUACCUGUGGACCAAAAUUAUCCAUAAUCUUAUUCCCAGUUACAGCAUGUAAUCUUCAGAUUUUCCAUUUUAGUUUUCAAAAGUUGAGUUUAAUACAGCUGCACCAUUUCAGAAUUGCAUAAUAAAAAAGCACAAUUGUAACUAGUGCAAUCAAAACUCAGAACAUUUCAGAGAAAUGAAGGUAAAUUGAUCUCUUAAUAUUUUUGUUCAGUUGAUCCAAUGUACAAUUUCCAAACAAUUCGGCUGUACACUAUACAUGAUGAUCUUUUUACAAAAAGCAUACUCAGUAUACAAACUACAUGGUCUAUUACAAGUCUCUAGAACUAUAUACACUGUCCAUCCAACUAAGAAGCGAGAAUCGCAAACCUAAAUAUUCUUUUUUUCCUCAAGCACAACCAAAAAAAAAGUUAGCCUUGCAGUCUUUACCAGUUGUAUCACCAUAAACAUGACAUUCCUUGUACAGCAUAUGCUCAAGGAAAUGAUUUCAGCAAAAAAUUACCAAGGUUCAGAGUUGUUGGAGAGGAAACUUGUGCGUUCUGAGGGUCUUGACCAAUCCUCCUCCAUCUUAAUGAGCUUAAGGC